CUAGAGAGGGCACAUGUGCCCUAAUUGGCCUAGAGCAUAGUGGCUCAUUUUCCUUCCACUGCUGGUGGCGGGCGGUUCUCGCUGCUCUGUGAAGCUAGCCUCACGCAAUUUCCGCCACUUUAGGUGUUGGGAUGCAAAGGCUUUCGCCAAGGCACCCGAAACCCACUACACAACUUGGAAUAGGUGGUCCACAGUUUGUAGCACUAGACCUAGGCACAUAAACCACAAUUGACAUCCACACUACCUUAUUUCCCCCGCUCGGGUUACAAGCAAUCGCUACUUGCUCAGCGAGUGAGGGGGUUCAGGACUGCCUAUUUAAGGUGGUGUUGUACUCUAUGAGCCAACGGUGUGGUAUCAACAACAAAUAGUGUCAUGCAUGUGAGUUGCUAGUUGGCAAAGUCUGUUGUCGAGCUAGUUGUGGGCUAUGGCUGAAGCACAUGAGGAUAGAGUAGGCCUAUUUUGUUUUUUGUUGUUUUUGGUCCAUUAUGGACUUUAUGUUGAUGUUUUGAAAUUUUUUCAUGUGUUUUCUCUUGCCUAUGAAGUGGAAAUUAUAUGCGUCAGAGAAGAAAGAAAGAGUGCCUAGCAUUGAUUUUACGUCAUCCCCUUGAGAAUAGUAAUCAAAAGCAGAAGCAACAAUAUUUAAUACAUAUACAACACUGAGAGCACCUAGAGGGGGGGGGUGAAUAGGUGAUCCUGUAAAACUUCAAAACUUAAGCCACAAAAACUUGUUAAGUGUUAGCACAAUUGUGGCCAAGUGGCUAGAGAGGAGUCAAAACACAAUAACCACAAGAAAUCAAUCACAGAGAUGACACGGUGGUUAUCCCGUGGUUCGGCCAAGUACAAAACUUGCCUACUCCACGUUGUGGCGUCCCAACGGACGAGAGUUGCACUCAACUCCUCUCAAGUGAUCCAAUGAUCAACUUGAAUACCACGGUGUUCUUGCUUUUCUUUUCUCAAUCCCGUUUGCGAGGAAUCUCCACAACUUGGAGCCUCUCGCCCUUACAAAAGAUGUUCACAGAGAAUCACGGAGCAAGGGAGGGAAUGAGCAACGCACACAAGACUUCAAAAGAUCAGAGCAACACGCACACAAGCAGCAAUAAGAGCUCGCAACACAACUCAAAGAGUACACAACUCCACAAGAGCUCUAUAUGCUACCACAAUGAAUCGAAUGCGCUAGAUCAAUGUCUUGGUGCUUAGAAAGGUUGUAGGAAUGCUUGGUGUACUCCUCCAUGCGCCUAGGGGUCCCUUUUAUAGCCCCAAGGCAGCUAGGAGCCGUUGAGAACACAACUGGAAGGCUAUCCUUGCCUUCUGUCGUCGGGCGCACCGGACAGUCCGGUGCACACCGGACACUGUCCGGUGCCCGAUUUGUUUCCAUACAAAGCUCAUCCGACCGUUGCUUUCUGAUGCAGAUCUGCGCACAGUUGGCGCACCGGACAGUCCGGUGCACACCGGACAGUCCGGUGCCUCCUUCCGACCGUUGGCCAGACCACAUGUCACGCGCAGAAUCCGUGGCCGACCGUUGGCCCUGGCCGACCGUUGGCUCACCGGACAGUCCGGUGCACACCGGACAGUCCGGUGAAUUUUAGCCGUACGCCGUCGGCGAAUUCCCGAGAGCGGCCUCUUCGGCCGAGGCAGCCUGGCGCACCGGACACUGUCCGGUGCACCACCGGACAGUCCGGUGCCCCAGACCGAACCAGCCUGUUGGCUGUACACAGCUAACCUUCUCCUUUUCUUCUUCUCUCUAUUUCUAACACUUAGACAAAUAUAUUAGUACACAAAACCAAUGUACUAAGACUUAGAAACAUACCUUUGCUCUUGAUUUUCACUUUGUUCACCCAUGGACAUAGAUUCACAUUUAAACACUUGUGUUGGCAUCUAAUCACCAAAAUACUUAGAAAUGGCCCAAAGGCACAUUUCCCUUUCAAUCUCCCCCUUUUUGGUGAUUUAUGCCAACACAACAUAAAGCAACUAGAACAAGUGCAAAAUCACUUCAAAUAAAAACUAACUUUGAGUUUUAUUCAAUUUUGGCAUAUAUGGAUCAUUCUUUGCCACCACUUGGUUUGUUUUUGCAAAUCAAGCUCAAAUCUCUAUCUCUAAGUCAAACACACAUGUUGAAGCAUAAAGAGAGUCAUUCCAAAAGAGAUUGAUCAAAGAUUUCAAAAACUCCCCCCCUAUUUCCCAUAAUCAAUACUUCUUCCCACAAGAAGCCAACUUUUGACAAGAGAGACAAUAAUAGACAAUAAAAGCGUUUGACAAAACAAAAACUCUAUUCUACUAUUUUCAAAAUCUCUCAAGUGGUAGCUGAUCCAUUUAUAUCGCUUUGGCCUUUAUUUUCUCCCCCUUUGGCAUCAAGCACCAAAACGGGAUCAAUCUUGGCCCUAGAACCCCAUUGCCUCACCAAAAUUUUCAAUGAAGAGCAAAUGGCAAUAAGAGUUCAUGAGAUGAACUUGGAAGUAAUUACCCUCUCAUCGGAGUGCAGUGGAAGUCUUUCAUGGUCCAAGUCCACCUUUUCCCUUUCAAUUCUCCUUCGAGACUAAAUCAAGCAAACUCAAGCAUAUGGUUAGUCUCAAAGGGUCAAGUUGUAACACAUCUCCCCCUAAACAUGUGCAUCACUUUGCAACGGACUUGUGAGGUCCAGGGAGUGUUUGUACAACUUGAGCACCACAGUAAGCAACAAAAUGCAGAAUGAACAUGAUCAAAGGCAUAAACACAUGUAUGCUACAAUUCAAUCCAAGUUCCGCGAAUCUAAGACAUUUAGCUCACUACGCAACCUGCAAAAGGUCUUCUCAUCUAGAGGCUUAGUGAAGAUAUCGGCUAGCUGGUUCUCGGUGCUAACAUGAAACACUUCGAUAUCUCCCUUUUGCUGGUGGUCUCUCAAAAAGUGAUGCCGGAUGUCUAUGUGCUUUGUGCGGCUGUGCUCAACAGGAUUCUCCGCCAUGCGGAUCGCACUCUCAUUAUCACAUAGGAGUGGGACUUUGCUCAGAUUGUAGCCAAAGUCCCUGAGGGUUUGCCUCAUCCAAAGUAGUUGCGCGCAACACUGUCCUGCGGCAACAUACUCGGCCUCAGCGGUGGAUAGGGCAACAGAAGUUUGUUUCUUAGAGUUCCAUGACACCAGGGACCUUCCUAAGAAUUGGCACGUCCCCGAUGUACUCUUCCUAUCGACCUUACAUCCAGCAUAAUCGGAGUGUGAGUAUCCAACCAAGUCAAAGGUAGACCCCUUUGGAUACCAGAGCCCGAAGCAAGGCGUAGCAACCAAAUAUCUAAGAAUCCGCUUCACCGCCACUAAGUGACACUCCUUAGGAUCGGAUUGAAAUCUAGCACACAUGCAUACGCUAAGCAUAAUGUCCGGUCUACUAGCACAUAAAUAAAGCAAAGAACCUAUCAUUGACCGGUAUGCUUUUUGAUCAACGGACUUACCUCCUUUGUUGAGGUCGGUGUGUCCGUCGGUUCCCAUCGGCGUCUUUGCGGGCUUGGCGUCCUUCAUCCCAAACCGCUUUAGUAGAUCUUGCGUGUACUUCGUUUGGGAGAUGAAGGUGCCGUCCUUGAGUUGCUUCACUUGGAACCCAAGGAAGUAGUUCAACUCGCCCAUCAUCGACAUCUCGAAUUUCUGCGUCAUCACCCUGCUAAACUCUUCACAAGACUUUUGGUUAGUUGAACCAAAUAUUAUGUCGUCGACAUAAAUUUGGCACACAAACAAAUCACCAUCACAUGUCUUUGUAAAAAGAGUUGGAUCGGCUUUCCCAACCUUGAAAGCAUUAGCUAUUAAAAAGUUUCUAAGGCAUUCAUACCAUGCUCUUGGGGCUUGCUUAAGUCCAUAGAGCGCCUUAGAGAGCUUACACACAUGGUCGGGGUACCGUUCAUCCUCGAAGCCAGGGGGUUGCUCUACGUACACCUCCUCCUUGAUUGGCCCGUUGAGGAAAGCGCUCUUCACAUCCAUUUGGUACAACCUGAAAGAAUGGUGAGCGGCAUAUGCUAGCAAGAUACGAAUGGACUCUAGCCUAGCCACAGGAGCGAAAGUCUCCUCAAAGUCCAAACCUGCGACUUGGGCAUAACCUUUUGCCACAAGUCGAGCCUUGUUCCUCGUCACCACCCCGUGCUCGUCCUGUUUGUUGCGGAACACCCACUUGGUUCCCACAACAUUUUGCUUCGGACGAGGCACCAGUGUCCAAACUUCAUUGCGCUUGAAGUUGUUGAGCUCCUCCUGCAUGGCCAAUACCCAAUCCGGAUCUAGCAAGGCCUCCUCUACCCUGAAAGGUUCAAUAGAAGAGACAAAAGAGUAAUGCUCACAAAAAUUAACUAAUCUAGAUCGAGUAGUUACUCCCUUGCUGAUAUCACCCAGAAUUUGGUCGACGGGAUGAUCCCUUUGAAUCAUCGCUCGAACUUGGGUUGGAGGUGCCGGUUGCGCUUCUUCCUCCAUUACUUGAUCAUCUUGUGCUCCCCUUGAUCAAGCGCCUCCACUUGAGGUACCUGUUCGUCAUCUUCGGUUUGGGGAUGCACCAUAGUUGAGGAAGAAGGUUGAUCUCGUUCAUCUUGUUCCUGUGGCCGCACUUCUCCAAUCGUCAUGGUUCGAAUAGCAGCCGCUGGAACAUCUUCUUCAUCUACAUCAUCACAAUCAACAACUUGCUCUCCUGGAGAGCCAUUAGUCUCAUCAAAUACAACGUCGCUAGAGACUUCAACCAAACCCGAUGAUUUGUUGAAGACUCUAUACGCCUUUGUAUUUGAGUCAUAACCUAACAAAAACCCUUCUACAGCUUUGGGAGCAAACUUAGAAUUUCUACCUUUCUUCACUAGAAUGUAGCACUUGCUCCCAAAUACACGAAAGUACGAUACAUUGGGUUUGUUACCGGUUAGUAGCUCAUACGAUGUCUUCUUGAGGAGGCGAUGAAGGUAGACCCUGUUGAUGGCGUGGCAAGCAGUGUUAACGGCUUCCGUCCAAAAGCACUCGGGGGUCUUGAACUCUCCUAGCAUCGUCCUCGCCAUAUCGAUGAGCGUCCUGUUCUUCCUCUCUACCACACCAUUUUGCUGUGGUGUGUAGGGAGCGGAGAACUCGUGCUUGAUCCCUUCCUCUUCAAGGAACUCCUCCACUUGAAGGUUCUUGAACUCGGAUCCGUUGUCGCUCCUUAUCUUCUUUACUUUGAGCUCAAACUCAUUUUGAGCUCUCCUGAGGAAGCGUUUGAGGGUCCCUUGGGUUUCGGACUUUUCCUGCAAAAAGAACACCCAAGUGAAGCGGGAAAAGUCGUCAACAAUAACUAAACCAUACUUACUUCCUCCUAUGCUCAGAUAGGCGACGGGUCCAAAAAGGUCCAUAUGCAGCAUCUCCAAGGGUCUUGAUGUCGUCAUCACAUUUUUGGUGUGAUGAGAGCCUCCCACCUGUUUCCCUGCUUGACAAGCUGCACAAGGUCUAUCUUUUUCGAAUUGAACAUUAGUUAGACCUAUCACGUGUUCUCCCUUUAGAAGCUUGUGAAGGUUCUUCAUCCCCACAUGUGCUAAGCGGCGAUGCCACAGCCAGCCCAUGCUAGUCUUAGCUAUUAAGCAUGCAUCUAGACCGGCCUCUUCUUUUGCAAAAUCAACUAAAUAAAGUUUGCCGUCUAAUACACCCUUAAAAGCUAGUGAACCAUCACUUCUUCUAAAGACAGACACAUCUACAUUUGUAAAUAGACAGUUAUAUCCCAUAUUGCAUAAUUGACUCACAGAUAGCAGAUUAUAUCCAAGAGACUCAACUAAAAACACAUUAGAUAUGGAGUGCUCAUUAGAAAUUGCAAUUUUACCUAAACCUUUUACCUUGCCUUGAUUCCCAUCACCGAAUAUAAUUGAAUCUUGGGAAUCUUUAUUCUUGACGUAGGAGGUGAACAUCUUCUUCUCCCCCGUCAUAUGGUUUGUGCAUCCGCUGUCGAUAAUCCAGCUUGAACCCCCGGAUGCAUAAACCUGUAAGGCAAAUUUAGGCUUGGGACUUAGGUACCCAACUCUUGUUGGGUCCUACAAGGUUAGUCACAAUUUCCUUAGGGACCCAAAUGCAAGUUUUAUCACCUUUGCAUUUUGCCCCUAACUUCCUAGCAAUUACUUUUCUAUCCUUUCUACAAAUUGCAAAUGAAGCAUUUAAAGCACAAUAAAUUGUAGAGGGUUCAUUCACUACUUUUCUAUGAACAUUUGCAACAUUUCUUUUAGGAACAACAUUUCUCCUAGUAACAUUUCUAUCAUACACAUAAGAGGAACUAGGAGCAAACAUGGCAUGAGAAUCAUAAACAUAUGAAUCAAAAGCAUCAUAACUUCUAUUUCUAGUUUGUCUUUUAUCAUGAUACAAAAAGGCAUGGUUCCUUUUAGCACUAGUAGCCAUAGGGGCCUUCCCUUUCUCCUUGGCGGGAAUGGGAGCCUUAUGGCUUGUUAAGUUCUUGGCUUCCCUCUUGAAGCCAAGUCCAUCCUUAAUUGAGGGGUGUCUACCAACCGUGUAGGCAUCCCUAGCAAAUUUUAGUUUUUCAAAAUCACUUUUGCUAGUCUUAAGUUGAGCAUUAAGACUAGCCACUUCAUUAUUUAACUUUGCAAUAGAAGCUAUGUGUUCACUACAAGCAUCAAUAUCAAAGUCUUUACAUCUAUUGCAAAUAACAACAUUUUCUACACAAGUUGUUGAUUUACUAGCUAUUUCUAUCUUAACAUUCAACUCAUCGUUAAUGCUCUUUAAUUUAGAAAUUGUUUCAUGGCAUGAAGAUAAUUCACAAGUAAGCAUCUCAUUUCUUUUAACUUCUAGAGCAUGAGAUUUUUGAGCUUCUAAAAAUUUAUCAUGCUCUUCAUACAAUAAAUCCUCUUGUUUCUCUAAGAGUUUAUCCUUCUCAUUCAAUGCAUCAAUUAAUUCAUUAAUUUUGCCAAUUGUAAUUCUAUCUAGACCUUUAAAUAAACUAGAAUAGUCUAUUUCAUCAUCGUCACUAGAAUCAUUAUCACUAGAAGAAGCAUAAGUAGAGUUUCGAGUACUUACUUUCUUCUCCUUAGCCAUGAGACACGUGUGACGCUCGUUGGGGAAGAGGGCCGAUUUGUUGAAGGCGGUGGCGGCGAGUCCCUCAUUGUCGGAGUCGGAGGAGGAGCAAUCCGAAUCCCACUCCUUGCCGAGAUGCGCCUCGCCCUUGGCCUUCUUGUAAUUUUUCUUCUUUUCCCUCUUGUUUCCCUGUUCCUGGUCACUGUCGUUAUCGGGGCAGUUAGCGAUAAAAUGACCAAUCUUACCGCACUUGAAGCAUGAGCGCUUUCCCUUUGUCUUGUUCUUGCUUGGCUGCCCCUUGUGACCCUUCAGCACCGUCUUGAAUCUUUUGAUGAUAAGAGCCAUCUCUUCAUCAUUGAGCCCGGCCGCCUCAACUUGCGCCACCUUGCUAGGUAGCGACUCCUUGCUCCUUGUUGCCUUUAGAGCAAUGGGUUGAGACUCGUGGAGUGGACCGUUCAACGCGUCGUCGACGUAUCUUGCCUCCUUGAUCAUCAUCCGCCCGCUCACGAAUUUUCCAAGUACUUCUUCGGGCGUCAUCAUCGUGUACCUGGGAUUCUCACGAAUAUUGUUCACGAGAUGAGGAUCAAGAACGGUAAAUGACCUGAGCAUUAGGCGGACGACGUCGUGAUCCGUCCAACGCGUGCUUCCGUAGCUCCUUAUCUUGUUGAUAAGGGUCUUGAGCCGGUUGUAAGUUUGAGUUGGCUCUUCUCCCCUUAUCAUGGCGAAUCGUCCAAGCUCGCCCUCCACCAACUCCAUUUUGGUGAGCAUGGUGAUGUCGUUCCCCUCGUGAGAGAUCUUGAGGGUGUCCCAUAUCUGCUUGGCAUUGUCCAAGCCGCUCACCUUAUUGUACUCUUCCCUGCACAAAGAUGCUAAGAGAACAGUAGUAGCUUGUGCAUUUUUAUGAAUUUGUUCAUUGAUAAACAUAGGGCUAUCCGAGCUAUCAAAUUUCAUUCCAUUCUCUACAAUCUCCCAUAUGCUUGGAUGGAGAGAGAAUAAAUGACUACGCAUUUUGUGACUCCAAAAUCCGUAGUCCUCCCCAUCAAAGUGUGGAGGUUUACCAAGAGGAAUGGAAAGCAAAUGCGAAUUCGAACUAUGUGGAAUACGAGAAUAAUCAAAUGAAAAGUUCGAAUUGACCGUCUUCCUGUAGUCGUUGUCGUCGUCCUUUUGGGAAGAAGAGGACUCAUCGCUGUCGUAGUAGACGAUCUCCUUGAUGCGUCUUGUCUUCUUCUUCUUCCCAUCUUUUCGCUUGUGGCCCGAGCCCGAGUUGUUGGACUUGUCAUCCCUUGGCUCGUUGACGAAAGACUCCUUCUCCUUGUCGUUGAUCACAAUUCCCUUCCCCUUAGGAUCCAUCUCUUCGGGCGGUUAGUCCCUUUCUUGAAGAGAACGGCUCUGAUACCAAUUGAGAGCACCUAGAGGGGGGGGGGGUGAAUAGGUGAUCCUGUAAAACUUCAAAACUUAAGCCACAAAAACUUGUUAAGUGUUAGCACAAUUGUGGCCAAGUGGCUAGAGAGGAGUCAAAACACAAUAACCACAAGAAAUCAAUCACAGAGAUGACACGGUGGUUAUCCCGUGGUUCGGCCAAGUACAAAACUUGCCUACUCCACGUUGUGGCGUCCCAACGGACGAGAGUUGCACUCAACUCCUCUCAAGUGAUCCAAUGAUCAACUUGAAUACCACGGUGUUCUUGCUUUUCUUUUCUCAAUCCCGUUUGCGAGGAAUCUCCACAACUUGGAGCCUCUCGCCCUUACAAAAGAUGUUCACAGAGAAUCACGGAGCAAGGGAGGGAAUGAGCAACGCACACAAGACUUCAAAAGAUCAGAGCAACACGCACACAAGCAGCAAUGAGAGCUCGCAACACAACUCAAAGAGUACACAACUCCACAAGAGCUCUAUAUGCUAUCACAAUGAAUCGAAUGCGCUAGAUCAAUGUCUUGGUGCUUAGAAAGGUUGUAGGAAUGCUUGGUGUACUCCUCCAUGCGCCUAGGGGUCCCUUUUAUAGCCCCAAGGCAGCUAGGAGCCGUUGAGAACACAACUGGAAGGCUAUCCUUGCCUUCUGUCGUCGGGCGCACCGGACAGUCCGGUGCACACCGGACACUGUCCGGUGCCCGAUUUGUUUCCAUACAAAGCUCAUCCGACCGUUGCUUUCUGAUGCAGAUCUGCGCACAGUUGGCGCACCGGACAGUCCGGUGCACACCGGACAGUCCGGUGCCUCCUUCCGACCGUUGGCCAGACCACAUGUCACGCACAGAAUCCGUGGCCGACCGUUGGCCCUGGCCGACCGUUGGCUCACCGGACAGUCCGGUGCACACCGGACAGUCCGGUGAAUUUUAGCCGUACGCCGUCGGCGAAUUCCCGAGAGCGGCCUCUUCGGCCGAGGCAGCCUGGCGCACCGGACACUGUCCGGUGCACCACCGGACACUGUCCGGUGCACCAGACCGAACCAGCCUGUUGGCUGUACACAGCUAACCUUCUCCUUUUCUUCUUCUCUCUGUUUCUAACACUUAGACAAAUAUAUUAGUACACAAAACCAAUGUACUAAGACUUAGAAACAUACCUUUGCUCUUGAUUUUCACUUUGUUCACCCAUGGACAUAGAUUCACAUUUAAACACAAUGUUGGCAUCUAAUCACCAAAAUACUUAGAAAUGGCCCAAAGGCACAUUUCCCUUUCAAACACUUGUAAUCCAUAUAAACAACUGUCCUUCAAAAAAUAACAUAAACCACAUGAUUUAUAUCCUGGGCCGGUUAUCUCCACAAAGGGCAAGAAAAUGCUCAUAGGUUUGUAGUAUAGAACUAAGAGUGUCUACUUGUCGGCGUUCCGAGACCGGGGGGGUCCCAGAGCCGACGAGUGAAUGUCGCCGCGUGCCCCAGCCCAGAUGGGUCGAGCGCGAGGCCGAGCGCGAAGGGGGGAGAGCGAGGCGGCCGGAGACCGGCGUGAGAGAGGUGGGAAUCCCGCGGCCUUCGUGUUUGUCCCGCGCCCAGGUCGGGUGCGCUUGCAGUAGGGGGUUACAAGCGUCCACGCGGGAGAGGGAGCGAGCGGCUUCAAGCGAGCGCGUACCUCGUCCUCGUCCCCGCGCGGCCAACCCUCCCUAAGAGGGCCCUGGUCCUUCCUUUUAUAGGCGUAAGGAGAGGAUCCAGGUAUACAAUGGAGGGUGUAGCAGAGUGCUACGUGUCUAGCGGAGGAGAGCUAGCGCCCUAAGUACAUGCCAUUGUGGCAGCCGAAGAGAUUUUGGCACCCAACUGGUGUGAUGUCGUGGCCGUCGGAGGAGCGAUGGAGCCUGGCGGAGGGACAGCUGUUGGAGCGGUUGAGUCCUUGCUGACGUCCUCUUGCUUCCAUAAGGGGGCUGAGAGCCGCCGUCGUCACAUAGUAUGCAGGGCGCCAUCAUUGCCUAUCUGGUGGAGCGAGCCAGAUGGGACGCCGAUCUUGUUCCCUGCGGCCCGAGUCAGCUCGGGGUAGGGUGAUGAUGGCGCCUCCUGUUGACGUGACUGGUCUGCGCCCUAGGUUGGGCGAUGUGGAAGCUCCUCCGAAGCCGAGGUCGAGUCUGUCUUCCGUAGCCGAGGUUGAGUCCGAGCCCCCGGGUCGGGCGAGGCGGAGAUCGCCGGCUGAUGCCGGGGCGGAGUCCGAGCCCUGGGGUCGGGCGAAGUGGAGUUCGUCGUCUUCUGGGGCUGAGCCCAAGUCCGAGCCCUGGGUCGGGCGGAGCGGAGUUCGCCGUCUUCCAGGACUUAGCCCGAGUCCGAGCCCUGGGUCGGGUGGAGCGGAGUUCGCCGUCUUCCGGGACUUAGCCCGAGUCCGAGCCCUGGGUCGGGUGGAGCGGAGGUCGCCGUCUUCCGGGACUUAGCCCGUGUCCGAGCCCUGGGUCGGGCGGAGCAGAGUUCGCCGUCUUCCGGGACUUAGCCCGAGUCCGAGCCCUGGGUCGGGCGGAGCGGAGUUCGCCGUCUUCCGGGACUUAGCCCGUGUCCGAGCCCUGGGUCGGGCGGAGCAGAGUUCGUCGUCUUCCGGGACUUAGCCCGUGUCCGAGCCCUGGGUCGGGCGAAGCGGAGCUUCCUAUGGUGCCUUCGACCGGGCCUGACUGCCUGUCAGCCUCACUCUGUUGAGUGGCACCGCAGUCGGAGCGGCGCAGGCGGCGCUGUCUUUCUGUCAGGCUGGUCAGUGGAGCGGCGAAGUGACGACGGUCACUUCGGCUCUGGGGGGCGCGCGUCAGGAUAAAGGUGUCAGGCCGCCUUUGCAUUAAAUGCUCCUGCGACUUGGUCGGUCGGUGCGGCGAUUUGGUCAGGGUUGCUUCUUAGCGAAGACAGGGCCUCGGGCGAGCCGGGAACACAUUCGCCGUUGGAGGGGGGCCUCGGGCGAGACGGAGAUCCUCCGGGGUCGGCUGCCCUUGUCCGAGGCUAGGCUCGGGCGAGGCGUGAUCGGGUCCCUCGUAUGGACCGAUCCCUGACUUAAUCGCACCCAUCAGGCCUUUGCAGCUUUAUGCUGAUGGGGGUUACCAGCUGAGAAUUAGGAGCCUUGAGGGUACCCCUAAUUAUGGUCCCCGACAGUAGCCCCCGAGCCUCAAAGGGAGUGUUAGCACUCGCUUGGAGGCUUUCGUCGCACUUUUUUGCAAGGGGACCAGCCUUUCUCGGUUGCGUUUUGUUCCGGUGGGUGCGCGCGAGCGCACCCGCCGGGUGUAGCCCCCGAGGCCUCGGAGGAGUGGUUUCACUCCUCCGAGGUCUUAAUGCCUCGCGUAAUGCUUCGGCUGGUCUGGUCGUUCCCUCAUGCGAGCUGGCCGUAGCCCGGGUGUACGGUCGGGUCCCAAGUUCUCGGGCUGGUAUGUUGACGCUGUCAACGGUUCAGCCGGAGCCGGGUUUGCGAGAGCAGCCCCCGAGCCUCUGCACAGGGCGAGAGGGCGAUCAGGGACAGACCCGGCUUUUUUACAUACGCCCCUGCGUCGCCUUUCCGCAAGGAGGAGGGGGGAAAGCGCCAUGUUGCCCUCGAUGGGCGCCGAACAUGGUGUCUCCGGUGAGCUGCAAGCGGGUAAUCCGAGUGGACGUCCGUGCCCCGUUCGUUAGGGGUCGGCUAGGGGCCCAGAGGCACACCCAAAAGUACCUGCGGGUGAUCUGCCGGACCCGGUCCCUUGGCGAUGGGGUCCGAGGGCUCGAUGCCUCCCUCUGAUGGGAUUCCGUUACAAGAUCGUUCCCGCUGGUCUCGGAAAUGUCCUAGGGUACCUCGGGAGCGCAGCCCGAGCCUUGGUUAUGUAUCGAACGUACCCAUGGUCAUCCCUCGCUCGGCGUCUGAGGCGGCUGUGAACCCUUCGGGGGCCAGCCUUCGAACCCCUGAUCAGUAGUGGGCGCGGAGCCCGAGUAGCCUGAGGCGGCUGUGGAACCCUUCCGAGGGGCCAGCCUUCGAACCUCUGACCAGUAGUGGGUGUAGGGCCCACGCGAUCUGAGGCGGCUGUCGAACCCUUCCGAGGGGCCAGCCUUCGAACCUCUGAUCAGUAGGGGGGCUCAGAGCCUGGUUCCUUCUCGGGGAAGGAUCCUUUUCGGGGUAUCCCCCUUUCCCGGUCCCUAUUGCAAGAGAGAGAAAGAGGAAAAAAGGAAAAAGAUACGAAAUCGAACAACGCGGCGUACCUUUUUUGACGUGGUCAUUAUGGCGAAGGCGAAGCGUCGCCCGCUUCUCCUGCCAGAGGCGCCGCCUGUCCCGCCGCGGAGUUAAUGCGACGGGGCGAGUGGUUGGCGGGGUGGUCGUUGUGCGUGCACGAGCCGUUCGAGGAACGGAUCACGGGCGCGUUGUCUUCACGUCGUGAGAGAGGGUUCUCUCGCUGCCCCCGGACGGGACGUGAGCUUGGCUGACGACGUGGCCGCUGCUCCUGCCCGCCUGCCACCGCCAUUACUGCUGGCCCACUUUUGGCCGCAUUGACCGUCGCGCCAGGCUGGCGUUGCUGGGUCGCGCGCUGGGUUGCCUCGAGUCGCGGUGUUGGUUCCGCAGUCGAGGAGGCGCGGUAGUGGCGCAAGUGGCGGUGCAGUUGCAUGCACGAAGCAUUUGGCGCGCCGGUUGCAUGACGCGUGGGCCUGGGCCUCCAUGCUGGGCGUGUUGGGAGUCGGAGAAGAGCGCCCACUUGGCGCGGUUGCAUGCCGCCUGCAUGGUUGCCCGCCCCUUUCGCCCGUUGGUCUGGGCAAAAGUGGAGAGUCACUUGUAACCGCUGGGCGGUUGUACGCACCGCGCACGGCGGUUUGGCUUCUUCCGCUCUGAGCCGGCUUGCAUGACGUGUGGGACCCAGCCCCCGCGCCGUAGGGGAGGACCUUGGAGUGUGUUGGAGAAGACUCAGCCCGUGACGGCUGGGGACGCAAGUAGGGAGAGCCGCCUUUAAAAGGAGGGUGACCCCCUUGGGAGGCGACCAUGUCUUCGCGCUCCCUUAUGCAUCGUGUCUUUCCACCUUCCAAACCCCCGGAUGGGGGAUAUCCGCCGUCUUUCCGCCUCGUCGUUGGAGGACGCAACUCCGUGGGAGUGGGUACCUUUCAGCCAUCGUUCGGCUUCAAGGAUUUUCAUCAUGCAGCCCGGCUGCACCCCUCCGCCGGCGGUCACCCAAGAUGGUGACCUCCAGUUUGAUGGUGGGGGAAAGCGAGCCGGGCUACGACCUCUGCCCCUCCCUCAGCCUCAAGGAUUUUCAUCACCAGGGCUGGGGAGGGGAGUGAGCCGAGUUGGGGUCGUCCCCUGCGUGGGCGGUGGCCCGCUCCUUCCCUCAGUGAUCGGAGGGAAAGGGGCGGUCGUCGUCCGUGGCGCUGGCAGCUGCAGCGUGCCUGGCUCUCGGACGCGAGUGGCUUCGGAGCCGCUCCCGGCGCCGGCGUCUGCCACGGCAGCUGGAAGAGGUUCUUCCGCCGACGAGAUAGCCAGGGCCGCCCACGGACCGACCUCCAACUCUACGGCCUUCUGCCUGUCCUUGCCUCACGAGUUUGGGCAUGGGCGGGGCCUCUUGGCAGCAGCAUCCGCCCUGAGGUCAGCGCUGCCGCUGUUCGGCCCCUCGGAGCAGAAGUCGUCGUCAUCGCUGCUGCUGGAGCAGGCGACAGCGCGCCGUUUGUCGGUCUUCUGUUGCUCCACAGGCCCCCCCAUUGAGUGGGGUUGUUCGUACCUGCGGAGGUGGAACCGGAGUUCCGUUUGUAAUGGCACUUUGAAUGCCAGUGUUUUUGUUCAUUGUGGCUGUCGGGGCCUGAACAUGUAUGUAAUUUUGGCACGGAGCCGUGUUUUUCCUCAUUUUCGAGCACUAAGACUCGCCUGUUGGUUGUCUGAAUCGCUUCACCAAGCGUGAGUCGCCCCGUGUAAAGGUGACGAGUGAGGUAUCCGUAUCCCGGAGGCGUAGGAGUCCCUCGGCUCGGUCGGCCUUGUUGUCCGAGGCUUCUCUAGCUUAGUUAAAGGAACCCCUCGGCCGCUCUUCGAUGAGCCGAGGCCAGGGGUAGCGGUAUCAGCAUGAACAGGGGCAGAGUUGGCUUGAAAAGAAAACCUGGUUGGCCGGAGCCUAGCCGGGUCGUCCGUUAGCGGGACCGACACCGGAGUUGACCAGCCGAGGCCUCGAGUCGGGCUGACGUCCUUGGAGGACGGCUGGCCGAGGCCCCGGGGUGACCGGCCGAGCCGUCUGCUCGGGCCGGAUUCCCGGAGAAGACCCUGGCAGCGAUUGCCCGGGCGUGGCGAUGACGUCGUCCUUUAGAGUGGAGAUACUCGGACCGCGUCGCCGUCCGAGGCUAGGUCGGACCUCGCCGAAGGUGUCGUCGAUGCCGAGGGUGCUGCUGCUCCCUUCAGCCGUCAAGAUCCGAGCCUGCAGGAUCGGAUUAUCUUGUAGCAUGUGUUUUCUGCGGCCGCCGAGGCCUAAACACACCCUCGCAGUGUUGUAAAGAUGCGUCUCUUUUCCUCUUGUUUCGAGUAUCUGGACUUUUUUGUCGGUAACAGAAUUGUUUUGUGCGAGCGAGAGUUGCUUCUACGGAAGGUGAUGAGUGAGGUAUCCGUAUCCCGGAGGCGUAGGAGUCCCUCGGCUCGGUCGGCCUUGCCGCUUACGCGCACUCUUACCCGUCCAUGGGGUUCUGUUCCCGACGCAGUCGAGAAGGCUCGAGAAAUCGCUUCGGCAGAAGAGCUUCCGAACGUGAAGACUUGUUUGGUCCGCGGAAUCACUUAUCCGAACGCGAGUUACUUAUCGCAGAAGGUGAUGAGUGAGGUAUCCGUAUCCCGGAGGCGUAGGAGUCCCUCGGCUCGGUCAGCCUUGGCUGCUUACGUGUACUCUGUCGUUUUCAGGAUCCGCUUUCGAAGUAGUCAAAAAGCAUGAAAGACAUUCUGGUAGAAAGGACCUUUUUUCGAGGAAAAAAUUCGACGCAGAGGGGGUUCCCCCCCUUUUAGCCCCCGAGGGAGGGUCAGGCUUUGCCGAGGCAAGGCUGACCCUUCCUUGAUGACUAAACUUUGCGUGGGAGCGAGGUAUAUGAACAACUUGAAAACAUCUUAAGGGUAGAAGCGACGUAGCUGUUGGAUGUUCCAAGCGUUGCUGUAGACCUCGCCUUGACUGUUGGCCAGCUUGUAUGUUUCGGGCUUCAGAACUUUGGCGAUGACGAACGGCCCCUCCCAGGGAGGCGUGAGCUUGUGCCGCCCUCGGGCGUCUUGUCGCAGCCGAAGCACCAGGUCGCCCACCUGGAGGUCUCGGGACCUGACUCCUCGGGCGUGGUAGCGUCGCAGGGACUGCUGGUAUCGCGCCGAGUGUAGUAAGGCCUUAUCCCGAGCCUCCUCCAGCUAGUCCAGCGAGUCUUCUCGGCUAGCUUGGUUGCUUUGGUCGGUGUAGGCCCUCGUCCUCGGGGAGCCGUAUUCCAGGUCUGUGGGCAAGACGGCCUCGGCCCCGUAGACUAGGAAGAACGGCGUGAAGCCCGUGGCUCGGCUUGGCGUUGUCCUCAGACUCCAGACCACCGAGGGGAGUUCCUUCAUCCAUCGCUUGCCGAACUUGUUGAGGUCGUUGUAGAUCCGAGGCUUGAGCCCUUGUAGAAUCAUGACGUUGGCACGCUCUACUUGCCCAUUUGACAUGGGAUGAGCCACGGCGGCCCAGUCCACCUGGAUGUGAUGAUCCUCGCAGAAGUUCAAGAACUUUCUGCCGGUGAACUGGGUGCCGUUGUCGGUGAUGAUGGAGUUCGGGACCCCGAAGCGAUGGAUGAUGUUGGUGAAGAAUGCCACCGCCUGCUCGGACCUGAUGCUGUUUAGGGGUCGGACCUCGAUCCACUUGGAGAAUUUGUCGAUGGCGACCAACAGGUGCGUGUAGCCCCCGGGUGCCUUCUGCAAGGGGCCGACGAGGUCCAGACCCCACACAACAAAAGGCCAGGUGAUGGGUAUCGUCUGUAGAGCCUGAGCGGGCAGGUGGGUCUGUCUUGCGUAGAACUGACACCCUUCGCAGGUGCGGACAGUUCUAGUGGCGUCGGCCACCGCCGUUGGCCAAUAGAAGCCUUGUCGGAAAGCAUUCCCGACAAGGGCUCGAGGUGCUGCGUGAUGGCCGCAAGCCCCCGAGUGUAUCUCUCGCAGGAGUUCCUGACCUUCGGCGAUGGGGAUGCAUCGCUGGAGGAUGCCCGAGGGGCUGCGGUGGUAGAGCUCCUUCUCAUCUCCCAGCAAGACGAACGACUUGGCGCGUCGCGCCAGCCGCCGAGCUUCGGCUCGGUCGGAGGGUAGCUCUCCUCGGUGGAGAUAUUGCAGGUACGGGGUCUGCCAGCUUUGAUCAGGCAUGUCCCCACUUCGCUCCCCCUCGACGUGCAGCGUCUCGCCCUCGGGGGCCGAGGGUGCCUCGGGCCGAACCGAGGAUGCCUCGGACUGAGCCGAGGGUGCCUCGGACUGGGCCGAGGGUGCCUCGGGCUCGGGCGUGUCGUCGAUCUUGAUGGAGGGUUGAUGCAGAUCCCGGGAGAAGAUGUCCGGGGGAACCGUCGUUCGCCCCGAGGCUAUUUUAGCCAGCUCGUCCGCAGUCUCGUUGUAGCGCCGAGCGAUGUGGUUGAGCUCGAGCCCGUAGAACUUGUCUUCCAGGUGCCGAACCUCAUCGUAGUAGGCCUCCAUCUUCGGGUCGCGGCAGUGGGAGUUCUUCAUGACUUGGUCGAUGACGAGCUGUGAGUCACCGCGAGCGUCGAGGCGUCGGACCCCUAGCUCGAUGGCGAUCCGCAACCUGUUGACCAGAGCCUCAUACUCGGCCACAUUGUUGGACGCCGGGAAAUGGAGGCGUAGCACGUAGCGUAGGUGCUUCCCGAGGGGCGAGAUGAAGAGUAGGCCUGCGCCGGCUCCUGUCUUCAUCAGCGACCCGUCGAAGAACAUGGUCCAGAGCUCCGGCUGGAUCGGAGCUGUUGGGAGCUGAGUGUCGACCCAUUCAGCUACGAAGUCCGCCAAGACCUGGGACUUGAUGGCCUUCCGAGGAGCGAACGAGAUCGUCUCGCCCAUGAUUUCCACCGCCCACUUUGCAAUCCUACCCGAGGCCUCCCGGCACUGGAUGAUCUCCCCCAGGGGGAAGGAUGACACCACAGUUACCGGGUGAGACUCGAAGUAGUGUCGCAGCUUCCGCCGCGUUAGGAUCACCGCGUACAGCAGCUUCUGAACUUGUGGGUAGCGGAUCUUGGUUUCGGACAGUACCUCGCUGACGAAGUAAACUGGCCUCUGAACGGGCAAUGCAUGCCCCUCCUCUUGCCUCUCGACCACAAUCGCGGCGCUAACCACCUGAGUGGUCGCGGCGACGUAGACCAAGGGGGCUUCUCCAGCAGCUGGGGGUACCAAGAUAGGCGCCUUCGUGAGGAGCGCCUUCAGGUUCCCGAGGGCUUCCUCAGCCUCAGGGGUCCAAGUGAAGCACUCGGCCUUCCUUAAGAGGCGGUACAGAGGUAGACCUCUUUUGCCGAGGCGUGAGAUGAAGCGGCUCAGAGCCGCGAGGCAUCCCAUGACCCUCUGUAUGCCUUUCAAGUCCUUGAUGGGCCCCAUGCUGGUGAUAGCUGCGAUCUUCUCCGGGUUGGCUUCGAUGCCCCGCUCGGAGACGAUGAACCCCAAGAGCAUGCCUCGGGGCACCCCGAAAACACACUUUUCGGGAUUGAGCUUGACGCCCUUCGCCUUGAGACAUCGGAAUGUUACUUCAAGGUCGGAAAGGAGGUCGGAGGCUUUCCUCAUCUUGACUACGAUGUCAUCGACGUAGGCCUCGACCGUGCGGCCGAUGUGUUGGCCGAACACAUGGUUCAUGCACCGCUGGUACGUCACGCCCGCAUUCCUCAAGCCGAACGGCAUGGUGACAUAGCAGUACAUGCCGAAGGGUGUGAUGAAAGAAGUCGCGAGCUGGUCGGACUCUUUCAUCCUGAUUUGGUGAUACCCCGAGUAGGCAUCGAGGAAAGACAGGGUUUCACACCCAGCAGUGGAAUCCACGAUUUGGUCGAUGCGAGGCAGAGGGUAGGGAACCUUCGGACAUGCUUUGUUGAGACCAGUGUAGUCUACACACAUCCGCCAUUUCCCCCCUUUCUUUCUCACAAGCACAGGGUUGGCAAGCCAUUCGGGAUGGAAUACCUCCUUGAUGAACCCUGCCACCAUUAGCUUGUGGAUCUCCUCGCCUAUGGCUCUGCGCUUCUCCUCGUCGAAUCGGCACAGAGGCUGCUUGACGGGUCGGGCUCCGGCUCGGAUGUCCAGCGAGUGCUCAACGACAUCCCUCGGUAUGCCGGGCAUGUCCGAGGGACUCCACGCAAAGACGUCGGCGUUCGCGCGGAGAAAGUCGACGAGCACUGCUUCCUAUUUGGGACCGAGCUCGGAGCCGAUCCGGACUUGCUUGGAGGCGUCACUGCUGGGGUCGAGGGGGACGGACUUAACCGUCUCCGCUGGCUCAAAGUUGCCGGCAUGACGCUUCACGUCUGGCACCUCCUUCGAGAGGCUCUCCAGGUCGGCGAUGAGGGCCUCGGACUCGGCGAGGGCCUCGGCGUACUCCACGCACUCCACGUCGCAUUCGAACGCGUGUUUGUACGUGGGGCCGACGGUGAUGACCCCAUUGGGGCCCGACAUCUUGAGCUUCAGGUAGGUGUAGUUGGGGACGGCCAUGAACUUCGCGUAGCAUGGCCUCCCCAGUACCGCGUGGUAGGUUCCUCGGAACCCGACCACCUCGAACGUCAGGGUCUCCCUUCGGAAGUUGGAGGGUGUUCCGAAGCAGACGGAAAGGUCGAGCUGUCCGAGGGGCUGGACGCGCUUCCCGGGAAUGAUCCCAUGGAAGGGCGCAGUGCCUGCCCGGACAGAGGAUAGAUCGACACGUAGGAGCCCGAGGGUCUCGGCGUAGAUGAUGUUGAGGCUGCUGCCUCCGUCCAUGAGGACCUUGGUGAGCCUGACGUCGCCGAUGAUGGGGUCGACGACGAGCGGGUGUUUCCCCGGGCUCGGCACAUGGUCGGGGUGGUCGGCUUGGUCGAAGGUGAUGGGCUUGUCGGACCAGUCUAGGUAGACUGGCGCCGCUACCUUCACCGAACAGACCUCCCGGCGCUCUUGCUUGCGGUGCCGAGCCGAGGCGUUCGCCACUUGCCCACCAUAGAUCAUGAAGCAGUCGCGGACCUCGGGGAACUCUCCUGCCUGGUGAUCUUCCUUCUUGUCGUCGUCGCGGGCCUUGCCACCCUCCGCGGGUGGCCCAGCCCUGUGGAAGUGGCGCCGAAGCAUGACGCACUCCUCAAGGGUGUGCUUGACGGGCCCCUGGUGAUAGGGGCACGGCUCCUUGAGCAUCUUGUCGAAGAGGUUGGCACCUCCGGGGGGCUCCCGAGGGUUCUUGUACUCGGCGGCGGCGACAAGGUCCGCGUCGGCGGCGUCGCGUUUCGCUUGCGACUUCUUCUUGCCCUUCUUCUUGGCACCGCGCUGAGUUGACGCCUCGGGGGCAUCUUCCGAAGGGCGGCCCUGGGGCUGCUUGUCCUUCCGGAAGAUAGCCUCGACCGCCUCUUGGCCGGAAGCGAACUUGGUGGCGAUGUCCAUCAGCUCGCUCGCCCCGGUGGGGAUUUUGCGACCCAGCUUGCUCACCAGGUCGCGGCAGGUGGUGCCAGCGAGGAACGCGCCGAUGACAUCCGAGUCGGUGAUGUUGGGUAGAUCGGUGCGCUGCUUCGAGAAUCGCCGGAUGUAGUCCCGGAGAGACUCUCCCGGCUGCUGUCGGCAGCUUCGAAGGUCCCAGGAAUUCUCGGGGCGCACGUACGUGCCCUGGAAAUUCUCGGCGAAAGCUUGGACUAGGUCGUCCCAGUUGGAGAUCUGCCCCGGAGGCAGGUGCUCCAACCAGGCGCGAGCGGUGUCGGAGAGGAACAGGGGGAGGUUGCGGAUGAUGAGGUUGUCAUCGUCCGUUCCACCCAGUUGGCAGGCCAGACGGUAGUCCGCGAGCCACAGUUCCGGUCUCGUCUCCCCCGAGUACUUCGUGAUAGUAGUCGGGGGUCGGAACCGGGUCGGGAACGACGCCCGUCGUAUGGCUCGGCUGAAGGCCUGCGGACCGGGUGGCUCGGGCGAGGGACUCCGAUCCUCCCCGCUGUCGUAGCGCCCCCCACGCCUGGGGUGGUAGCCUCGGCGCACCCUCUCAUCGAGGUGGGCCCGACGGUCACGGUGAUGGUGCUCGUUGCCGAGGCGACCCGGGGCCGCAGGCGCGGUGUUGCGCGUGCGUCCGGUGUAGACCGAGGCUUCCCGCAUGAAUCGGGAAGUUGCGGCAUGAGGUUCCGAGGGGUACCCCUGCCUUCAGGAGGCAGAGCUCUCGGCCCGUCGGACCGCGGCGCCUUUCAGGAGAUUCUUGAGCUCCCCCUGGAUUCGCCGCCCCUCGGUGGUUGAUGGCUCCGGCAUCGUGCGGAGAAGCCUCGCUGCUGUAGCCAGGUUCUGGCCGACCCCACUAGAUGCGGGUGGUGGCCUGACCCUGACAUCGUCGGCGACGCGGUGCUGGAAGCCCUAGGGUAGAUGACGUAUUUCUCCGGCCGGGGGUUGGCCCGCCCAUGCCUGUCCGACGUCCCAGCGGAUCGGCUCAAGCGCUCCUGCUCCCUCGUCGAGCCUGGCCUGCACCCCGCGGAUUUGCUCGAGCUGUGGGUCAUGACCCCCCGCUUGAACGGGGACCACAGCUAGCUCCCAUGGGAUGUCAACGCGAGGCACCGGCCUAGGGAGAUCACCGUCCUCCGGCAUGCCGAGAUGGUUGCCUUCGGAGGGACCCCCUAGAUCGACGUGGAGGCAUUCGCGACUUGGGCCGUAGUCCUCGUCGCCGAGGCUACGGCUACCGUCGGAACAGUCGGAAAGGCAGUAGUCGCAUGCGGUCAUGAAGUCCCGCAUGGCGCUGGGGUUGCCAAGUCCAGAGAAAUCCCAACAGAUGCUGGGCCCGUCGUCUUCCUCGGACCCAGAGGGCCCGUAGGUCGAGACGUCCGUCAGCCGGUCCAAAGGUGACCGCAUACGAAACCCCAGAGGGUUUGGACUUGCCUCUACGAGAGCGCCCGCCAAAGCGAAGUCGCUAGGCGGGUUGAGGCUGAAUCCGAAAGACGUGGGAUGGGAAUCGGUCGGUACCUUCUGGUCGACGGGCGGCGAUGACGUCACGUCGGGGACUGACUGCACCGUCGUCUCAGGUACAAGGGUGACGUCCAGCAAGCCUUUCGCGAGCGUGCUGGCGUCGUCCGCUUGCUCGAGAUUGGCGUGUCGCGGGGAGACGGCGCUCGCCUUCGCCUCAAACGCGAGGUCGAUGCCCGACGCGCCCCCCGUUGGGGCGCUGGGGCCGUCGACUCGCUCGACAGUCGACGAGGCGCUGCCUCCUGCUUGGCCUUGGUUGCCCCGCCUCCUCCUCCAUCGGCGGGGGAGAAGACGGGGUGAGCUCGAACGUUGUUCUUCCACCACGCGGGGAAGACGUCGUCGAUUCCGCCGCCGGCGGGCGGGCUGUCAGCCGCCAUUGUCGUUGUCGCGCGGCAGUGGAAGGAGUAUCAUGUCGUAGCUGCCGUCGAGGGACAUGAACUCAAGACUCCCGAAACGGAGCACCGUCCCAGGUUGGAGAGGUUGCUGGAGACUGCCCAUCUGGAGCUUGACGGGAAGCUGUUCGUCAACACGCAGCAGGCCCCUACCUGGCGCGCCAACUGUCGGCGUUCCGAGAACGGGGGGUCCCUGAGCCGACGAGUGAAUGUCGCCGCGUGCCCCAGCCCAGAUGGGUCGAGCGCGAGGCAGAGCGUGAAGGGGGGAGAGCGAGGCGGCCGGAGACCGGCGUGAGAGAGGUGGGAAUCCCGCGGCCUUCGUGUUCGUCCCGCGCCCAGGUCGGGUGCGCUUGCAGUAGGGGGUUACAAGCGUCCACGCGGGAGAGGGAGCGAGCGGCUUCAAGCGAGCGCGUACCUCGUCCUCGUCCCCGCGCGACCAACCCUCCCUAAGAGGGCCCUGGUCCUUCCUUUUAUAGGCGUAAGGAGAGGAUUCAGGUGUACAAUGGGGGGUGUAGCAGAGUGCUACGUGUCUAGCGAAGGAGAGCUAGCGCCCUAAGUACAUGCCAUUGUGGCAGCCGGAGAGAUUUUGGCACCCAGCUGGUGUGAUGUCGUGGCCGUCGGAGGAGCGAUGGAGCCUGGCGGAGGGACAACUGUUGGAGCGGUUGAGUCCUUGCUGACGUCCUCUUGCUUCCGUAAGGGGGUUGAGAGCCGCCGUUGUCACAGAGUAUGCAGGGCGCCAUCAUUGCCUAUCUGGCGGAGCGAGCCAGAUGGGACGCCGGUCUUGUUCCCUGCGGCCCGAGUCAGCUCGGGGUAGGGUGAUGAUGGAGCCUCCUGUUGAUGUGGCUGGUCUGCGCACUAGGUUGGGCGAUGUGGAAGCUCCUCCGAAGCCGAGGUUGAGUCUGUCUUCCGUGGCCGAGGUUGAGUCCGAGCCCCCGGGUCGGGCGAGGCGGAGAUCGCCGGCUGAUGCCGGGGCGGAGUCCGAGCCCUGGGGUCGGGCGAAGCGGAGUUCGUCGUCUUCUGGGGCUGAGCCCAAGUCCGAGCCCUGGGUCGGGCGGAGCGGAGUUCGCCGUCUUCCGGGACUUAGCCCGAGUCCGAGCCCUGGGUCGGGCGGAGCGGAGUUCGCCGUCUUCCGGGACUUAGCCCGAGUCCGAGCCCUGGGUCGGGCGGAGCGGAGUUCGCCGUCUUCCGGGACUUAGCCUGUGUCCGAGCCCUGGGUCGGGCGGAGCAGAGUUCGCCGUCUUCCGGGACUUAGCCCGAGUCCGAGCCCUGGGUCGGGCGGAGCGGAGUUCGCCGUCUUCCGGGACUUAGCCCGUGUCCGAGCCCUAGGUCGGGCGGAGCAGAGUUCGUCGUCUUCCGGGACUUAGCCCGUGUCCGAGCCCUGGGUCGGGCGAAGCGGAGCUUCCUAUGGUGCCUUCGACCGGGCCUGACUGCCUGUCAGCCUCACUCUAUUGAGUGGCACCGCAGUCGGAGCGGCGCAGGCGGCGCUGUCUUUCUGUCAGGCUGGUCAGUGGAGCGGCGAAGUGACGGCGGUCACUUCGGCUCUGGGGGCGCGCGUCAGGAUAAAGGUGUCAGGCCACCUUUGCAUUAAAUGCUCCUGCGACUUGGUCGGUCGGUGCGGCGAUUUGGUCAGGGUUGCUUCUUAGCGAAGACAGGGCCUCGGGCGAGCCGGGAACACAUUCGCCGUUGGAGGGGGCCUCGGGCGAGACGGAGAUCCUCCGGGGUCGGCUGCCCUUGUCCGAGGCUAGGCUCGGGCGAGGCGUGAUCGGGUCCCUCGUAUGGACCGAUCCCUGACUUAAUCGCACCCAUCAGGCCUUUGCAGCUUUAUGCUGAUGGGGGUUACCAGCUGAGAAUUAGGAGCCUUGAGGGUACCCCUAAUUAUGGUCCCCGACACUACUCUCACGAUUUCAUCCCGACAUAUGCAAACUAGACACUAAUCACGUAAAGUAAAGACAUAUGUGGAAACAUGAACUUAUAGAAUGUAUUUCAAUCUAUAGAUUGUUGAUUAUUAUGGUAGAUUAUAUAAUAUAGGGGUAUCCGAAGAAAUACGUAAAAAACAAGAGAACUAAAAUUACCUUUUCAUAUUCGGCUAACUGGUAAAAGGACUUGUUGUAUCUGAGUUUCCAAAUUUGGGACGUAGAUGUAAAAAAGGAAUAUAAAUACAAUGGGAAAAAUUCUAAAAGGCAAGGUUUAACACAAGUAGGGCUAAGAAAAAUCAAUGAGGCUUUGGUUGCAUGGUUACAAAACUAGAGACAAGAAACUCACGAAGAAACCAAGGUAAUUAGUAUGAGAGUUUUCCAAAUUUGGUGUCUUGAUGUAGAUAAAUAAAUAUAUGACAAACGUGUUUUUUGUAUGGCAUGGUAAAAUAAGUGGGAGUGAGCAAUGAAUUUCAUUCUAGAUUUAGAAGGAAUAAAUAUAUCACUAAAUAUGGUCUUUCCCAAUGCCAAGUUAAGCGGGUGGGACCAAGAAAAGAAAAUCUUGCAAGGCUUGGUUGUACCAGUCCGAAACUAGAUACAACAGAGGAAAAAUGAAAAAAUGAUGGUCUACCAAAUAUGGCAUAUGAGCCUUAAGGUGGACCUAGAGGGAAGUAGAAGAAAUAAAUAUAUAACUGAAUAUGUUCUUCGCAACGUGUCACACCCGGUUUCAGAAGGCAAACCGAAUGCGAACCAUGUACGUGCCAGGAUCAGAACUCACGUACACAGCGAUUACAUAAAUGACUCAUCAUAGCACAAUGCUUCGAAUAAUCAUAAAGAGUAAGUAAUAUUAUUACAGACGAGAGUCAUUAACAUAAUAUAUAUCAAAGUGCACAUAAUAGAAACGUAGCCAACGUAAAUAAACCCACCACAGGCAGCUGACUGGGGGUGGUCGCUAGCCUAAUCCUCGAACUCGACGAAGUCCUAGAACUCCUAGAGAUCCACAUCGACGCCUUCUUCUUCUUUACCUGAGCAUAGGUUGCACCAAAGGCAACCUGGUGUUUGUGAAAGCAAGGGUGAGUACACAUCAACGUACUCAGCAAAUGUCCCGUUUGGCUGAGGUGGACUAGCUUUAUGUGGGGUUAGGCUGAUAGCAUGUUGCUUUUACUUUAUCAAGUUUUAUUCAUUAAUAUGAGCCAAGUUUUAUCAACAGUCCCCAAUUAUUAUCCCAGAGAGCACCUCCUCAUAGAGGAAAUACCAUAAAUCCAUAGUCAGAAUCAUCAUUAAUAGAACCAUCAUCAUCAUCUGUAAUCAUUAUAUCUCAGAUCAUCUGUAAUCAUCAUAUCUCAAAUCAUCUGUAACUCUAAUCAAAGAGGAUCCCAAGGCCGCUCAUAACCGUGAGCACGACUGAUAUAUCAGUUUCUAACACUCUGCAGAGGUUGCACACUUUACCCAUGAGCCGUGAUUUCCAUUUUGCCCGGGGAUCAUGACUCCCCAUUGAUCACUUCCUAGGUGGUCCGGCAGGGUAUCACUACGUAGCCUUUACAAAGAUUCCCUAGAGGUCAUAGCCGCCCGUUAGGUUUCUCCAGUUUGAUAAACACAGUACCUCUCCCCGAAGGGGGGUGACUAACAAAAGCAAAACGAAAGAACCUCGGCACCCAGCCUCGGCAGAGCAAGCACUGUGCCUGGACCCCAUUGACGGCACGACGGCGAAGCAACUACACCUCUAGUUCCUCUAAUUAAUUAGCUAAGGGCACCCCAUUCCACCCUCAUGGUUGCACUGUUAUCCCGGGUGGUCUCUCAACGAACAGGUCCUUACGGAGAGGUACUCAGGAAACAGCCUGAGCCCCCUAGAGUAUCACAAGAUCAUCAAUAUCAUCAGGAUAACAGUAUCAUAAAUAGUCACAUCAUGUUCAUUGAUUAAGUUAAGGCAAUAGCAGAAUGCUAACCAUAACAGCCCAUAAGGUCAUCAAGGAUAAAGUAAAGUGUAAAGCUAGUAAAUCCUUAGGUUUCAAGUAAGUAAUGCGGGAUAGUAAGUUAUAAGUGAAUAGGACAUAAUGGGUCAGAGGACACUUGCCUUCACCAAACUGCUGAUCAGGGACUUCCUCUGCAACUUCCUCGGGAAACACAAACUGCUCGUUGUCUACGUAAAGUAAUCAUUCACACUAUGCACUUGGGAAAUAACAAACAAAAGCAAUAUACCAAACAUAUGCAGCAGAGGGAUCACAAGUUCAUAAUAGAAAAGGAUUGGCACACUGGGGUUCCUUAGGUCUAGGGUAGAGGACUACACAAAGUGACUCACUAUCCACUAAUCGGGUUUAAGUCAGUGGUGGGGUUAAAUCAUUAUAUGAUUUUAAGUCUCUAAACUUAGGUGUUUAAGUCCAUAAACUUAGGUGCUCCAACUUUUAUUAAAGUCUACCAUCUUCUAUUUAUCUCAAAUAGGGUUCCAAUAACCUUAAUCCUAUCCUAAUGAUCAACUAUUAAUUGGGACAUGGAAACAGCAGGGAAACAUUGUUUAAAUAGAUAGACAAAAAUACUAUGAGCAUUUUGCAAUUUGAAGCACCUAAUUUGGAGUUCAUAUGACAAAGUUAUGAAUUUUACAAGUUUAGGGAUUAAAAAUAUGCCCUAAAUACUUAUUUUGAAUUAAAUAAAAGGUCCGAGGACCUAACUGCGAGAAUCCAGGGACGGCGGGUUAAUUUGCGGAAAGGCGGGGGUCUCUUUAAGAAAACGCGCGGGCGAAGGGGUAUCGGGCUCCUACGACCGUCGGAUCUCAGAUCAACGCGCAGGAUUAGAUCCGCGGGCGGGCGCGCGAGCGCGCGGCGGCCUGAGCGGCUGACAGGCGGGGCCAGGCGGGCAGCGCGGGGCGGCGGGCUGACAGGCGGGGCCAGGCGGGCAGAGCGAGCGCAAGCGGCUGACCGGUGGGGCCCAAACGGCAGGGAGGCGGGGUGCGGGGGAAACGGCUCUGGGCCGUUGGAUCUCCGGUAGGCGGCCAGGAUUGGGCUCGGGCUAUUUAAAAUAGAGCCAUCCGAUCCGAGAUGGACGGCGGGGAUGGGGCGGCUGGCUUCUGUCCCCUUCUCCAGCCAGCUGAGGCGGCGGCGGCCGCACCCGCGGCGGAGAAGCUCGCCGGAGACAAGGGCGCGGGGGCUCUGCGGGUCCUUAGGGCGACCGGAGUGGCCUGGGAGGUUGGGGAAGGCGCGGGGAAUCUUCUGGCGGGAGCUAGGUUGGGACAGGGGCACCGGAGGGGGGCGGUUCACGGCGAAGCGGCUCGGCGGCGGCGUUAAUCGACUCCGGCGAACAAUUAAGCGCAGCAGAGAGCCAUACAAAGGUCGAUAGGGGGCGGGAGAGGUUCCUUACCUCAAGGCGGGCUCCGGGGACUCCUUGGUGGCGGCAAUGGCGCGACGGCGGCCCGGGGCGACGGUGGCGGACCUCUGCGGCUGCACGGAGGACGGCGGGUGAGCGCGGACAGGGGAAAUUAGAGAGGGGGAGGAGGAAUUGGGGCGUGUCCCGGGUUGCGGACGCCGAGGCGAAGCUCACCGUGGCAGAGGGCACGGCGGGGCUCCGACGUCGACGGAGAAACGGGCUCGGGACGGCGGCGGUUUAAUGGCGGCGGUGCUCUGGCGUGUGCGCGACGUGGGGGAGGUUGGAGAGGGGUCUGCAGGUGCGCAAAUGAGGGAGGGGGUGAGGGCGAGCGGGGUUCUGGGCUCAAGUGGCCGGGGGGCGGGGUGGUUGCGAGCUUCACGUGCGACGUGGGCGCGGAGACCGCGGCAACGCGCAGCUCGGGCGGCGGUUACGCGAAGACGGCGGAGCUGACAGCUCGGGCCCGCGAGCAGAGAGAGAGAGGAAAGCGGGCGCGGGCGCGGAGAAGGCGGCCGGCGCUGACGGGCGGGCCCGCCAGGACAGAGAGAGAAAGGGGGAAGAGGCGCGCGCGGGAUGGGCCUGGUGGGCCGAAAGGCCGAGGGGGCGGGGGGAGUGGGCUUCUUUUCCUUUUUCUUUUUAUUCUGGAAUUUGUUUUCCCUUUUCUUUUUAUUUAUUCUAUUUGAUUCAAAUCCAAAUAAGCCACAAACUCAAAUUAGACUUUCCAAGAAUUAUGCACCAAACAAAAGUGAAAUCUAGGGUUCAACAUGAUGCAACAAUUCAUACUCCCUUGUAGUUUAACCCACUAAAUUAUAAUUACAAAUAAGAAUAACCACCCUUUUCCUAUAGAAAUGAGAAAGAGGAGAUUGGGGAAAAGUGAGAAAAGAGAAGUAACACCUGAAUUUGUGAAUAUGAGCAAAGAAAUUUUAUACCCCCAAAUUCAGGGUGUUACAAACCUAUCCCCCUUAAAAGAAUCUCGCCCCGAGAUUCAAGGUUGGUCAGCAAAGAGUUCAUGGUAUUUAGCCUUCAGAUCAUCUUCUCGUUCCCAGGUUGGUUCUUCCUCGGAGUGGUGACCCCAUCUGACUUUGCACAUUCUGAUGGUGUUCCUCCGGGUGACUCUGUCUGCAAACUCCAGAAUCUGCGUUGGCUUCUCUAUGUAUGUCAGAUCCUCCUGGACCUCCAAACCCUCCACUGGCAACUGUUCUUCUGGUACUCGCAGACACUUCUUCAGUUGGGACACAUGGAACACAUUGUGCACUGCCGACAAACUUUCUGGUAGGUUGAGCUGGUAGGCCACUUCUCCACGCUUGGCUUGGAUCUGAUAUGGUCCGACGUACCGGGGUGCUAACUUGCCUUUAACUCCGAACCUUCUGACUCCCCUGAUAGGUGACACCUUCAGAUAGACGUAAUCUCCCACUUCGAAACUCAGUUCUCUUCUCCUUCGGUCCGCAUAGCUUCGCUGUCUUGACUGGGCUAUCUUCAGAUUCUCCCGAACCAUUUUGAUAUUCUCUUCGGCUUCAAGCAAGAUGUCGGGGCCAAACACCUGUCUCUCUCCUGGCUGGUCCCAAUGCAGCGGAGUCCUACAACUCCGCCCAUAGAGUGCCUGAAAUGGCGACAUCUUCAAGCUGGCCUGGUAACUAUUGUUAUAGGAGAAUUCUGCAUAAGGUAACCUUUUGUCCCAUCCUGACUUGUCUUGCAACGCACAGGCUCUCAACAUAUCUUCUAGGAUCUGAUUAGUUCUUUCAGUCUGACCGACUGUCUGUGGGUGAUAAGCUGAGCUGAAGUUCAAAUGUGUGCCCAAAGCUUCUUGUAGCUGCUGCCAAAAAUGAGAGGUGAACUGCGUUCCUCGAUCUGACACUAUCUUCUUCGGCACACCAUGAAGGCAGACUAUCCGUGACAUGUAUAACUCAGCUAACGUUGCUCCGGUGUAUGUUGUCUUCACGGGUAUGAAAUGGGCCACCUUUGUUAAGCGGUCCACAACCACCCAGAUGGAAUCAUAACCGGCCCGGGUACGAGGUAGGCCAACUAUAAAAUCCAUCCCGAUCUCAUCCCACUUCCACUGAGGAAUCCGCAAUGGCUGCAACAAUCCGGCGGGUCUCUGAUGCUCUGCUUUGGUUCUUUGACAGCUAUCACAGAUGGCGACAUAUUCUGCGAUCUCUCUUUUCAUGCCAUACCACCAAAACCUUCUUUUUAAAUCCUGGUACAUCUUCUCGCUCCCUGGGUGUAUGGAGUAGGCUGUCUCAUGAGCUUCCUUGAGGAUCAGUUCCCGAAUAGGUUUGAGGUCGGGAACACACAAUCGGUCCUUGAACCAUAUUACCCCCUCUUCAUCCUCUCGAAAGUCUUUGCCUCUUCCUUCUAAGAUCAGCUGCCGGAUCUUGUUGAUGCUUUCAUCAUCCUUCUGCCCUUCUUUGAUCUCCCGCUCCAGGGUGGGCUCUAAUUCCACUGUUACUCCUUGCGUACUGUUCAGGAAACCGAGGCUCAGUCUGUCGAACUCUUUGGCUAACUCAUACGGCAUCGGGUACGAGGCCAACAUAUUGACUUGACUCUUCCUGCUCAGAGCAUCUGCAACAACAUUGGCUUUGCCUGGAUGGUAAUGUAUCUCCAACUCAUAGUCCUUGAUCAAUUCCAACCAUCUUCGCUGCCUCAUGUUUAACUCUGACUGGGUGAAUAUGUACUUCAGACUUUUAUGAUCUGUGUAGAUGUCGCACUUCUGCCCGUACAGGUAAUGUCUCCAGGUCUUUAAAGCAUGAACCACCGCUGCCAACUCCAGGUCAUGUGUGGGAUAAUUUUUCUCAUGGAUCUUCAGCUGUCGAGAUGAGUAUGCUACAACUCUUCCUUCUUGCAUUAGCACACAUCCCAAUCCGGUGUAAGAAGCGUCGCAAUACACUGAGAAUGACUUGUGAACAUCAGGCAGAACUAGCACAUGAGCUGUAGUCAAUCUAUUCUUCAGUUCUUCAAAUGCUUCCUGACACUUUUGGGUCCACUUAAACUCAACUUUCUUCGCUAGUAACGCUGUCAUUGGUCUAGCAAUCUUUGAGAAGCCUUCGAUGAAAUGCCUGUAGUAUCCGGCCAUUCCGAUGAAGCUUUUGAUCCCACGAACAUCCUUCGGUGCUUUCCAGUUCAGGAUAUCUGCCACUUUCUUUGGAUCCACUGCUAACCCAUCUUGGUUUAUGAUGUGACCCAGAAAUAAGACUUCAUGAAUCCAGAACUCGCAUUUGCCCAGCUUGGCAUACAACUGGUGCUCUCGAAGUCUUUGCAAUACCAUCUUCAAAUGCUCUACAUGAUCUUCCUCACUUUGAGAGUAUAUGAGAAUGUCAUCGAUGAACACUACCACAAACUUGUCUAGAUAGUCCAUGAACACGCUGUUCAUCAGAUACAUAAAGAAGGCUGGCGCAUUUGUCAAACCAAAGGACAUAACUGUGAACUCAUAUAACCCAUACUUGGUGAUGAAUGCUGUCUUCGGUAUGUCCGAGGGUCGGAUUCUGAGUUGAUGGUAACCUGAUCUCAGAUCUAUCUUCGAGAAUACGCUGGCACCUCUGAGCUGGUCGAACAAAUCUUCUAUCCUUGGCAGGGGGUACUUGUUCUUGACAGUGACUUCAUUCAAGGCUCUGUAGUCUAUGCACAUCCUUUUGGUACCAUCUUUCUUCUCUACAAACAACACUGGAGCGGCCCAAGGCGAGGUACUUGGCCUGAUGUAACCCUUCUCUAACAUCUCAUCUAUCUGCUUCUUGAGUUCUACCAGUUCUGGUCCAGACACUCGAUAGGCUCUUUUGGAAAUGGGGGCGGUACCAGGGAUAAGCUCUAUGGCAAAUUCGACUUUUCUCUCGGGUGGCAUGCCCGUUAGCUCCUCGGGAAACACAUCCGGAAAGUCUGACACAACCUUGAUAGCCUCGAGCGGGUUGGGCUCCUUACUAUCAACUGAAAUCUGGUGACAGACUCCCUCCGCUGAUUUAGGCAUCCUUAGCUCGGCCACUACCUCCUCUCCUGACGGGGACUUCAAUGUUACGGUCCUCUUGUCACAACUAACAUUUGCUUCAUACUUCAUUAACCAAUUCAUCCCUAGAAUAACAUCUAUCCCAGGGGUGUCUAUUACUAUUAAGUCACUGGGGAAUCCUAUCCCCCUUAUUUCCACCAUUAUAUUUGAGCAUAUUUUAUCUGUUUGCACCUUGCCACCAACCGAAUUAAUCCUCAUGGGCGGCAUCAUUGCCUCUAUUGAGAUGUUAUGCAAUUCUACCCAUGUUGCAGUGACAAAUGAAUGAGUUGCACCAGUAUCAAAUAGCACUUUUGCGGGAUGAGAUUCGACUGAGAACAUACCUACUGCCACAUCUGGUGCAUCUUGGAUUGCUUCGGCCUCCAAGUGGUUCACCUUUCCACGGUUGUACGCUUGGCUACGAUUGCCCGCUGCCGGCUGCAGUACACCUUGCCUUGUUGGAGCAUUAGGGUUGGUCUGCUGCUGCGCCAUCUUCUUUGGGCACUGCAUCGCCCAGUGGCCUUGAUCUCCACAGUGGAAACAUCCUCUGCCUCCUCCUUGUGCUGGGGCUGCUUGGUUGCUCUGAUUUGUUGCGGGGGCAGGAAGGCGAGGUGCCUGGUUGUUCUGCUUCUGAUACUGAUUACCUCCCUGCUGGCUGUGCUGACGAUACUGCUGCUGCUGCUGUGGGUACUGCCUCUGAAACUGCUGCUGAUGCGGACGCUGAUUCUGAUUCUGAUAUCCCUGUGGGUGACCAGGCCUGCCUUGCUGAGAUGAACUGCCUGAGAAACGGGGACGGCUGAUGCCUCCGGACUGGGGUCCACUCAUCUUGCGCUUCCGAUCUUCCAUAUCCUUACGCUUCUUCUCAGUCAUAACUGCCCUAUCGAUCAGGUGCUGGAAGGUGGGGAAGGUGUGAUUCAUCAGCUGGUAAUGCAGGGGAUCCACCAAACCUCUCAUGAACCUGUACUGCCUUUUAGCAUCAGUGUUGACGUCUUCAGGUGCAUAACGAGACAGCUGCAGAAACUUGUCUCUGUAUUCACUAACAGACAGGGGUCCCUGCUUCAGAGCCAGAAACUCCUCCUUCUUCACGAUCAUCAGUCCCUCUGGCACAUGGUACCUGCGGAAACUCUCGCUGAAUUCUUCCCAGGUGAUGGCUUCGGGGUCAGCAUGUGUGGCGAGGUAGGACUCCCACCAGGACUGGGCUGCUCCCCUUAGCUGCCGGGGACCAUACAGAACCUUCUCCCUGUUGUCACAUUGGGCGGUGCGCAGUUCCCUUUCCACCGCGCGCAGCCAGUCUUCUGCAUCCAUGGGGUCAGCAGAAUGGGUGAAGGUAGGAGGGUGCCCUCUCAUGAACUCACCACGCUUAUCCCGUGGCAUCUGGGGCAUCUGCACUUGCAAUUGGGGUUGGGGUUGCUGUUGAGCCUGCUGCAUGGCUGCUAGAGUCUGCCCAAUGGCCUGCACUGCCUGAGUCUGCAUCAAGAACAUCUGCUCCACUGACAUCGGGGGUGGUGGGGGAGGCUGCCUCUGUUGUUCCUCUUGCUGGUCAUGCUGCUCUUGCUGAGCACGCCUGUUGCAUUGGCGCCUGUUGUCAGACAUCUGUGGAAGACAUUCAUACAUCAGCAUUGAUCUUACAAUCCUUCAGCAUAAGAAAAGAGAAUACGGAAUUCUUCAUGACACUGAGUGAAUAAAGAGCUUCACUGAUCCUCAUUUAUGAUUCAACACAGCUUCUCAGAUAAGAAGGAAAGUAGAAGUAAAUGGUUUCCCAACUAAACAACUGACUUCAUUAACAUUACUAGCUAGGCCAAACUGCAAGGGAAACCCACAGGUUGGCAACAGUCAUUACAAAGAUUCGAAUCCAGCACAAGUUCAUCAUAACAAGCAUGAAAGCAACUGAUAAGCAAACUAAACUAAAUGGAAGCAUCUGAUAAGCAAACUAAACUGACUACCUAAGACUGAGACAUCUGACUUAAGAAUUAUUACAAACUCCGACGCUAACGAUCUAAGGAUCCAGAUCUAUCCUGGUCUUACAGGCAGGGGAACCAUAAGUGUGGUGACCACGUGGCGGCGAGCGGUAAGGGUGCUGAGUCCCAACAGGAGCGGGGGAACCACCCUCCUGGUGAUGGCGCUCUGCCAGCUCAGCACGCAACUCCGCAAUCUCCGUUCGAGCCCUGCUUAGCUCGUCCAGAGAGUGAUCCAGCUCAGUGUUAAGCACCGCGACUAGGUUGACUGUGCUGCUCAACCUAGGGUUAGCCUCACCAACAGGUGAGACAACCACACUCUCUGUGCUGCCAGUAGGGCGGCGGGGGUAGUACCGAAGGUUAAGACCGUCGGCCACCCCACCGAACAAAGAACAGUACUGGGAGAGUGCACGCCGUGCUGCAUCCUGCAUAGCCGCCUCUGCAGUGUCCCUCUCGGAGAUGGAAUAGUGCUCCGAAACGGCCUCCGCACCCCGGAGGUCAUCCUCCGGACGGCGAACUAGGCAGGUAGCCUCCCAGCGGUCCGGGUACCUCCCGCGACUGUGCUGGUUGACUACACAACGAUACUCGAUCGACCAGGUGUGCCGGUCGAAAGCCUGGCGCAGCAAGGUGUCGAGUGCGUCGUGGAAGUGACAACCGCGAGCGGCGUCACGGGUUUUGGGUCGGGCGACCCAUCCUUCCGCCUCCUGCAGCUCAGAAGACUCCGUGCUAUGGUCUGAGUCGUCGUCGGGGUCUCCUCCAGGAUCUCCUCCAACAGCCGGGGCGUCCCGCGGUGGUGCAGGGGGCGCCUCCAGCUGGGCCACAGAGGAACGGGGCCUCACGGACUCCACCUCUCACUGGGGUGGGGAGGAAGAGCCCUGCUGCUCUCUGUGCUGGCGCCGGCGUUCCUGCUCCUCACGCAGGCGGUGGUGCAGCCUCUCCAGGUGACUCGACUGACCGGACACGGUGCGGUGCAGAGGACGCUCCGCAAGUCGAGACGGCAGGAAAGGAAUCACCGACUUACGUGCAGUGUGUCUAAGACGAGCCAUCUACAAAAGACACCGUAAGCAUAAGAGUAAGAGCAGAACUAAUAUGACAAGUGAAUAAACCAUAGACAGAAUAAGAUAAAAAUUUUAACAAGGUAUAAUAUAGUAUAUAUAUGUAGUAAAACGUAGGGUUGGUCGAGGUGACCGACUUUUGAAGCAACAUCAGAGGUCAAGGUGAGAGGGGAGGUCAAUAGUCCUUAGUACGACCAGUGCUACUCUAGGUCAGCGGUCCUACAGUCAGCACGGCUUUGAUACCACUUAUGUCACACCCGGUUUCAGAAGGCAAACCGAAUGCGAACCAUGUACGUGCCAGGAUCAGAACUCACGUACACAGCGAUUACAUAAAUGACUCAUCAUAGCACAAUGCUUCGAAUAAUCAUAAAGAGUAAGUAAUAUUAUUACAGACAAGAGUCAUUAACAUAAUAUAUAUCAAAGUGCACAUAAUAGAAACGUAGCCAACGUAAAUAAACCCACCACAGGCAGCUGACUGGGGGUGGUCGCUAGCCUAAUCCUCGAACUCGACGAAGUCCUAGAACUCCUAGAGAUCCACAUCGACGCCUUCUUCUUCUUUACCUGAGCAUAGGUUGCACCAAAGGCAACCUGGUGUUUGUGAAAGCAAGGGUGAGUACACAUCAACGUACUCAGCAAAUGUCCCGUUUGGCUGAGGUGGACUAGCUUUAUGUGGGGUUAGGCUGAUAGCAUGUUGCUUUUACUUUGUCAAGUUUUAUUCAUUAAUAUGAGCCAAGUUUUAUCAACAGUCCCCAAUUAUUAUCCCAGAGAGCACCUCCUCAUAGAGGAAAUACCAUAAAUCCAUAGUCAGAAUCAUCAUUAAUAGAACCAUCAUCAUCAUCUGUAAUCAUUAUAUCUCAGAUCAUCUGUAAUCAUCAUAUCUCAAAUCAUCUGUAACUCUAAUCAAAGAGGAUCCCAAGGCCGCUCAUAACCGUGAGCACGGCUGAUAUAUCAGUUUCUAACACUCUGCAGAGGUUGCACACUUUACCCAUGAGCCGUGAUUCCCAUUUUGCCCGGGGAUCAUGACUCCCCAUUGAUCACUUCCUAGGUGGUCCGGCAGGGUAUCACUACGUAGCCUUUACAAAGAUUCCCUAGAGGUCAUAGCCGCCCGUUAGGUUUCUCCAGUUUGAUAAACACAGUACCUCUCCCCGAAGGGGGGUGACUAACAAAAGCAAAACGAAAGAACCUCGGCACCCAGCCUCGGCAGAGCAAGCACUGUGCCUGGACCCCAUUGACGGCACGACGGCGAAGCAACUACACCUCUAGUUCCUCUAAUUAAUUAGCUAAGGGCACCCCAUUCCACCCUCAUGGUUGCACUGUUAUCCCGGGUGGUCUCUCAACGAACAGGUCCUUACGGAGAGGUACUCAGGAAACAGCCUGAGCCCCCUAGAGUAUCACAAGAUCAUCAAUAUCAUCAGGAUAACAGUAUCAUAAAUAGUCACAUCAUGUUCAUUGAUUAAGUUAAGGCAAUAGCAGAAUGCUAACCAUAACAGCCCAUAAGGUCAUCAAGGAUAAAGUAAAGUGUAAAGCUAGUAAAUCCUUAGGUUUCAAGUAAGUAAUGCGGGAUAGUAAGUUAUAAGUGAAUAGGACAUAAUGGGUCAGAGGACACUUGCCUUCACCAAACUGCUGAUCAGGGACUUCCUCUGCAACUUCCUCGGGAAACACAAACUGCUCGUUGUCUACGUAAAGUAAUCAUUCACACUAUGCACUUGGGAAAUAACAAACAAAAGCAAUAUACCAAACAUAUGCAGCAGAGGGAUCACAAGUUCAUAAUAGAAAAGGAUUGGCACACUGGGGUUCCUUAGGUCUAGGGUAGAGGACUACACAAAGUGACUCACUAUCCACUAAUCGGGUUUAAGUCAGUGGUGGGGUUAAAUCAUUAUAUGAUUUUAAGUCUCUAAACUUAGGUGUUUAAGUCCAUAAACUUAGGUGCUCCAACUUUUAUUAAAGUCUACCAUCUUCUAUUUAUCUCAAAUAGGGUUCCAAUAACCUUAAUCCUAUCCUAAUGAUCAACUAUUAAUUGGGACAUGGAAACAGCAGGGAAACAUUGUUUAAAUAGAUAGACAAAAAUACUAUGAGCAUUUUGCAAUUUGAAGCACCUAAUUUGGAGUUCAUAUGACAAAGUUAUGAAUUUUACAAGUUUAGGGAUUAAAAAUAUGCCCUAAAUACUUAUUUUGAAUUAAAUAAAAGGUCCGAGGACCUAACUGCGAGAAUCCAUGGACGGCGGGUUAAUUUGCAGAAAGGCGGGGGUCUCUUCAAGAAAACGCGCGGGCGAAGGGGUAUCGGGCUCCUACGGCCGUCGGAUCUCAGAUCAACGCGCAGGAUUAGAUCCGCGGGCGGGCGCGCGAGCGCGCGGUGGCCUGAGCGGCUGACAGGCGGGGCCAGGCGGGCAGCGCGGGGCGGCGGGCUGACAGGCGGGGCCAGGCGGGCAGAGCGAGCGCAAGCGGCUGACCGGUGGGGCCCAAACGGCAGGGAGGCGGGGUGAGGGGGAAACGGCUCUGGGUCGUUGGAUCUCCGGUAGGCGGCCAGGAUUGGGCUCGGGCUAUUUAAAAUAGAGCCAUCCGAUCCGAGAUGGACGGCGGGGAUGGGGCGGCUGGCUUCUGUCCCCUUCUCCAGCCAGCUGAGGCAGCGGCGGCCGCACCCGCGGCGGAGAAGCUCGCCGGAGACAAGGGCGCGGGGGCUCUGCGGGUCCUUAGGGCGACCGGAGUGGCCUGGGAGGUUGGGGAAGGCGCGGGGAAUCUUCUGGCGGGAGCUAGGUUGGGACAGGGGCACCGGAGGGGGGCGGUUCACGGCGAAGCGGCUCGGCGGCGGCGUUAAUCGACUCCGACGAACAAUUAAGCGCAGCAGAGAGCCAUACAAAGGUCGAUAGGGGGCGGGAGAGGUUCCUUACCUCAAGGCGGGCUCCGGGGACUCCUCGGUGGCGGCAAUGGCGCGACGGCGGCCCGGGGCGACGGUGGCGGACCUCUGCGGCUGCAUGGAGGACGGCGGGUGAGCGCGGACAGGGGAAAUUAGAGAGGGGGAGGAGGAAUUGGGGCGUGUCCCGGGUUGCGGACGCCGAGGCGAAGCUCACCGUGGCAGAGGGCACGGCGGGGCUCCAACGUCGACGGAGAAACGUGCUCGGGACGGCGGCGGUUUAAUGGCGGCGGUGCUCUGGCGUGUGCGCGACGUGGGGGAGGUUGGAGAGGGGUCUGCAGGUGCGCAAAUGAGGGAGGGGGUGAGGGCGAGCGUGGUUCUGGGCUCAAGUAGCCGGGGGGCGGGGUGGUUGCGAGCUUCACGCGCGACGUGGGCGCGGAGACCGCGGCAACGCGCAGCUCGGGCGGCGGUUACGCGAAGACGGCGGAGCUGACAGCUCGGGCCCGCGAGCAGAGAGAGAGAGGAAAGCGGGCGCGGGCGCGGAGAAGGCGGCUGGCGCUGACGGGCGGGCCCGCCAGGACAGAGAGAGAAAGGGGGAAGAGGCGCGCGCGGGAUGGGCCUGGUGGGCCGAAAGGCCGAGGGGGCGGGGGGAGUGGGCUUCUUUUCCUUUUUCUUUUUAUUCUGGAAUUUGUUUUUCCUUUUCUUUUUAUUUAUUCUAUUUGAUUCAAAUCCAAAUAAGCCACAAACUCAAAUUAGACUUUCCAAGAAUUAUGCACCAAACAAAAGUGAAAUCUAGGGUUCAACAUGAUGCAACAAUUCAUACUCCCUUGUAGUUUAACCCACUAAAUUAUAAUUACAAAUAAGAAUAACCACCCUUUUCCUAUAGAAAUGAGAAAGAGGAGAUUGGGGAAAAGUGAGAAAAGAGAAGUAACACCUGAAUUUGUGAAUAUGAGCAAAGAAAUUUUAUACCCCCAAAUUCAGGGUGUUACACAACGCAAGGUAAAGUGUAGAUGUGCUCUAACUCGGCUUAGAUUGCAGCUACACGUUUUUCAUCCACAAGGCUUGGUUGCACAUGGAAAAAGAAAGAGAGAAAAAUGUAGACGCAGGAUCGGGAGAAAAACAUUCAAUGUAGAACUAGAUAGAAUAAAAUAGUUAAAGAAAAAUAAAGGAACUAAAUUUUCUUUUGCACACUUAACAUGAAUGGAGUUGUAGUAUCUGAGAUCCCAAAUUUAAUUUGUUCCAAGAUGCAGAACAAAAUUGUGAGAUUCAUAUUGGUUACAUAUGGACAAAAGUAGAUAAGAAAAAUAGUACAAAGUUAGUGGUCUACCAUGGAGGGCACAUGUGCCUUAAUUGGUAGACUACACAACGGUACUCGACCGACCAAGUGUGUCGGUCGAAAGCCUGACGCAGCAAUGUGUCGAGAGCGUCGUGGAAGUGACAAUCGCGAGCGGCGUCACGAGUGAUGGGUCGGGUGACCCAUCCUUCCGGCUCCUGCUCCUCCGAAGGCUCUGUGCUGUGGCUCGAACUGCCACCGUCGUCGUCUCCUCCAACAGCUGAGGUGCGUGUGGUGGUGCAUGGGGCACCUCUAGCUGGGGCACAGGGGAGGGAUGCCUCCCAGACUCCACCUCCUACUAAGGCGAGGGGAAGAGUCCUGCUGCUCUCUCUCCUGACGUUGGUGUUCCUGAUCCUCGCGCAGGCGGUGGUGCAGCCUCUCUAGGUGACUCGACUGUUCGGACAUCGUCCGACGAAGUGGAUGCUCCGUAAGGUGAGAGGACAGGAAAGGGAUCUCUGACUUACAUGCGGUGCACCUAAGAUGGACCAUCUACAAAAGAUGUCGUAAGCAUAAGAGUAAGAACAUAACUAUAUGACCAACAAGUAAACCAUAAGCGGAAAUAAUUUUUUUGCAAGGUGUAGUAUAUAUAUAGUAGUAUAACAUAGAAUUGGUCGAGAUGACCAACUUUUGAAGUGACACCAAGGGUCAAGGUGAGAAUGAUGGUCUAUAGUCCUUAAAAACCAUUCUAUUCUAGGUUAGCGGUCCUACAUUCAGCAAGACUUUGAUACCACUUAUGUCACACCCGGUUUUAGAAGGCAAACCGAAUGCGGAUUAUGUACGUACCAAGAUCAGAAAUUCACGUACACAACAAUUACAUAAUUGAACAUCAUCACACAUUGCUCAAAAUAAUAGUGGAAAUAAGUAUUUUAUUACAUCAUAAUGUCUGAAACAUCCACAAAGUCAUUAACUUAAACCAUAAUCAAAGUGCUGAACGAAACACGGUACGAUAAGGCCUUCACAGGCAGCUGACUGGGCGUUUGCCGCUAAUCUAAUCUAGAACUCGUCGAAGUCCUAAAACUCUUGAAAGUCCUCCAUGUUGCCUUCAUCUUCUCCUGAGCACUGGUUGCAAUGGGGAUAACCUGAGGUUUGGUGUUUUUAAGCAAGGGUGAGUACACAUCAACAUACUCAGCAAAUAUCCCGUUUGGCUAAAGUGGACUAGCUGUAUGUGGGGGAAAUCUCGAACUAGUUGCUUUUAGUUGGUCAGGUAUUUAUUACUAGUAGAGAUGCAAGUUUUAGCAAUAAUCCCAAGUUAUUAACCCAAAUGGUACUCCCUCCAAGAGAAAAUCCUAGAAACCAUAAUUAUAAUCAUCAUCAUUAAGCAUCAUCAUAAAGAUAUCCAGAGUAACUCUAAUCAAAGGAGCUCCCAAGGUUGCUCAUAACCGUGAGCUCGGCUGAUAUACCAGUUUCUAACCCUCUACGGAGGUUGCACACUUUACCCACGAGUCGUGAUCCCUUCCCAGCCUGGGUUAUAUAAACCGAUCUUCACUAUCGAGGUGAAUGGCCAGGGAUUCACUAUGUAGCCUUUACAAAGAUUCCCCAGAGGUCAUAGCUGCCCGUUAGUUUUCUCCACUUUGAUAAACAUGAUACCUCUCCCCAUAGGAAGGGUGACUAACAAAAGCAACACGAAAGAACCUCGGCACCAAGCCUCGACAGAGCAAGUACUGUGCUCGGACCCCAUUGAUGGCAGGACGGCGAAGCCCACUACGCCUCAAGUUCCUCUAAUUAGUCAGCUAAGGGUGUCCCAUACUACCCUCAUGGUUGUACUGUUUUCUCGGGUGGUCAUCCAACGAACAGGUCCUUACGGAGAGGUACUCGGGAAACAGCCCGGGUCCCCUAAAGUGAUACAAGUUUAUCAUCAUAAUCAAGAUAUCAUCAUCGCAUCAUAAAUAUUCUCAUCAUGUUCAUUUAUUAAAGUAAAGCAAUAUCAUAAUACUAAUCAUAGUAACCAACUUCCAAAGGAUAACCAAGGACAGGAAAAACAAGACGCUAGUCAAUCCUUAGGUAGAUCAUGGUAUGCAGGAUAAUAAAUUAUAAAGUAAGUAGGACAUAAUGGGUUAGAGAACACUUGCCUUCACCAGGUUGCAGCUCAGAGAAAUCUCCUGCAACACACUCGGGAACCACGAACUGCUCGUUGUCUACGUAAAGCAAUCAUUCAUUCAACACACAUGGGGAAUAACAAAAGAACAGUACACCAAACAUAUGCAACAAAGUAAACACAGGUUCAAUAGCAAGGUAAAUACACAUAGGUGCAUUCUAGGUUUGGGGUAGGUCACUAUGCCAAGUGAUCUAUUGUUCUCUAAUUAAGCCUAUCUUAGUCAAUAACUUCCAUAAAUAAAGUUAUUUCAGGGAUGGUGAAAGGGAAAUGGCCUCAACAUUUCCUAUAAUCGUUUUUAGUGUUUGACGUCCAUCAGAAACCAUGUGGACUAACUAGUUUGCCUAGUUGAUAUUUUUCUCAGGUACAAAAAGUUCAUAUACACAUACAAAGAAAAUGACCAUGGGACAAUUCUACAAGUUUGGAGCAAAACAGACUUGCUGCAGCCAGUGGUGCACCAGACUGUCCGGUGCCUUGGCUGGAGCACUCGACGAACUGACCGCUCUCGGGAAUUCUCGGCGCUCGUCCACUAAAAAUCACCGGAUUGUCCGGUGUGCCAUCGGAUUAUCCGGUGAGCCCUCGGUGCAAUGGUCGACUCCGCCAACGAUCGACUGCGGGACUACACCCGCAGUCUGAAGCGUCAGAAGUCAAAAGACAGUCUACGACGUCAGGUCGCACCGGACUGUCCGAUGUGCCACCGGACUAUCCGGUGCACCACGAGGAUAGAAGUCUUCAACGGCCAACAGCUCCAAACCCUAACGGUCGGCUGACGCGACACGCACAGGAUAGUGAACAGUGCUAUGUUCGGUGCACCACCGGACUGCCCGGUGUGCCUAUCGACAGAGAAGUCAGCCAAUGGCUAGAGUAGUGGUUGGGGCUAUAAAUACCCGCUAACCACCACCAUUCAAGCCAUCCAAGUAUACCACUCUUCAUUCAAUACAAGAGCAAAGAAUACACUCCAAAGACACAUUCAAAGCUAUUUGAUCCUCUCCAAAUUCCAUAAUCAAGUCAAGUGAUCAAAAGUGUUUAGUGACUUGAAAGAGGGUGAUUUGUGUUUCUUUUGUUGCUCUUGUUGCUUGGUUGCUUUCUUCUUCUCCUGAUCUUUCCAAGUGUUUUGUAAAGCAAGCAAGAGACACCUAAUUGUGUGGUGAUCCUUGCGGGGUCUUAGUGACCCGUGAGAUUAAGAAGAAGCACUCAACCAGUCUAGGUGACCGAUUGAGAGAGGGAAAGGGUUGAAAUAGACCCGGCCUUUGUGGUCUCCUCAACGGGGAGUAGGUUCAUUGGAACCGAACCUCGAGAAACAAACCAUCGUGUUCACUUGUGUUGAUCUUCACCACUCGAUUUGUUUCUUCCCUCUCCCCUCUCUUUAAUGUUCUCUUGCUCAUAUUGUUUUGAGUUAGCUCCCAAAGUUAUCCGCAUUGAUUGAGCAACUCAUAGCAAGAAGAUCUUUCGCACUCUGAAUUCAUAAUUCUUUAUUUCUAACCCUAACCUCGGGCGAAGUGAGUGUUCAAAGUUUAUAAUUCACAGGUUACACCUAUUCACCCCCUCUAGGCGACUUUCAAUUGGUAUCAGAGACUGGUACUUCAUUAGAGUCUACAACUCGAACUGAUGUCGGGAGAACACGCCAAAAAGGAGAUGGUCACUGGGUAAAAGUCUGGAUCUUCGGGAAAGAAGAAUGAAGAAAGGACUCCGUCAAAGAAGGCCGGCGACAAGCACAAGGAGCACAAGGAGGAAUCCGACGGCUCCAUCAAGUCACAUAGGAAGGGUUACAAGAAGAAAAGAAGAUGAAGAAGGUGGUCUACUACGAGACCGAUUCUUCCCCACCUUCCACCUCCGGCGCCGAGUCCACAUCUUCAAAGCGCCAAGAGCUUAAGAAGUAUAUUAAGAUGCCUCUUCGCUAUCCUCGCAUCUCUAAACGUGCUCCCUUACUUUCCGUUCCCCUAGGCAAACCACCAUAUUUUGAUGGUGAAGAUUAUUGUAUGUGGAGUGAUAAAAUGAGGCACCAUCUAACCUCACUCCACAAAAGUAUUUGGGAUAUUGUUGAGUUUGGAGCGCUGGCACCAUAGGUAGGCGACGAGGACUACGACUCCGAUGAGGCCGCCCAAAUAAGGCACUUCAACUCCCAAGCCACCUGCAUACUCCUCGCUUCCUUGUGUAGGGAGGAGUACAACAAGGUGUAAGGGUUGAAGAGUGCCAAAGAAAUUUGGGACGUCCUCAAGAUGGCACAUGAAGGGGACGAGGUGACCAAAAUCACCAAAUGCGAAAUGAUCUAGGGAGAACUCGGUCGGUUCUUCCUCAACAAGGGAGAAGAGCCACAAGCAAUGUACAACUAGCUCAAGACGAUGGUGAACCAAGUCUGCAACCUUGUGAGCACCAAGUGGGAUGACCAUGAAAUGGUCAAGGUUAUUUUAAGAUCUCUUGUCUUUCGUAAUCCCACUCAAGUGCAACUAAUCCGUGGAGAUCUUAGAUAUAAACAGAUGUCUUCCGAGGAGGUAAUUGGCAAGUUUGUGAGCUUUAAACUUAUGAUCAAAGACUCCAAACAUAUUGUCAACUUGGAGCAAGGCGCCACCUCCACACCCGAGGUGCAACCCGUUGCGUUCAAAGCAACAGAAGAAAAGAAGGAAGAGUCUACACCAUCAAGUAGGCUCCCAGUCGACGCAUCCAAGCUUGACAACGAGGAGAUGGCUCUUAUCAUCAAGAGCUUCCGGCAAAUCCUCAAGCAAAGGAAGGGGAAGGACUACAAACCCCGCUCCAAGAGGGUUUGCUACAGAUGUGGUAAGUCCAGUCAUUUUAUUGCUAAAUGUCUAUAUACAAGUGAUAGUGACAGGGACGACGACAAGAAAGGGAAGAAGAAGAUGGAGAAGAAAAUGUAUUACAACAAAAAGAAGGGUGACGAGGCGCAUAUGGGCCAGGAAUGGGACUCCGACGAGAGCUCCACCGACUCCUCCUCUGACGAGGAUGGCAUCAACAUUGCCGUCAACAAAGGCCUUCUCUUCCCCAACGUCGACCACAAAUGCCUCAUGGCUAAGGAUAGCAAAAAGAAGAAGGUAUAUUCUAGAGAUACCCCCAAAUACACUACUUCCGAUGAUGAGGGUACCUCUAGUGAAGAUGAUGGUGAUUUGACCUCUCUUUUUGCAAACCUUACCAAAGAGCAAAAGAAGAAAAUUAAUGAAUUAAUAGAAACCAUUAACGAGAAGGAUGAUAUCUUGGAAUGCCAAGAGGACUUGCUCGUUAAGGAAAAUAAAAAGUUUGUUAAGCUAAAGGAUGCCUAUGCUCUUGAAGCUGAAAAAUGCCAAAACUUGACUAAAGAGCUAGACAUAUGCAAUGAUUCAAUUUCUUGUCUUAGAACUGAAAAUGUUAGUUUGAUCGCUAAAAUUGAAGAGUUGAAUACUUGCAAAGUUUCUACAUCUACUAUUGAGCAUGUUACCAUUUGCACUAGAUGUAGAGAUGUUAAUGUUGAUGCUAUGAAUGAUCACAUUGCUAUGCUUAAAUAACAAAAUGAUCACAUAGCUAAAUUAAAUGCUAAAAUUGCCGAGCAUGAGCUAGAGAAUGAAAAAUUUAAAUUUGCUAGCAAUAUGCUUUAUAAUAGGAGACGCCCUAGUAUUAAGGAUGGCAUUGGCUUCCAAUCUGGGAGCCAAAGCAACAUCAAACUUAAUGCCCCUAGAAACAAGCUUUCUAAUUUUGUAAAGGGUAAGGUCCCAUGGUUCAGGAUAGGGAAGGUUACAUUCUAUAUCCUGAGAACUAUCCUGAGCACAAGAUUAGGAAAAUUCAUGCUAAGAAAUCUCAUUCUAUUUCUCAUCAUGCUUUUAUGUAUAGUAAUGAGGCUUCUAGCUCUAAGCAUAGAACUCAUAUCAAAAUGCCUAAGAAAAAAAGAUUGUUAAUGCAUCAAAUGAACAUAGCAUUUCAUUUAAGACUUUUGAUGCAUCUUUUGUGCUUACUAAAAAAUUAGGCAAGGUAGUUGCCAAAUAUGUCGGGGGCAAACACAAGAGCCCAAAGACUUGUGUUUGGGUACCCAAGGUGCUUGUUUCUAAUGUAAAAGGACCCAAGGCCAUUUGGGUACCUAAGAACAAGACCUAAAUCUAUGUUGUAGGUUUAUGCAUUUGACAAAACAAGUUGGAUAAUCGACAGCGGGUGCACAAACCAUAUGACAGGGGAGAAAAGGAUGUUCUCUUCAUAUGAGAAAAAACGAUGAUCCCCAAAGAGCAAUCACAUUCGGCGAUGGAAAUCAAGGUUUGUGAGAGCACCUAGAGGGGGGUGAAUAGGUGAUCCUGUAAAACUUCAAAACUUAAGCCACAAAAACUUGUUAAGUGUUAGCACAAUUAUGGCCAAGUGGCUAGAGAGGAGUCAAAACACAAUAACCACAAGAAAUCAAUCACAGAGAUGACACGGUGGUUAUCCCGUGGUUCGGCCAAGUACAAAACUUGCCUACUCCACGUUGUGGCGUCCCAAUGGACGAGAGUUGCACUCAACUCCUCUCAAGUGAUCCAAUGAUCAACUUGAAUACCACGGUGUUCUUGCUUUUCUUUUCUCAAUCCCGUUUGCGAGGAAUCUCCACAACUUGGAGCCUCUCGCCCUUACAAAAGAUGUUCACAGAGAAUCACGGAGCAAGGGAGGGAAUGAGCAACGCACACAAGACUUCAAAAGAUCAGAGCAACACGCACACAAGCAAUAAGAGCUCGCAACACAACUCAAAGAGUACACAACUCCACAAGAGCUCUAUAUGCUAUCACAAUGAAUCGAAUGCGCUAGAUCAAUGUCUUGGUGCUUAGAAAGGUUGUAGGAAUGCUUGGUGUACUCCUCCAUGCGCCUAGGGGUCCCUUUUAUAGCCCCAAGGCAGCUAGGAGCCGUUGAGAACACAACUGGAAGGCUAUCCUUGCCUUCUGUCGUCGGGAGCACCGGACAGUCCGGUGCACACCGGACACUGUCCGGUGCCCGAUUUGUUUCCAUACAAAGCUCAUCAGACUGUUGCUUUCUGAUGCAGAUCUGCGCACAGUUGGCGCACCGGACAUGUCCGGUGCACACCGGACAGUCCGGUGUACCUUUCCGACCGUUGGCACGGCCACGUGUCGCGCGCCGAUCGCGCGGCCGACCGUUGGCCCGGCCGACCGUUGGCUCACCGGACAGUCCGGUGCACACCGGACAGUCCGGUGAAUUUUAGCCGAAGUCGUCGGAGAAAAACCCGAGAGCGGCUGGUUUGCUCCACGCUGGUCUGGCGCACCGGACACUGUCCGGUGCACACCGGACAGUCCGGUGCCCCACCCCGAAACAGCCUUUGGCUGCACACAGCCACUCUCCACUUCCUUUCUUUUCUUCUUCUUUCUGUUUCUUACACUUAGAUAAAUAUAUUAGUACACAAAACCAAUGUACUAAGACUUAGAAACAUACCUUUGUUGCACUUUGUUCAUCCAUGGGCAUUGAUUCACAUUUAAGCACUUGUGUUGGCACUUAAUCACCAAAAUACUUAGAAAUGGCCCAAGGGCACAUUUCCCUUUCAAUCUCCCCCUUUUUGGUGAUUUAUGCCAACACAACAUAAAGCAACUAGAACAAGUGCAAAAUCACUCCAAAUAAAACUCAAAUUGAUUUUGAUUCAAUUUUGGCAUAUAUGGAUCAUCCUUUGCCACCACUUGGUUUGUUUUUGCAAAUCAAACUCAAAUCUCUAUCUCUAAGUCAAACACACAUGUUGAAGCAUAAAGAGAGUCAUUCCAAAAGAGAUUGAUCAAAGAUUUCAAAAACUCCCCCUAUUUCCCAUAAUCAAUACUUCUCCCCACAAGAAGCCAACUUUUGACAAGAGAGACAAUAAUAGACAAUAAAAGCGUUUGACAAAACAAAAACUCUAUUCUACUAUUUUCAAAAUCUCUUGAGUGGUAGCUGAUCCAUUUAUCGCUUUGGCCUUUAUUUUCUCCCCCUUUGGCAUCAAGCACCAAAACGGGAUCAAUCUUGGCCCUAUAACCCCAUUGCCUCACCAAAAUUUUCAAUUAAGAGCAAAUGGCAGUAAGAGUUCAUGAGAUGGACUUGGAAUGAGUUACCCUCUCAUCGGAGUGCAGUGGAAGUCUUGCAUGAUCCAAGUCCACCUUUUCCCUUUCAAUUCUCCUUUGAGACUAAAUCACAACAAACUCAAGCAUAUGGUUAGUCUCAAAGGAUCAAGUUGUAACACAUCUCCCCCUAAACAUGUGCAUCACUUUGCAACGGACUUGUGAGGUCCAGGGAGUGUUUGUACAACUUGAGCACCAUAAUAAGCAACAAAAUGCAGAAUGAACAUGAUCAAAGGCAUAAGCACAUGUAUGCUACAAUUCAAUCCAAGUUCCGCGAAUCUAAGACAUUUAGCUCACUACGCAGCCUGCAAAAGGUCUUCUCAUCUAGAGGCUUGGUAAAGAUAUCGGCUAGCUGGUUCUCGGUGCUAACAUGAAACACUUCGAUAUCUCCCUUUUGCUGGUGGUCUCUCAAAAAGUGAUGCCGGAUGUCUAUGUGCUUUGUGCGGCUGUGCUCAACAGGAUUCUCCGCCAUGCGGAUCGCACUCUCAUUAUCACAUAGGAGUGGGACUUUGCUCAGAUUGUAGCCAAAGUCCCUGAGGGUUUGCCUCAUCCAAAGUAGUUGCGCGCAACACUGUCCUGCGGCAACAUACUCGGCCUCAGCGGUGGAUAGGGCGACGGAUGUUUGUUUCUUAGAGUUCCAUGACACCAGGGACCUUCCUAAGAAUUGGCACGUCCCCGAUGUACUCUUCCUAUCGACCUUACAUCCAGCAUAGUCGGAGUCUGAGUAUCCAACUAAGUCAAAGGUAGACCCCUUUGGAUACCAGAGCCCGAAGCAAGGCGUAGCAACCAAAUAUCUAAGAAUUCGCUUCACUGCCACUAAGUGACACUCCUUAGGAUCGGAUUGAAAUCUAGCACACAUGCAUACGCUAAGCAUAAUAUCCGGUCUACUAGCACAUAAGUAAAGUAAUGACCCUAUCAUUGACCGGUAUGCUUUUUGAUCUACGGACUUACCUCCUUUGUUGAGGUCGGUGUGUCCGUCGGUUCCCAUCGGAGUCUUUGCGGGCUUGGCAUCCUUCAUCCCAAACCGCUUUAGCAGAUCUUGCGUGUACUUCGUUUGGGAGAUGAAGGUGCCGUCCUUGAGUUGCUUCACUUGGAACCCAAGGAAGUAGUUCAACUCGCCCAUCAUCGACAUCUCGAAUUUCUGCGUCAUCACCCUGCUAAACUCUUCACAAGACUUUUGGUUAGUAGAACCAAAUAUUAUGUCAUCGACAUAAAUUUGGCACACAAACAAAUCACCAUCACAUGUCUUUGUAAAAAGAGUUGGAUCGGCUUUCCCAACCUUGAAAGCAUUAGCUAUUAAAAAGUCUCUAAGGCAUUCAUACCAUGCUCUUGGGGCUUGCUUAAGUCCAUAGAGCGCCUUAGAGAGCUUACACACAUGGUCGGGGUACCGUUCAUCCUCGAAGCCAGGGGGUUGCUCUACGUACACCUCCUCCUUGAUUGGCCCGUUGAGGAAAGCGCUCUUCACAUCCAUUUGGUACAACCUGAAAGAAUGGUGAGCGGCAUAUGCUAGCAAGAUACGAAUGGACUCUAGCCUAGCCACAGGAGCGAAAGUCUCCUCAAAGUCCAAACCUGCGACUUGGGCAUAACCUUUUGCCACAAGUCGAGCCUUGUUCCUCGUCACCACUCCGUGCUCGUCCUGUUUGUUGCGGAACACCCACUUGGUUCCCACAACAUUUUGCUUCGGACGAGGCACCAGUGUCCAAACUUCAUUGCGCUUGAAGUUGUUGAGCUCCUCCUGCAUGGCCAAUACCCAAUCCGGAUCUAGCAAGGCCUCCUCUACCCUGAAAGGUUCAAUAGAAGAGACAAAAGAGUAAUGCUCACAAAAAUUAACUAAUCUAGAUCGAGUAGUUACUCCCUUGCUAAUAUCACCCAGAAUUUGGUCGACGGGAUGAUCCCUUUGAAUCAUCGCUCGAACUUGGGUUGGAGGUGCCGGUUGCGCUUCUUCCUCCAUCACUUGAUCAUCUUGUGCUCCCCCUUGAUCAAGCGCCUCCACUUGAGGUACCUGUUCGUCAUCUUCGGUUGGGGGAUGCACCAUAGUUGAGGAAGAAGGUUGAUCUCGUUCAUCUUGUUCCUGUGGCCGUACUUCUCCAAUCGCCAUGGUCCGUAUAGCGGCCGUCGGAACGUCUUCUUCAUCUAUAUCAUCACAAUCAACAACUUGCUCUCUUGGAGAGCCAUUAGUCUCAUCAAAUACAACGUCGCUAGAGACUUCAACCACACCCGAUGAUUUGUUGAAGACUCUAUACGCCUUUGUAUUUGAGUCAUAACCUAAUAAAAACCCUUCUACAGCUUUGGGAGCAAACUUAGAAUUUCUACCCUUCUUUACUAGAAUGUAGCAUUUACUCCCAAAUACACGAAAGUACGAUACAUUGGGUUUGUUACCGGUUAGUAGCUCAUACGACGUCUUCUUGAGGAGGCGAUGAAGGUAGACCCUGUUGAUGGCGUGGCAAGCAGUGUUAACGGCUUCCGUCCAAAAGCACUCGGGGGUCUUGAACUCUCCUAGCAUCGUCCUCGCCAUAUCGAUGAGCGUCCUGUUCUUCCUCUCUACCACACCAUUUUGCUGUGGUGUGUAGGGAGCGGAGAACUCGUGCUUGAUCCCUUCCUCUUCAAGGAACUCCUCCACUUGAAGGUUCUUGAAUUUGGAUCCGUUGUCGCUCCUUAUCUUCUUCACUUUGAGCACUCCUGAGGAAGCAUUUGAGAGUCCCUUGGGUUUCAGACUUAUCCUGCAAAAAGAACACCCAAGUGAAGCGGGAAAAAUCAUCAACAAUAACUAAACCAUACUUACUCCCUCCUAUGCUCAGAUAGGCGACAGGUCCGAAGAGGUCCAUGUGCAGCAGCUCCAGGGGUCUUGAAGUGGUCAUCACGUUCUUGCCGUGAUGCGCUCCUCCCACUUGUUUACCUGCUUGACAAGCUGCACAAGGUCUAUCUUUUUCGAAAUGCACGUUAGUCAAACCUAUCACGUGUUCUCCCUUUAGAAGCUUGUGAAGGUUCUUCAUCCCCACAUGUGCUAAGCGGCGAUGCCACAGCCAGCCCAUGCUAGUCUUAGCUAUUAAGCAUGCAUCUAGACCGGCCUCUUCUUUUGCAAAAUCAACUAAAUAAAGUUUGCCGUCUAAUACACCCUUAAAAGCUAGUGAACCAUCACUUCUUCUAAAGACAGACACAUCUACAUUUGUAAAUAGACAGUUAUAUCCCAUGUUGCAUAAUUGACUCACAGAUAGCAGAUUAUAUCCAAGAGACUCAACUAAAAACACAUUAGAUAUGGAGUGCUCAUUAGAAAUUGCAAUUUUACCUAAACCUUUUACCUUGCCUUGAUUCCCAUCACCGAAUAUAAUUGAAUCUUGGGAAUCUUUAUUCUUGACGUAGGAGGUGAACAUCUUCUUCUCCCCCGUCAUAUGGUUUGUGCAUCCGCUGUCGAUAAUCCAGCUUGAACCCCCGGAUGCAUAAACCUGCAAGGCAAAUUUAGGCUUGGGUCUUAGGUACCCAACUCAUGUUGGGUCCUACAAGGUUAGCACAUAUAUUCUUAGGGACCCAAAUGCAAGUUUUAUCUCCCUUGCAUCUUGCCCCUAACUUCCUAGCAAUUACCUUCUUGCCCUUUCUACAAAUAGCACAGGGAGCAUUGCAAGUAUAAUAAAUGGUAGAAGGUUCAUUUGCUACUUUCCUAGGAGCAUGAAUAACAUUCUUUUUAGGAACAACAUUUUUCCUAGUAACAUUUCUAUCAUAUACAUAAGAAGAACUAGGAGCAAGCAUGGCAUGAGAAUCAUAAACAUAUGAGUCAAAAGCAUCAUAACUUCUAUUUGCAUUUCUAGUAUGUCUUCUAUCAUGAUACAAAAAAGCAUGGUUCUUUUUAGUGCUACUAGCCAUAGGAGCCUUCCCUUUCUCCUUGGCGGAGAUAGGAGCCUUAUAGCUUGUCAAGUUCUUGACUUCUCUCUUGAAGUCAAGCCCAUCCUUAAUUGAGGGGUGUCUACCAACCGUGUAGGCAUCCCUAGCAAAUUUUAGUUUAUCAAAAUUACUCUUGCUAGUCUUAAGUUGAGCAUUAAGACUAGCUAAUUCAUCAUUCAAUUUUGAAAUAGAAACUAAGUGUUCGCUACAAGCAUUAAUAUCAAUAUCCUUACACCUAGUGCAAACUUCAACAUAUUCAACACAAGAGUUGGAUUUAUUUGCUUCUACUAGUUUAGCAUUUAAAUCAUCGUUUAUGCUCUUUAAGUUAGAAAUAGAAUCAUGGCAUGAUGACACUUCACAAGCAAGCAUUUCAUUCCUCUUAAUUUCUAAUGCAAGGGAUUUUUGAGCCUCUACAAACUUAUCAUGUUCUUCAUACAACAAAUCCUCUUGCUUUUCUAAAAGUAUAUUCUUUUCAUUCAAGGCAUCAAUUAAUUCAUUAAUUUUGUCUAUCUUAGAUCUAUCUAAGCCCUUGAAUAAACAUGAAUAAUCUACUUCAUCCUCACUAGAUUCAUCAUCACUAGAAGAAUCAUAAGUAUUAGCAUUACGAGUGAUUACCUUCUUUUCCCUUGCCAUGAGGCAAGUGUGAUGCUCGUUGGGGAAGAGAGCCGAUUUGUUGAAGGCAGUGGCGGCGAGUCCCUCAUUGUCGGAGUCGGAGGAGGAGCAAUCCGAAUCCCACUCCUUGCCGAGAUGCGCCUCGCCCUUGGCCUUCUUGUAAUUCUUCUUCUUUUCCCUCUUGUUUCCCUGUUCCUGGUCACUGUCGUUAUCGGGGCAGUUAGCGAUAAAAUGACCAAUCUUACCGCACUUGAAGCAUGAGCGCUUCCCCUUUGUCUUGUUCUUGCUUGGCUGCCCCUUGUGACCCUUCAGCAUCGUCUUGAAUCUUUUGAUGAUAAGAGCCAUCUCUUCAUCAUUGAGCCCGGCCGCCUCAACUUGCGCCACCUUGCUAGGUAGCGACUCCUUGCUCCUUGUUGCCUUUAGAGCAAUGGGUUGAGACUCGUGGAGUGGACCGUUCAACGCGUCGUCGACGUAUCUUGCCUCCUUGAUCAUCAUCCGCCCGCUCACGAAUUUUCCAAGUACUUCUUCGGGCGUCAUCAUUGUGUACCUGGGAUUCUCACGAAUAUUGUUCACGAGAUGAGGAUCAAGAACGGUAAAUGACCUGAGCAUUAGGCGGACGACGUCGUGAUCCGUCCAACGCGUGCUUCCGUAGCUCCUUAUCUUGUUGAUAAGGGUCUUGAGCCGGUUGUAAGUUUGAGUUGGCUCUUCUCCCCUUAUCAUGGCGAAUCGUCCAAGCUCGCCCUCCACCAACUCCAUCUUGGUGAGCAUGGUGAUGUCGUUCCCCUCGUGAGAGAUCUUGAGGGUGUCCCAUAUCUGCUUGGCAUUAUCCAAGCCGCUCACCUUAUUGUACUCUUCCCUGCACAAAGAUGCUAAGAGAACAGUAGUAGCUUGUGCAUUUUUAUGAAUUUGUUCAUUGAUAAACAUAGGGCUAUCCGAGCUAUCAAAUUUCAUUCCAUUCUCUACAAUCUCCCAUAUGCUUGGAUGGAGAGAGAAUAAAUGACUACGCAUUUUGUGACUCCAAAAUCCGUAGUCCUCCCCAUCAAAGUGUGGAGGUUUACCAAGAGGAAUGGAAAGCAAAUGCGAAUUCGAACUAUGUGGAAUACGAGAAUAAUCAAAUGAAAAGUUCGAAUUGACCGUCUUCCUGUAGUGGUCGUCGUCCUUUUGGGAAGAAGAGGAUUCGUCGCUGUCGUAGUAGACGAUCUCCUUGAUGCGCCUUGUCUUCUUCUUCUUCCCAUCUUUGCGCCUGUGGCCCGAGCCCGAGUCGUUGGACUUGUCAUCCCUUGGCUCGUUGACGAAGGACUCCUUCUCCUUGUCGUUGAUCACAAUUCCCUUCCCCUUAGGAUCCAUCUCUUCGGGCGGUUAGUCCCUUUCUUGAAGAGAACGGCUCUGAUACCAAUUGAGAGCACCUAGAGGGGGGGGGGUGAAUAGGUGAUCCUGUAAAACUUCAAAACUUAAGCCACAAAAACUUGUUAAGUGUUAGCACAAUUAUGGCCAAGUGGCUAGAGAGGAGUCAAAACACAAUAACCACAAGAAAUCAAUCACAGAGAUGACACGGUGGUUAUCCCGUGGUUCGGCCAAGUACAAAACUUGCCUACUCCACGUUGUGGCGUCCCAAUGGACGAGAGUUGCACUCAACUCCUCUCAAGUGAUCCAAUGAUCAACUUGAAUACCACGGUGUUCUUGCUUUUCUUUUCUCAAUCCCGUUUGCGAGGAAUCUCCACAACUUGGAGCCUCUCGCCCUUACAAAAGAUGUUCACAGAGAAUCACGGAGCAAGGGAGGGAAUGAGCAACGCACACAAGACUUCAAAAGAUCAGAGCAACACGCACACAAGCAAUAAGAGCUCGCAACACAACUCAAAGAGUACACAACUCCACAAGAGCUCUAUAUGCUAUCACAAUGAAUCGAAUGCGCUAGAUCAAUGUCUUGGUGCUUAGAAAGGUUGUAGGAAUGCUUGGUGUACUCCUCCAUGCGCCUAGGGGUCCCUUUUAUAGCCCCAAGGCAGCUAGGAGCCGUUGAGAACACAACUGGAAGGCUAUCCUUGCCUUCUGUCGUCGGGAGCACCGGACAGUCCGGUGCACACCGGACACUGUCCGGUGCCCGAUUUGUUUCCAUACAAAGCUCAUCAGACCGUUGCUUUCUGAUGCAGAUCUGCGCACAGUUGGCGCACCGGACAUGUCCGGUGCACACCGGACAGUCCGGUGUACCUUUCCGACCGUUGGCACGGCCACGUGUCGCGCGCCGAUCGCGCGGCCGACCGUUGGCCCGGCCGACCGUUGGCUCACCGGACAGUCCGGUGCACACCGGACAGUCCGGUGAAUUUUAGCCGAAGUCGCCGGAGAAAAACCCGAGAGCGGUUGGUUUGCUCCACGCUGGUCUGGCGCACCGGACACUGUCCGGUGCACACCGGACAGUCCGGUGCCCCAGCCCGAAACAGCCUUUGGCUGCACACAGCCACUCUCCACUUCCUUUCUUUUCUUCUUCUUUCUGUUUCUUACACUUAGAUAAAUAUAUUAGUACACAAAACCAAUGUACUAAGACUUAGAAACAUACCUUUGUUGCACUUUGUUCAUCCAUGGGCAUUGAUUCACAUUUAAGCACUUGUGUUGGCACUUAAUCACCAAAAUACUUAGAAAUGGCCCAAGGGCACAUUUCCCUUUCAGUUUGGUCAAAGGUUUGGGUAAACUUGCUAUAUCUCCUGACCAUUCCAUUUCUAAUGUUUUUCUUGUUGAUUCUUUAGAUUACAACUUUCUUUCUGUUUCUCAAUUAUGCAAAAUGGGCUACAACUGUCUUUUUACUGAUGUUGGUGUUACCGUAUUUUGAAGAAGUGAUGAUUCAAUAGCUUUUAAGGGAGUGUUAGAUGGUUAGCUAUAUUUAGUUGAUUUCAGUGAUAACAAUGCUGAACUAGACACUUGCUUAAUUGCUAAGACUAACAUGGGCUGGCUUUGGCAUCGCCAACUUGCUCAUGUUGGAAUGAAGAAUCUUCACAAGCUCCUAAAGGGGAACACAUUUUAGGACUAACCAAUGUUCAUUUUGAGAAAGACAAGAUUUGUAGUGCAUGUCAAGCAGGGAAGCAAGUUGGAGUUCAUCAUCCACACAAGAACAUCAUGACAACCGAAAAGGCCGCUUGAGCUACUUCACAUGGAUCUAUUCGUCCCGAUUGCUUACAUAAGCAUCGGUCGGAGUAAGUAUUGUCUUGUGAUUGUGGAUGAUUAUUCUCGCUUCACUUGGGUGUUCUGUUUGCAGGAAAAAUCUCAAACCCAAGAGACCUUAAAGAGAUUCUUGAGAUGGGUUCAAAAUGAGUUUGGAUUGAGAAUCAAGAAGAUUAAAAGCGACAAUGGAACGAAGUUCAAGAACUCUCAAAUUGAAGGAUUUCUUAAGGAGGAGGGCAUCAAGCAUGAGUUCUCUUCUCCCUACACACCUUAACGAAACAAUGUUGUGGAGAGAAAGAAUAGACCUCUCUUGGAUAUGGCAAGGACCAUGCUUGAUGAGUACAAGACACUGGAUCGGUUUUGGGCGGAGGCGAUUAACACUGCUUGCUACUCCAUCAACCUACUAUACCUUCACCGAAUCCUCAAGAAAACAUUGUAUGAACUCCUCACUGGUAAAAAGCCCAAUGUUUCUUAUUUUAGAGUUUUUGGGAGCAAAUGCUUUAUUCUUAUUAAAAGAGGUAGAAAUUCUAAAUUUGCUCCUAAAGCAGUAGAAGGCUUUUUACUUAGUUAUGACUCAAACACAAGGGCAUAUAGAGUCUUCAACAAGUCCACUGGAUUAGUUGAAGUUUCUUGUGACAUUGCGUUUGAUGAGAAUAAUGGCUCCCAAGUGGAACAAGUUGAUCUUGAUGAGUUAGAUGAUGAAGAGGCUUCGUGCGUCGUGCUAAGGAACAUGUCCAUUGGAGAUGUGUGUCCAAAAGAAUCCGAAAAGCCUUCACAAGCACAAGAUCAACCAUCAUCUUCCAUACAAGCAUCUCCACCAACUAAAGAUGAGGAAAUGGCUCAGGAGGAAGAGGACCAAGAUCAUGAAGAUGAGCCACCUCAAGGAGAGGACAUUGAUCAAGGGGGAGAUGAAGAUGAUCAAGAAAAGGAAGAUGAACAGAAGUUCAAGAUCAAAGACAACCGCACCCAAGAGUCCAUCAAGCAAUUCAAAGAGAUCACCCCGUCAACUCCAUACUUGGUGACAUUCACAAGGGGUAACCACUAGAUCUCGAGUGGCUCAUUUUUGUGAACAUUACUCUUUUGUGUCUUCUAUUGAGCCAUACAGGAUAGAGGAUGCACUUAGAGAUCCGGAUUGGGUGGUGGGAAUGCAAGAGGAGCUCAACAACUUCACGAGGAAUGAGGUAUGACAUUUAGUUCCACGUCCUAACCAAAAUGUUAUAGGUACCAAGUGGGUAUUCCGCAACAAACAAGAUGAGCAUGGUGUGGUGAAUAGGAACAAAGCCCGACUUGUUGCCAAAGGAUAUUCACAAGUCGAAGGUUUGGAUUUUGAUGAAACCUAUGCACCCAUAGCUAGGCUUGAGUCAAUUCGUAUAUUACUUGCCUAUGCUACUUACCAUGGCUUUAAGUUGUAUCAAAUGGAUGUGAAAAGUGCCUUCCUCAAUGGCCCUAUCAAGGAAGAGGUUUAUGUUGAGCAACCUCCCGGCUUUUAAGAUAGUGAGUACCCUUCACAUGUUUAUAAGCUCUCAAAGGCGCUUUAUGGGCUCAAACAAGCCCUAAGAGCAUGGUAUGAAUGCCUAAGAGACUUUCUUCUCACUAAUGGUUUUAAAGUCAGAAAAGUUGACCCUACUCUCUUCACUAAAAUAAUUGAUAAAGACUUGUUUAUAUGCCAAAUUUAUGUUGAUGAUAUUAUAUUUGGGUCUACUAACAAGUCAUCUUGUGAAGAGUUUAGUAGGAUUAUGAUAUAGAAAUUUGAGAUGUCCAUGAUGGGGGAGUUGAAGUAUUUCCUAGGAUUUCAAAUCAAGCAACUUCAAGAGGGCACCUUCAUCUUGCCAAACUAAGUACAUUCAAGAUAUACUGAAGAAUUUUGGAAUGAAGAAUGCCAAGCCCAUCAAGACUCCCAUGGGAACAAAUGGACAUCUCGACCUCGACACAUGAGGUAAACCUAUAGAUCAAAAGGUAUACCGGUCAAUGAUGGGAUCUCUACUCUAUUUAUGUGCUUCACGACCGGAUAUUAUGCUUUCAGUAUGCAUGUGUGCAGGGUUCCAGGCUAAUCCUAAGGAAGUUCACCUUAGGGCCGUGAAAAGAAUUAUGAGAUAUUUAGUUUACACUCCUAAGUUUGGGCUAUGGUAUCCCAAGGGAUCUACCUUUGAUGUAAUCGGGUAUUUUGAUGCUGACUAUGCCAGAUGUAAAAUUGAUAGAAAGAGCACAUCAGGGACUUGUCAGUUUCUGGGGAGAUCCCUAGUGUCUUGGGCUUCAAAGAAACAAAAUUUAGUAGCUCUAUCCACCACCGAAACUGAGUAUAUUGUUGCAGGACAUUGUUGUGCACAAUUACUCUGGAUGAGGCAAACCCUUAGGGACUAUGGCUACAAAUUGAGCAAAGUCCCUCUCCUAUGUGAUAAUGAGAGUGCAAUGCGCAUGAUGGAUAAUCACGUUGAACAUAGCCGCACUAAGCACAUAGACAUCCGGUAUCACUUUUUGAGAGAUCACCAACAAAAGGGGGAUAUCGAAAUUGCUUAUGUUAGCACCAACAACCAAUUAGCCGAUAUCUUCACCAAGCCCCUGGAUGAAAAGACAUUUAGCAAGCUUAGGAAUGAACUAAAUAUCAUAGAUUCUCAAAAUUUUGAUUGAAAUCUUGCACACAUUGCUCAUUUUAUACAUUUGAUCAUGUCAUAUCUCUUUCAUUUGGUACAAAUGCAUAUUUCUUAUUCUUCUUGUGCCCAAGCUAAGACUAAUGUGUUUCCAAGAAUAUUUCUAUGCUUAGUCUUAGAUUGAAAGGGAAAUGGAGUAAUCGGCAAAGGCAAGGCUUCCACUACGACUCUGUCGAUUUCAUAUAUCCUUGGCCCUUCUCAUGAACUGUAAUGCCCAAAAUUGUAAAUAAUGAAAAUAGAGGUGGUUCUCUUUAUGUGUAGCUCCCACUCACGAGCACAUGUGAACAAACACAUUUUAAGUGAGUAAUUUAACUACUAAGCUAUAAAAUAAAUCAUGCAUCAUGAUGGGGUUUAAUUGUGUGUGCAUUUAAUAAUAAUAAUAAUCACAUCAAUGUGGAUGCAUUAAUGUUCAAAAUGUGAGUUAAGACCUAAUUUGAAUAUCUAGAAAUGUGAAGUAGCCCAAGAAAAGAGGAGAAAGAAAAUCUUAAUUAUAAUGUGAAAGAAAAUAAUAUAAGUAGGUGUCCCUGUCCAUACUGAGGUCUUGGAAUUGUACAUAAAUUUAGGAAUAAAAUUUCCCAACCAAAUUUGAAUUUGAAAUUUAAUUCCAAAAUUUGAGAAAAUGAAACCAGAAAAGAAAAGAAAAAAGAAAGAAAAUGGAAAAUGGCCGGUGGGCUCAAAAUCCCUGAACUCGGCCCACCACACACACCUCCGCACGGCCCAACCCCGAAGGAACGACGCUGACAACUUUGGCCACGGGUUAGGCAUACCUCGACUGAGCGCUCGCCAUCCGUUGCUGGCAACUAGGGCCUCACCUGUCAGUCGCUCUCCACCUCACGCACAUCGCUGCUGCGUGGGACCCACGAGUCAUCCCUCACCUCCGCUAAAAUCGCAACCGCGCCGCCAUACCCGCCUCCUCCGCAUGCAUAAGGAGUCCGUUCCCUGAUUCUCACCUCUUGAGUCCACGCUCGGCCGCAAUACUGCGCUGGCACUCGGUUCCAUCCGCCACGCCCGUGCCCUAGUGAACUCGUCCAGUGAGCUCGCCAUUGGAGGAAGGAGCCGCCGCUGGGGACGUUGCGUCUGCGCGUCAGGAGUCAUGCGUCGACGGGUGCCAGGGUCAAGGUGGGGUGCUCUGCACGUAGUGGUGCUCUCCCUGGGCAAGAUCGGUGUUCGGUGGCGUCCGAAUUGCUUGCCGGUGUUUCCUUAGCCCCGCUGCUCUACCCCUCGCCGCGAUUGAGGCCUUCCUCUGCACGACGGCUGGUAAUAAUGCACCCAUGUGAUUCGUGUUAGUCCUAUGUUGCGUUUAGACGCCUCCGGGAUGGUCGUGGGGGUCCUACUGCGCAGAUCAGUCGGGCUCACCGGAGCUGACCGCCGCGGUCGAUGCUGCGCCGCCGCCUACAAGCUGGGGGAAAGGACGGUGCUUGUGCAUCGUUGGAUCGGGAACGAGUGACGGAGAUUUAGGCAAUCGUAACGAUUCGGCCCAGGCUAAUGUUUGUCGUAGAUCGUUGAUCGUAGGAUGGGGAGCUUGGGUUGAUGGUGGAUCCAUUUGGACCAUCGGAUCGGGAUCCGAGCGCUCUGGACCGCACUUUAAUUCACUCGUGGAGCUGAUUUAAUCAGGGUCGUUCACUUGCGAUCGGGCGGUCUGGGUUACAGGAUACCCCUUCGUCGUGGCUCAAUUGUCUAUGAGCCCCUUGGAAUUACUAAAAAAUAACCCGCAGUUCAUCGUGACUGUAGUCUAAGUCUAAGAAAUCUUGCACGCUAACCCCUGCGUUUCUCUGUUUUCUGAGCGCAGUCCAGGGAAAAAGAAAACCUGAGAAAAUCAAUUAGAAAAUGAUUUUUAGUAUAAAAUUAAUUGCAGAAACUUGUUUAAUUCCUAGAAAAUUCAUAUUAAGUUCAAAUUGAUCCAUUCCAGUGGCAUUAAUUUUGUAUUAAUAUUGUCUAUCAACUAGUAACUCUGUUUAGCCAUGAAACUUGGAUUAAAAUUGUUCACUUGAAUUAUUCUACACCAAGCACAUACGAACUUCGAAAAAUCAUAACUUAAAACCCAUAACUCCGAAUUUAGCGAUUCUUGUUCCUAUGAUCUUGUUUUGAUGCGUAGAUUAUUAUUAUGUAUUUUUAAUUCAUGCUUGGUGUGAUGUUAAUUUCUGCUAUACCAUGUUUGUUUGUACUGUUGCGAGUAGACGAGCAAGCCACAGAGGAUCCAGGUGUUUAGCAGGUAGAAGUUGCUGAGCAGGAGCUCAUUGAAGGCAAGUUGUGCCCUUGACCACUUUUAUUUACCCAAUAAUAUUCUUUAUAAUCAUUUUAUCAUGCAUAGCCUUAAUUUUGAUGGGACCCUAUAGGUCACCCUAGUCUGGUUAUCUUUAUACCUUGUUUACCCCUAAAUUUUUGGGUAGUCUUUGCUAUUGCUAUAUAUGGUUUGGGUGUUGAGAUAACUAUUACACAUGAUCAUUCUUUAUUACUGUUCUAUUUCUGUUCAUGAUAAGACAACUAAGUUAAUUGGAACAUCGAGCUUAACUUGAGAAACACGUGCCACCACAAGGGUGGAAUGAGACGCCCUUGGCUGACUAACUAGGAAAGCUAGUGGAGGACUACCUUACCCGAUAGGGGCAAGGGCAACAGGGGAGUAGGCGUGUAGGGAGGUUCCCGGGUUGAUUUUGCUGCGAUGGCGGUCAGACAGGGGAUUCCUGCAUUGCUCUUCCUAGAAACUGUAGCGGGUUUUCUGAAGCUAGUGGAACUUUGUAAAGGCCUCGUAGUGGAUCCCUAGCCAUUCACCUCGACAGUGUCUAAGAGCCUUGCAAACCCAGGCAACAUGGGAUACACAACUUGUGGGCACAGGGUACAACCUCUGCAGAGUGUAAAACUGGUAUAAUAGCCGUGCUCGAGGUCACGAGCAGCUCACGACUGUCGCAUGAUUAAAUUAUGGAAUUAAAUUCAAUUUAUCAUUUGCAUCGCAUUGAGAUUUAUUAUUAAUUUUGAUAUAUUAUUAUUCUGGUUGGUAUUUACUUACAUUUAGUUAAUGCUAAUAAAAUUUGACCAACUUAUUAAAAGCAAUGCUCAUCUUUAACCCCUAUUGUUGAUCAGCCUUACACUUCACAUGAACUCCCACCUUUGGUGAGUUCAUGCACAUUAUUCCCCACAACUUGUUGAGCUAUGAUCUUUUGUGAGCUCACACUUGCGAUAUAUAAACCCCCACAGGAGAAAAACAGGUGGUCCAGGAGGAGCCGUACAAUGAGGAGUACGAGUUGAUCUAGGUGGCGACUCCGAGUUAGCUUUAUGGCGCCAAGGAUGGACGUUUAGUUCGCUUUAUUAUUAUAAUUUAUUUUUGUAAGACUUCCUCUAUGUAAUAAUCACAUUUAUGAUUUUUGUGACAUUUAUCUCUAUACACUUUGUCAUUAUAUGUGUUGUUCGUCUUUGGCGCACAUAUGAGACGCACCCGGCUUUAUCCCUUAAAUCCGGGUGUGACAUGAACUUACCUUCUUAUCUUUAUUGACAAAUGCCUCUAGUUUUAUUCGUUUUUGGCGCUUAAUGCCAAAGGGGAGAAAUUAAUUGGCCAAAGCAAAAGGAUCGCACCACCACCCUGUUUUCUAAAAACUUUUUCAAAAAGAGGAGAAAUUAAUAGGCAUUUGCAAAAAUCCUCUUGACAGCUAGGGGGAGAACUUAUUCAGGGGAGCUUUUAUUUAGCCAAAGGAAAAGCAUUUGAAACAGGGGGAGAAUCUUUCAAAACUUGAAAAAGCUUUUAGAAAUCAUAUUAUGAUACUAUUGGAUAAUUGCAAAUGAAUUUGAAAAGACUUUCCAAAAGAUUUACAAAAACAAGAUAAGGGGUGCAAAUGUGGUCCAAAAUGUUAAAUAUAUCAAAACAACCAUAUAUGCUUAGAACUGCUUUCAUUUCAUAGUAAAUUAUGCACAUCCACCAAAAUGCAAACUAGUUACACUUCUACACUUUGUAUUUGCUUUGGUUUGUGUUGGCAUCAAUCACCAAAAAGGGGGAGAUUGAAAAGGAAAUGGCCUCAACAUUUCCUAUAAUCGUUUUUGGUGUUUGACGUCCAUCACAAACCACGUGGACUAACUAGUUUGCCUAGUUGAUAUUUUUCUUAGGUGCAUAAAGUUCAUAUACACAUACAAAGAAAAUGACAGUGGGGCAAUUCGACAAGUUUGGAGCAAAACAGACUUGUUGCAGCCAGUGGCGCACCGGACAGUGUCUGGUGCCCUGGCUGGAGCACUCCGGGAACUGGUCGCUCUCGAGAAUUAUUGGCGCUCGUCCACUAAUAAUCACCGGACAGUCCAGUGAACCCUCGGUGCAACGGUCGACUCCACCAACGGUCGUCUGCGGGACUGCACGCGCAGUCUGAAGCGUCAAAAGUUACAAGACAUUCUGCGAUGUCAGGUCGCAUCGGACUAUCCUGUGUGCCACCGGACUAUCUGAUACACCACGAGGACAUAAGUCAUCAAUGGUCAACAGCUCCAACGGUUGGCUGACGUGGCACGUGCCGGACAGUGAACAGUGUUGUAUCCGGUGCACCACCGGACUGUCCGGUGUGCCCAUCGAUAAAGAAGUCAGCCAAUGGCUAGAAUAGUGGUUGGGGCUAUAAAUACCCCCAACCACCACCAUUCAAUCCAUCCAAGCAUCCCACUCUCUUCAUUCAAUACAAGAACAAAGAAUACACUCCAAAGACACAUUCAAAUCUAUUUGAUCCUCUCUAACACAUUCAAAUCUAUUUGAUCCUCUCUAAGUUCCAUAAUCAAGUCAAGUGAUCAAAAGUGUUUAGUGACUUGAGAGAGGGUGAUUUGUGUUUCUUUUGUUACUCUUGUUGCUUGGUUGCUUUCUUCUUCUCCUAAUUUUUCCAAGUGUUUUGUAAAGCAAGCAAGAGACACCUAAUUGUGUGGUGAUCCUUGCGGGGUCUUAGUGACCCGUGAGAUUAAGAAGAAGCACUCAACCGGUCUAGGUGACCAAUUGAGAGAGGGAAAGGGUUGAAAUAGACCCGGCCUUUGUGGCCUCCUCAACGGGGAGUAGGUUCAUUGGAACCGAACCUCGGGAAACAAAUCACCAUGUUCACUUGUGUUGAUCUUCACCACCCGAUUUGUUUCUCCCCUCUCUUCUCUCUCUAAAGUUCUCUUGCUCAUAUUGUUUUGAGUUAGCCCCCAAAGUUAUCCACAUUGAUUGAGCAACUCAUAGCAAGAAGAACUAUCUUCGCACUCCGAAUUCACAAUUAUCUAUUUCUAACCCUAACCCCGGACGAAGUGCGUGUUCAAAGUUUAUAAUUUACAGGUUUUGCCUAUUCACCCCCUCUAGGUGACUUUCAAAUGGGAUCAUACAUUAAAUGGGGUUGGGUCUACAAAGCUAGGCACUUGAACAUUCAUUAGGGCUUUCAUCAUUAUUUUAUUUCUAAUAAAGUUCUAUCGCCUUACUCUAACCUAGAGACCCCAUUUUUUAUGAAAAUAGUGGAUGAACAUAAUUUAAAUAGAUAGAAAAUAUCAUAAUGAACAUUUUGCGAUUCGAACCAUCCAAUUUGGAGUUCAUAUGACAAAGUUAUGAAUUUUUGAACUUUUAGAAUUCAAAAACCCUAAUUUGGACACAUUUCUGUGAUUAAAAUAAAGUCCAGGGGUCUCUCUGCAAGAAACCAGGGGCUCAGGCGAAAGAAACCAGGACGACGGGCUCUAGUCUCGGGAAACCGAGGGGGUUUAAGCAAAUUGCCCGUGGCAAAGGGGUAUCGGGAUGUUUCGACCACCCGAUCAGAAGCAGACGACGAGGAUUAGAAGCGGGGCGCAUAGGAGUGGGCGCGACGAUUGAUCGGUAGGGCCCACUUGUCAGCGGCCUAGGGCAGACCCUGUGCGCGACGCGAGCACGUGCACGCUCUGAUGGGCGGGGCCCAUGGAUCAGUGACCCAGAGAGGGGGGAAGAGAGGAUGGCCGUGGGCAGGCUACCAAGCGGGGUCCACUGGUGGGGAUCGCCAUCUACCUUGGCAGCGCGCACGGCGCGUGCACCAUGGCCGGAACCAGCGACUUUGCGCGGGGCAAAAAAGGAUACAUGGCUGUGGUGGUUUGCCGGAGAGCCCUGGCAUGAUGGCGCAGUGCCGUUGGCGGUGACCACCGGCGGUUGCUCAACAGAGAAGGGAGGACAGAGGAGAGAGAAAGAGAAGUCCGGCGGGGAAAUUCACCUUGGGUGAGGCGCAGUUGGUGGCAGAGCUCCGAGCGGCGGUGGCGGUUCAAGGUUAGGAAAGGCGGAGGGGCCUUGCCAUGGAGGACCCGAGGCCAGACGGCUCGGCGGCAGAAGAGCUCCGACGAGCUUGAAUGUGGGCGAGCGCAGCUUGGGAGGGGGCGCUGGGACAAAGGAAGUGAGGCGGGGAGGGAAGUGGGUGCGUGCAGUGGCUUCAAAAGGGGUCAGAGCAGCGGUUUCGCGCAGAUGCAUGACAUGGGCACAACCACCUCAACGUGUGUGCGAGCGGUUAUAGGAGGGGAGGGGACUGUCAGAGGGUCAGCGAGUCGGCAUCGGCGUGCGCAAUGGGUAGGCGAGGGAGCGCCGACAGGUGGGGCUCAGGGAUAGAGAGCGAGAGCGAGCGCUCGGGCGAGUGGGUUGGCGCCGAUAGGCCGGUCCCAUCGGUCAAAGGGGGGGGGAGCAGGCGCGCGGCUGGAGUGGGCCGAGUGGUUGAGGGGAGGGGGAUUUCUGGGCUUCUUUUGCUUUUUCUUUUAUUCUGAAUUUCUAUUCCCUUUCCUUUUUAUUUUCUCUUUUGAAUUCAAAUCCAACCAAAUCAUAAAUUCGAAUUUGAAUAUGUCAAACAUGUGCAUCAAACAAAAAACAAAGUUUAAGCUUAGCAUGAUGCAACAUUUCAUGUCUCCCAAGGGUUUAAUCUACUAGAUUAUUAAGACAUUCCCAAAUAGAUAACCAACCCUCAACUAAAAAGAAGAGAAAAAACGAAACUAUAGAGAGGAGAAAAGAGGUAACACCUUAAUUUGGAAGGUAUUAGAGAAGAAAUUUUAUACCCCAAAUUCAGGGUGUUACACUAUUUAAGGUGGUGUUGUACUCUAUGAGCCAACAAUGUGAUAUUUACCAACAACAAAUAGUGUCAUGCAUGUGAGUUGCUAGUUGACAAAGCCUGUUGUCGAGCUGGCUAUGGGCUAUGGCUAAAGCACAUUAGGAUAGAGUAGGCCUAUUCUGUUUUUUGUUGUUUUUGGGCCAUUAUGGACUUUAUGUUGAUGUUGUGAGAAUUUUUCAUGUGUUUCCUCUUGCCUACGAAGUGGAAAGUGGGUGCGUUAGAGAAGAAAGAAAGACUGGCUAGCAUUGAUUUUACGUCAUCCCCUUGAGAAUAGUGAUCAAAAGCAGAAGCAACAAUAUUUCAUACAUAUAAAACACUUGUAAUCCAUAUAAACAACUUUCCUUCAAAAAAUAAUAUAAACCACAUGAUUUAUAUCCUAGGUCGGUUAUCUCCAUAAAGGGCAAGAAAACGCUCCUAGGUUUGUAGUAUAGAACUAAGAGUGACUCCUCUCACGAUUUCUUCUUGACAUAUGCAAACUAGACACUAAUCACAUAAAGUAAAGACAUAUGUGGUAACACGAACUUAUAGCAUGUAUUUCAACCUAUAGAUUGUUGAUUAUUAUGGUAGAUUAUAUAAUAUAGGGUUUCCCGAAGAAAUACAUAAAAACAAGAGCAUUAAAAUUUCUUUCUAGAUUUGGCUAACCAGUAAAAGGAGUUGGAGUAUCUGAGUUUUCAAAUUCGGGACGUAGUUGUAUAGAAGGAAUAUAAAUACGUUGGAAAAUAUUCUACAAGGAAAGGUUUAAUACAAGUAGGGCUAAGAAAAAAUCAAUGAGGCUUUGGUCACAUGGUCACAAAACUUGAGACAAGAAACACGAAUACACCAAGGUAAUUAGUAUGAGAGUUUUCCAAAUUUGGUGUCUUGAUGUAAAAAAAAUAAAUAUAUGACAAACAUGUUUUUUUCGCAAGGCAUGGUAAAAUAAGUGGGAGUGAGCAAUAAAUUUUAUCGUAGAUUAUGAAGGAAUAAAUAUAUCAGUAAAUACGUUUUUUCACAAUGCCAAGUUAAACAUGUGGGACAGAGAAAACAAUUCUAGCGAGGCUACGUUGUACCAACCCAAAACUAGAUACAACAGAGGAAAAAUGAAGAAAAUGAUGGUCUACCAAAUAUGGCGCAUGAAACUUAAGGUGGACUAGAGGGAAGUAGAAGAAAUAAAUAUAUAAUAGAAUAUGUUUUUCGCAAUGCAAGGUAAAGUGUAGAUGUGCUCUAACUGGGCUUAGAUUGCAGCGACACAUUAUGCAUCCACAAGGCUUGGUUGCACAUGGAAAAAGAUAGAGACAGAAAUGUAGACGCAGGACCGGGAGAAAAACAUUCAAUGAGACGUGAUUGCACGGACAUAGAACUAGAUAUAAGACAAGAGCUAAAGAAAAAUAAAGGAACUAUUUUUUUCUUUUGCACACUAAGCAUGAAUGGAGUUUCCAAAUUUGGGACGUAGCUCUAUAGAAGGAAUAUAAAUACGUUGGAAAAAAUCUACAAUGAAAGGUUUAAUACAGUAGGGCUAAGAAAAACUCAAUGAGACAAGAAACUUGAGACAAGAAACACGAAAACACCCAGGUAAUUAGUAUGAGAGUUUUCCAAAUUUGGUGUCUUGAUGUAGAAAAAAUAAAUAUAUGACAAACUUGUUUUUUGCAAGGCAUGGUAAAAUAAGUGGGAGUGAGCAAUAAAUUUCAUCAUAGAUUUAGAAGGAAUAAAUAUAUCACUAAAUACGUUUUUUUCACAAUGCCAAGUUAACCAGGCGGGACCGAGAAACAUUUCUAGCCAGGCUAGGUUGUACUAGCCCGAAACUACAUACAACAGAGGAAAAAUGAAGAAAAUGAUGGUCUACCAAAUAUGGCGCAUAAGCCUUAAGGUGCACCUAGAGGGAAGUAGAAGAAAUAAAUAUAUAAUAUGAUUUGUUUUUCGCAAUGCAAGGUAAAGUGUAGAUGUCUUCUAACUGGGCUUAGAUUGCAACGACACAUUAUGCAUCCACAAGGCUUGGUUGCACAUGGAAAAAGAUAGAGAGAGAAAAGUAGACGCAGGACCGGGAGAAAAACAUUCAAUGAGACGUGAUUGCACGGACAUAGAACUAGAUAUAAGACAAGAGUUAAAGAAAAUAAAGGAACUAAAUUUUCUUCUGCACACUAAGCAUGAAUGGAGUUGUAGUAUCUGAGAUCAAAAUUUAAUUUAUUCCAAGAUGCAGAACAAAAUGGUGAUACUAGUAUUGAUUACAUAGGAACAAAAGUAGAUAAGAAAAAUAGAAAAAAGAUAGUGGUCUACCAGAGAGGGCACAUGUGCCUCAGUUGGCCUAUAGCAUAGCGGCUCAUUAUCCUUCCACCGCUGGUGGCGGGCGAUACUCGCUCCUCUAUGAAGCUAGCCUCACGCAAUGUCCACCAAUUUAGGUGUUGGGAUGCAAAGGCUUUCACCAAGGCACCCAAAACCCACUACACAACUUGGAAUGGGUGGUCCACAGUUUGUAGCACUAGACCUAGGCACAUGCACCACAAUUGACAUCCACACUACCUUACUACCCCCGCUCAGGAUACAAGCAAUUGCUACUUGCUCAGCGAGUGAGGAUGAUCAGGACUACCUAUUUAAGGUGGUGUUGUAGUCUAUGAGCCGGCGGUGUGGUAUAUACCAACAACGAAUAGUGUCAUGCAUGUGACUUGGUAGUUGACAAAGUCUGUUGUCGAGCAAGAUGUGGGCUAUGGCUGAAGCACAUUAGGAUAUAGUAGGCCUAUUUUGUUUUUUGUUGUUUUUGGGCCACUAUGGACUUUAUGUUGAUGUUGUGAGAUUUUUUUCUUGUGUUUCCUCUUCCUACGAAGUGGAAAGUGGAUGCGUCAGAGAAGAAAGAAAGAGUGGCUAGCAUUGAUUUUACGUCAUCCCAUUGAGAACAGUAAUCAAAAGCAGAAGCAACAAUAUUUCAUACAUAUACAACACUUGUAAUCCAUAUAAACAACUUUCUUUCAAAUAUAAUAUAAACCACAUGAAUUAUAUCCUAGGUCGGAUAUCUCCACAAAGGGCAAGAAAACGCUCGUAGGUUUGUAGUAUAGAACAAAGAGUGUCUACCCUCACGAUUUCUUCACGACAUAUGCAAACUAGACAGUAAUCACAUAAAAUAAAGAAAUAUGUGUUAACACAAACUUAUAGCAUGUGUUUCAACAUAUAGAUUGUUGAUUAUUAUGGUAGAUUAUAUAAUAUAGGGGUUCCCAAAGAAAUACAUAAAAAACAAGAGCAUUAAAAUUUCCUUUUCAGAUCUGGCUAUCUAGUAAAAGGAGUUUGUGUAUCUGAGUUUCCAAAUUUGGGACGUAGCUCUAUAGAAUGAAUAUAAAUACGUUGGAAAAAAUUCUACAAGGAAAGGUUUAAUACAAGUAGGGCUAAGAAAAACUCAAUGAGGCUUUGGUCGCAUGGUCACAAAACUUGAGACAGGAAACACGAAGACACCAAGGUAAUUAGUAUGAGAGUUUUCCAAAUUUGGUGUCUUGAUGUAGAAUAUAUAUAUAUAUAUAUAUAUAUAUAUAUAUAUAUAUAUAUAUAUGACAAAAACAUUUUUCUCAAGGCAUGGAUAAAUAAGUGGGAGUGAGCAAUAAAUUUCAUCCUAGAUUUAGAAGGAAUAAAUAUAUCACUAAAUACGUUUUUUCACAAUGGCAAGUUAAUCAGGCGGGACCGAGAAACAAUUCUAGCGAGGCUAGGUUGUACUAGCCCGAAACUACAUACAACAGAGGGAAAAUGAAGAAAAUGAUUGUCUACCAAAUAUGCCGCGUGAGCCUUAAGGUGCACCUAGAGGGAAGUAGAAGAAAUAAAUAUAUAAUAGGAUAUGUUUUUCGCAAUGUAACGUAAAGUGUAGGUGUGCUCUAACUGGGCUUAGAUUGCAGCGACACAUUAUGCAUCCACAAGGCUUGGUUGCACAUGGAAAAAUAUAGAGAGAGAAAUGUAGACGCAGGACCGGGAGAAAAACAUUCAAUGAGACGUGAUUGCACGGACAUAGAACUAGAUAUAAGACAAUAGUUAAAGAAAAAUAAAGGAACUAAAUUUUCUUUUGCACACUAAGCAUGAAUGGAGUUGUAGUAUCUGAGAUCAAAAUUUAAUUUAUUCCAAUAUGCAAAACAAAAUUGUGAUACUCGUAAUGGUUACAUAGGAACAAAAGUAGAUAAGAAAAACAGCAAAAAGAUAGUGGUCUACCAGAGAGGGCACAUGUGCCUCAAUUGGCCUAUAGCAUAGGGGCUCAUUAUCCUUCCACCGCUGGUGGCGGGCGGUACUCGCUGCUCUAUGAAACCAGCCUCACGCAAUGUCCGCCACUUUAGGUGUUGGGAUGCAAAGGCUUUCGCCAAGGCACCCGAAACCCACUACAUAACUUGGAAUGGGUAGUCCACAGUUUGUAGCACUAGACCCAGGCACAUGCACCACAAUUGACAUCCACACUACCUUAUUGCCCCCGCUCGGGUUACAAGCAAUCGCUAUUUGCUCAGCGAGUGAGGGGGUUCAGGACUACCUAUUUAAGGUGGUGUUGUACUCUAUGAGCCGACGGUGUGGUAUUUACCAACAACAAAUAGUGUCAUGCAUGUGACUUGCUAGUUGACAAAGUCUGUUGUCGAGCUAGAUGUGGGCUAUGGCUGAAGCACAUUAGGAUAUAAUAUGCCUAUUUUGUUUUUUUGUUGUUUUUUGGGCCACGAUGGACAUUAUGUUGAUGUAGUGAAAUUUUUUCUUGUGUUUCCUCUUCCUACGAAGUGGAAAGUGGGUGCGUCAGAGAAGAAAGAAAGAGUGGCUAGCAUUGAUUUUACGUCAUCCCAUUGAGAUUACUAAUCAAAAGCAGAAGCAACAAUAUUUCAUGCAUAUACAACACUUGUAAUCCAUAUAAACAACUUUCCUUUAAAAUAUAAUAUAAACCACAUGAUUUAUAUCCUAGGUCGGAUAUCUCCACAAAGGGCAUGAAAACGCUCCUAGGUUUGUAGUAUAGAACUAAGAGUGUCUACUCUCACGAUUUCUUCCCGACAUAUGCAAACUAGACAGUAAUCACAUAAAAUAAAGAAAUAUGUGUUAACAUGAACUUAUAGCAUGUAUUUCAACCUAUAGAUUGUUGAUUAUUAUGGUAGAUUAUAUAAUAUAGGGGUUCCCGAAGAAAUACAUAAAAACCAAGAGCAUUAAAAUUUCCUUUUCAGAUUUGGCUAUCUGGUAAAAGGAGUUGGAGUAUCUGAGUUUCCAAAUUUGGGACGUAGCUCUAUAGAACGAAUAUAAAUACGUUGGAAAAAAUUCUACAAGGAAAGGUUUAAUACAAGUAGGGCUAAGAAAAACUCAAUGAGGCUUUGGUCGCAUGGUCACAAGACUUGAGACAAGAAACACGAAGACAACAAGGUAAUUAGUAUGAGAGUUUUCCAAAUUUGGUGUCUUGAUGUAGAAAAAAUAAAUAUAUGACAAACAUGUUUUUUGCAAGGCAUGGUAAAAUAAGUGGGAGUGAGCAAUAAAUUUUAUCAUAGAUUUAGAAGGAAUAAAUAUAUCACUAAAUACGUUUUUUCACAAUGCCAAGUUAAUCAGGCGGGACCGAGAAACAAUUGUAGUAAAGCUAGGUUGUACUAGCCCAAAACUACAUACAACAGAGGAAAAAUGAAGAAAAUGAUGGUCUACCAAAUAUGGCGCAUGAGCCUUAAGGUGCACCUAGAGGGAAGUAGAAGAAAUAAAUAUAUAAUAGGAUAUGUUUUUCGCAAAGCUAGGUGAAGUGUAGAUGUGCUCUAACUAGACUUAGAUUGCAGCGAUACAUUAUGCAUCCACAAGGCUUGGUUGCUCAUGGAAAAAGAUAGAGAGAGAAAUGUAGACGCAGGACCGGGAGAAAAACAUUCAAUGAGACGUGAUUGCACGGACAUAGAACUAGAUAUAAGACAAGAGUUAAAGAAAAAUAAAGGAACUAAAUUUUCUUCUGCACACUAAGCAUGAAUGGAGUUGUAGUAUCUGAGAUCAAAAUUUAAUUUAUUCCAAGAUGUAGAACAAAAACGUGAUACUCGUAAUGGUUACAUAGGAACAAAAGUAGAUAAGAAAAAUAGCAAAAAGAUAGUGGUCUACCAGAGAGGGCACAUGUGCCUCAAUUGGCCUAUAGCAUAGCGACUCAUUAUCCUUCCACCGCUGGUGGCGGGCGGUACUCGCUGCUCUGUGAAGCCAGCCUCACGCAAUGUCCGCCACUUUAGGUGUUGGGAUGCAAAGGCUUUCGCCAAGGCAUCCAAAACCCACUACACAACUUGGAAUGGGUGGUCCACAGUUUGUAGCACUAGACCCAGGCGCAUGCACCACAAUUGACAUCCACACUACCUUAUUGCCCCUGUUCGGGUUACAAGCAAUCGCUACUUGCUCAGCGAGUGAGGGGGGUCAGGACUACCUGUUUAAGGUGGUGAUGUACUCUAUGAGCCGGCGGUGUGGUAUUUACCAACAACAAAUAGUGUCAUGCAUGUGACUUGCUAGUUGACAAAGUCUAUUGUCGAGAUAGAUAUGGGCUAUGGCUGAAGCACAUUUGGAUAUAGUAGGCCUAUUUUGUUUUUUGUUGUUUUUGGGCCACUAUGGACUUUAUGUUGAUGUUGUUUAAUUUUUUCUUGUGUUUCCUCUUCCUACGAUGUGGAAAGUGGGUGCGUCAGAGAAGAAAGAAAGAGUGGCUAGCAUUGAUUUUACGUCAUACCAUUGAGAACACUAAUCAGAAGCAGAAGCAACAAUAUUUCAUACAUAUACAACAGUUGUAAUCCAUAUAAACAACUUUCCUUUAAAAUAUAAUAUAAACCACAUGAUUUAUAUCCUGGGUCGGCUAUCUCCACAAAGGGCAAGAAAACGCUCCAAGUUUGUAGUAUAGAACUAAAAGUGUCGAUUCUCACGAUUUCUUCCCGACAUAUACAAACUAGACAGUAAUCACACAAAAUAAAGAAAUAUGUGUUAACACGAACUUAUAGCAUGUAUUUCAACAUAUAGACUAUUGAUUAUUAUGGUAGAUUAUAUAAAAUAGGGGUUCCCGAAGAAAUACAUAAAAACAAGAGCAUUAAAAUUUCCUUUUCAGAUCUGGCUAUCUAGUAAAAGGAGUUGGAGUAACUGAGUUUCCAAAUUUGUGACGUAGCUCUAUAGAAGGAAUAUAAACACGUUGGAAAAAUUCUACAAGGAAAGGUCUAAUACAAGUAGGGCUAAGAAAAACUCAAUGAGGCUUUGGUCGCAUGGUCACAAAACUUGAGACAAGAAACACGAAGACACCAAGGUAAUUAGUAUGAGAGUUUUCCAAAUUUGGUGUCUUGAUGUAGAAAAAAUAAAUAUAUGACAAACUUGUUUUUUCGCAAGGCAUGGAUAAAUAAGUGGGGGUGAGCAAUAAAUUUCAUCAUAGAUUUAGAAGGAAUAAAUAUAUCACUAAAUACGUUUUUUUCACAAUGCCAAGUUAACCAGGCGGGACCGAGAAACAUUUCUAGCCAGGCUAGGUUGUACUAGCCCGAAACUACAUACAACAGAGGAAAAAUGAAGAAAAUGAUGGUCUACCAAAUAGGGCGCAUGAGCCUUAAGGUGCACCUAGAGGGAAGUAGAAGAAAUAAAUAUAUAAUAGCAUAUGUUUUUCGCAAUGCAAGGUAAAGUGUAGAUGUGCUCUAACUGGGCUUAGAUUGCAGCGACACAUUAUGCAUCUACAAGGCUUGGUUGCACAUGGAAAAAGAUAGAGAGAGAAAUGUAGACGCAGGACCGGGAGAAAAACAUUCAAUGAGACAUGAUUGCACGGACAUAGAACUAGAUAUAAGACAAGAGUUAAAGAAAAAUAAAGGAACUAAAUUUUCUUCUGCACACUAAGCAUGAAUGGAGUUGUAGUAUCAGAGAUCAAAAUUUAAUUUAUUCCAAGAUGCAGAACAAAAACGUGAUACUCGUAAUGGUUACAUAGGAACAAAAGUAGAUAAGAAAAAUAGCAAAAAGAUAGUGGUCUACCAGAGAGGGCACAUGUGCCUCAAUUGGCCUAUAGCAUAGCGACUCAUUAUCCUUCCACCGCUGGUGGCGGGCGAUACUCGCUGCUCUGUGAAGCCAGCCUCACGCAAUGUCCGCCACUUUAGGUGUUGGGAUGCAAAGGCUUUCUCCAAGGCAUCCGAAACCCACUACACAACUUGGAAUGGGUGGUCCACAGUUUGUUGCACUAGACCCAGGCACAUGCACCACAAUUGACAUCCACACUACCUUAUUGCCCCCGCUCGGGUUACAAGCAAUCGCUACUUGCUCAGCGAGUGAGGGGGUUCAAGACUACCUAUUUAAGGUGGUGUUGUACUCUAUGAGCCGACAGUGUGGUAUUUACCAACUACAAAUAGUGUCAUGCAUGUGACUUGCUAGUUGACAAUGUCUGUUGUCGAGCUAGAUGUGGGCUAUGGAUGAAGCACAUUAGGAUAUAGUAGGCCUAUUUUGUUUUUUGUUGUUUUUGGGCCACUAUGGACUUUAUGUUGAUGUUGUGAAAUUUUUUCCUGUGUUUCCUCUUCCUACGAUGUGGAAAGUGGGUGCGUCAGAGAAGAAAGAAAGAGUAGCUAGCAUUGAUUUUACGUCAUACCAUUGAGAACACUAAUCAGAAGCAGAAGCAACAAUAUUUCAUACAUAUACAACACUUGUAAUCCAUAUAAACAACUUUCCUUUAAAAUAUAAUAUAAACCACAUGAUUUAUAUCCUGGGUCGGCUAUCUCCACAAAGGGCAAGAAAACGCACCAAGUUUGUAGUAUAGAACUAAAAGUGUCGAUUCUCACGAUUUCUUCCCGACAUAUACAAACUAGACAGUAAUCACAUAAAAUAAAGAAAUAUGUGUUAACACGAACUUAUAGCAUGUAUUUCAACAUAUAGACUAUUGAUUAUUAUGGUAGAUUAUAUAAAAUAGGGGUUCCCGAAGAAAUACAUAAAAACAAGAGCAUUAAAAUUUCCUUUUCAGAUCUGGCUAUCUAGUAAAAGGAGUUGGAGUAACUGAGUUUCCAAAUUUGUGACGUAGCUCUAUAGAAGGAAUAUAAACACGUUGGAAAAAUUCUACAAGGAAAGGUCUAAUACAAGUAGGGCUAAGAAAAACUCAAUGAGGCUUUGGUCGCAUGGUCACAAAACUUGAGACAAGAAACACGAAGACACCAAGGUAAUUAGUAUGAGAGUUUUCCAAAUUUGGUGUCUUGAUGUAGAAAAAAUAAAUAUAUGACAAACUUGUUUUUUCGCAAGGCAUGGAUAAAUAAGUGGGGGUGAGCAAUAAAUUUCAUCCUAGAUUUAGAAGGAAUAAAUAUAUCACUAAAUACGUUUUAUCAAAAUGCCAAGUUAAUCAGGUGGGAGCGAGAAACAAUUCUAGCGAGGCUAGGUUGUACUAGCCCAAAACUACAUACAACAGAGGAAAAAUGAAGAAAAUGAUGGUCUACCAAAUAGGGCGCAUGAGCCUUAAGGUGCACCUAGAGGGAAGUAGAAGAAAUAAAUAUAUAAUAGCAUAUGUUUUUCGCAAUGCAAGGUAAAGUGUAGAUGUGCUCUAACUGGGCUUAGAUUGCAGCGACACAUUAUGCAUCUACAAGGCUUGGUUGCACAUGGAAAAAGAUAGAGAGAGAAAUGUAGACGCAGGACCGGGAGAAAAACAUUCAAUGAGACAUGAUUGCACGGACAUAGAACUAGAUAUAAGACAAGAGUUAAAGAAAAAUAAAGGAACUAAAUUUUCUUCUGCACACUAAGCAUGAAUGGAGUUGUAGUAUCUGAGAUCAAAAUUUAAUUUAUUCCAAGAUGCAGAACAAAAAUGUGAUACUCGUAAUGGUUACAUAGGAACAAAAGUAGAUAAGAAAAAUAGCAAAAAGAUAGUGGUCUACCAGAGAGGGCACAUGUGCCUCAAUUGGCCUAUAGCAUAGCGACUCAUUAUCCUUCCACCGCUGGUGGCGGGCGAUACUCGCUGCUCUGUGAAGCCAGCCUCACGCAAUGUCCGCCACUUUAGGUGUUGGGAUGCAAAGGCUUUCUCCAAGGCAUCCGAAACCCACUACACAACUUGGAAUGGGUGGUCCACAGUUUGUAGCACUAGACCCAGGCACAUGCACCACAAUUGACAUCCACACUACCUUAUUGCCCCCGCUCGGGUUACAAGCAAUCGCUACUUGCUCAGCGAGUGAGGGGGUUCAAGACUACCUAUUUAAGGUGGUGUUGUACUCUAUGAGCCGACAGUGUGGUAUUUACCAACUACAAAUAGUGUCAUGCAUGUGACUUGCUAGUUGACAAUGUCUGUUGUCGAGCUAGAUGUGGGCUAUGGAUGAAGCACAUUAGGAUAUAGUAGGCCUAUUUUGUUUUUUGUUGUUUUUGGGCCACUAUGGACUUUAUGUUGAUGUUGUGAAAUUUUUUCCUGUGUUUCCUCUUCCUACGAUGUGGAAAGUGGGUGCGUCAGAGAAGAAAGAAAGAGUAGCUAGCAUUGAUUUUACGUCAUACCAUUGAGAACACUAAUCAGAAGCAGAAGCAACAAUAUUUCAUACAUAUACAACACUUGUAAUCCAUAUAAACAACUUUCCUUUAAAAUAUAAUAUAAACCACUUGAUUUAUAUCCUGGGUCGGCUAUCUCCACAAAGGGCAAGAAAACGCACCAAGUUUGUAGUAUAGAACUAAAAGUGUCGAUUCUCACGAUUUCUUCCCAACAUAUACAAACUAGACAGUAAUCACAUAAAAUAAAGAAAUAUGUGUUAACACGAACUUAUAGCAUGUAUUUCAACAUAUAGAUUGUUGAUUAUUAUGGUAGAUUAUAUAAAAUAGGGGUUCCCGAAGAAAUACAUAAAAACAAGAGCAUUAAAAGUUCCUUUUCAGAUCUGGCUAUCUAGUAAAAGGAGUUGGAGUAACUGAGUUUCCAAAUUUGUGACGUAGCUCUAUAGAAGGAAUAUAAAUACGUUGGAAAAAUUCUACAAGGAAAGGUCUAAUACAAGUAGGGCUAAGAAAAACUCAAUGAGGCUUUGGUCACAUGGUCACAAAACUUGAGACAAGAAACACGAAGACACCAAGGUAAUUAGUAUGAGAGUUUUCCAAAUUUGGUGUCUUGAUGUAGAAAAAAUAAAUAUAUGACAAACUUGUUUUUUCGCAAGGCAUGGAUAAAUAAGUGGGGGUGAACAAUAAAUUUCAUCCUAGAUUUAGAAGGAAUAAAUAUAUCACUAAAUACGUUUUUUCACAAUGCCAAGUUAAUCAGGUGGGAGCGAGAAACAAUUCUAGCGAGGCUAGUUUGUACUAGCCCAAAACUACAUACAACAGAGGAAAAAUGAAGAAAAUGAUGGUCUACCAAAUAGGGCGCAUGAGCCUUAAGGUGCACCUAGAGGGAAGUAGAAGAAAUAAAUAUAUAAUAGCAUAUGUUUUUCGCAAUGCAAGGUAAAGUGUAGAUGUGCUCUAACUGGGCUUAGAUUGCAGCGACACAUUAUGCAUCUACAAGGCUUGGUUGCACAUGGAAAAAGAUAGAGAGAGAAAUGUAGACGCAGGACCGGGAGAAAAACAUUCAAUGAGACAUGAUUGCACGGACAUAGAACUAGAUAUAAGACAAGAGUUAAAGAAAAAUAAAGGAACUAAAUUUUCUUCUACACACUCAGCAUGAAUGGAGUUGUAGUAUCUGAGAUCAAAAUUUAAUUUAUUCCAAGAUGCAGAACAAAAACGUGAUACUCGUAAUGGUUACAUAGGAACAAAAGUAGAUAAGAAAAAUAGCAAAAAGAUAGUGGUCUACCAGAGAGGGCACAUGUGCCUCAAUUGGCCUAUAGCAUAGCGACUCAUUAUCCUUCCACCGCUGGUGGCGGGCGGUACUCGCUGCUCUAUGAAGCCAGCCUCACGCAAUGUCCGCCACUUUAGGUGUUGGGAUGCAAAGGCUUUCGCCAAGGCAUCCGAAACCCACUACACAACUUGGAAUGGGUGGUCCACAGUUUGUAGCACUAGACCCAGGCACAUGCACCACAAUUGACAUCCACACUACCUUAUUGCCCCCGCUCGGGUUACAAGCAAUCGCUACUUGCUCAGCGAGUGAGGGGGUUCAAGACUACCUAUUUAAGGUGGUGUUGUACUCUAUGAGCCGACAGUGUGGUAUUUACCAACUACAAAUAGUGUCAUGCAUGUGACUUGCUAGUUGACAAUGUCUGUUGUCGAGCUAGAUGUGGGCUAUGGAUGAAGCACAUUAGGAUAUAGUAGGCCUAUUUUGUUUUUUGUUAUUUUUGGGCCACUAUGGACUUUAUGUUGAUGUUGUGAAAUUUUUUCUUGUGUUUCCUCUUCCUACGAUGUGGAAAGUGGGUGCGUCAGAGAAGAAAGAAAGAGUAGCUAGCAUUGAUUUUCCGUCAUACCAUUGAGAACACUAAUCAGAAGCAGAAGCAACAAUAUUUCAUACAUAUACAACACUUGUAAUCCAUAUAAACAACUUUCCUUUAAAAUAUAAUGUAAACCACAUGAUUUAUAUCUAGGGUCGGCUAUCUCCACAAAGGGCAAGAAAACGCUCCAAGUUUGUAGUAUAGAACUAAAAGUGUCGAUUCUCACGAUUUCUUCCCGACAUAUACAAACUAGACAGUAAUCACAUAAAAUAAAGAAAUAUGUGUUAACACGAACUUAUAGCAUGUAUUUCAACAUAUAGAUUGUUGAUUAUUAUGGUAGAUUAUAUAAAAUAGGGGUUCCCGAAGAAAUACGUAAAAACAAGAGCAUUAAAAUUUCCUUUUCAGAUCUGGCUAUCUAGUAAAAGGAGUUGGAGUAACUGAGUUUCCAAAUUUGUGACGUAGCUCUAUAGAAGGAAUAUAAAUACGUUGGAAAAAUUCUACAAGGAAAGGUCUAAUACAAGUAGGGCUAAGAAAAACUCAAUGAGGCUUUGGUCGCAUGGUCACAAAACUUGAGACAAGAAACACGAAGACACCAAGGUAAUUAGUAUGAGAGUUUUCCAAAUUUGGUGUCUUGAUGUAGAAAAAAUAAAUAUAUGACAAACUUGUUUUUUCGCAAGGCAUGGAUAAAUAAGUGGGGGUGAACAAUAAAUUCAUCCUAGAUUUAGAAGGAAUAAAUAUAUCACUAAAUACGUUUUUUCACAAUGCCAAGUUAAUCAGGUGGGAGCGAGAAACAAUUCUAGCGAGGCUAGGUUGUACUAGCCCAAAACUACAUACAACAGAGGAAAAAUGAAGAAAAUGGUGGUCUACCAAAUAGGGCGCAUGAGCCUUAAGGUGCACCUAGAGGGAAGUAGAAGAAAUAAAUAUAUAAUAGCAUAUGUUUUUCGCAAUGCAAGGUAAAGUGUAGAUGUGCUCUAACUGGGCUUAGAUUGUAGCGACACAUUAUGCAUCUACAAGGCUUGGUUGCUCAUGGAAAAAGAUAGAGACAGAAAUGUAGACGCAGGACCGGGAGAAAAACAUUCAAUGAGACGUGAUUGCACGGACAUAGAACUAGUUAUAAGACAAGAGUUAAAGAAAAAUAAAGGAACUAAAUUUUCUUCUGCACACUAAGCAUGAAUGGAGUUGUAGUAUCUGAGAUCAAAAUUUAAUUUAUUCCAAGAUGCAGAACAAAAACGUGAUACUCGUAAUGGUUACAUAGGAACAAAAGUAGAUAAGAAAAAUAGCAAAAAGAUAGUGGUCUACCAGAGAGGGCACAUGUGCCUCAAUUGGCCUAUAGCAUAGCGACUCAUUAUCCUUCCACCGCUGGUGGCGGGCGGUACUCGCUGCUCUGUGAAGCCAACCUCACGCAAUGUCCGCCACUUUAGGUGUUGGGAUGCAAAGGCUUUCGCCAAGGCAUCCGAAACCCACUACACAACUUGGAAUGGGUGGUCCACAGUUUGUAGCACUAGACCCAGGCACAUGCACCACAAUUAACAUUCACACUACCUUAUUGCCCCCGCUCGGGUUACAAGCAAUCGCUACUUGCUCAGCGAGUGAGGGGGUUCAAGACUACCUAUUUAAGGUGGUGUUGUACUGUAUGAGCCGGCGGUGUGGUAUUUACCAACUACAAAUAGUGUCAUGCAUGUGACUUGCUAGUUGACAAUGUCUGUUGUCGAGCUAGAUGUGGGCUAUGGAUGAAGCACAUUAGGAUAUAGUAGGCCUAUUUUGUUUUUUGUUGUUUUUGGGACACUAUGGACUUUAUGUUGAUGUUGUGAAAUUUUUUCUUGUGUUUCCUUUUCCUACGAUGUGGAAAGUGGGUGCGUCAGAGAAGAAAGAAAGAGUGGCUAGCAUUGAUUUUACGUCAUACCGUUGAGAACACUAAUCAGAAGCAGAAGCAACAAUAUUUCAUACAUAUACAACACUUGUAAUCCAUAUAAACAACUUUCCUUUAAAAUAUAAGAUAAACCACAUGAUUUAUAUCCUGGGUCGGCUAUCUCCACAAAGGGCAAGAAAACGCUCCAAGUUUGUAGUAUAGAACUAAAAGUGUCGAUUCUCACGAUUUCUUCCCGACAUAUACAAACUAGACAGUAAUCACAUAAAAUAAAGAAAUAUGUGUUAACAAGAACUUAUACCAUGUAUUUCAACAUAUAGAUUGUUGAUUAUUAUGGUAGAUUAUAUAAAAUAGGGGUUCCCGAAGCAAUACAUAAAAACAAGAGCAUUAAAAUUUCCUUUUCAGAUUUGGCUAUCUGGUAAAAGGAGUUGGAGUAACUGAGUUUCCAAAUUUGUGCCGUAGCUCUAUAGAAGGAAUAUAAAUACGUUGGAAAAAUUCUAUAAGGAAAGGUUUAAUACAAGUAGGGCUAAGAAAAACUCAAUGAGGCUUUGGUCGCAUGGUCACAAAACUUGAGACAAGAAACACGAAGACACCAAGGUAAUUAGUAUGAGAGUUUUCCAAAUUUGGUGUCUUGAUGUAGAAAAAUAAAUAUAUGAAAAACUUGUUUUUUCGCAAGGCAUGGAUAAAUAAGUGGGGGUGAGCAAUAAAUUUCAUCCUUGAUUUAGAAGGAAUAAAUAUAUCACUAAAUACGUUUUUUCACAAUGCCAAGUUAAUCAGGUGGGACCGAGAAACAAUUCUAGCGAGGCUAGGUUGUACUAGCCCAAAACUACAUACUACAGAGGAAAAAUGAAGAAAAUGAUGGUCUACCAAAUAUGGCGCAUGAGCCUUAAGGUGCACCUAGAGGGAAGUAGAAGAAAUAAAUAUAUAAUAGCAUAUGUUUUUCGCAAUGCAAGGUAAAGUGUAGAUGUGCUCUAACUAGGCUUAGAUUGCAGCGACACAUUAUGCAUCUACAAGGCUUGGUUGCACAUGGAAAAAGAUAGAGAGAGAAAUGUAGACGCAGGACCGAGAGAAAAACAUUCAAUGAGACGUGAUUGCACGGACAUAGAACUAGAUAUAAGACAAGAGUUAAAGAAAAAUAAAGGAACUAAAUUUUCUUCUGCACACUAAGCAUGAAUGGAGUUGUAGUAUCUGAGAUCAAAAUUUAAUUUAUUCCAAGAUGCAGAACAAAAACGUGAUACUCGUAAUGGUUACAUAGGAACAAAAGUAGAUAAGAAAAAUAGCAAAAAGAUAGUGGUCUACCAGAGAGGGCACAUGUGCCUCAAUUGGCCUAUAGCAUAGCGACUCAUUAUCCUUCCACCGCUGGUGGCGGGCGGUACUCGCUGCUCUGUGAAGCCAGCCUCACGCAAUGUCCGCCACUUUAGGUGUUGGGAUGCAAAGGCUUUCGCCAAGGCAUCCGAAACCCACUACACAACUUGGAAUGGGUGUUCCACAAUUUGUAGCACUAGACCCAGGCACAUGCACCACAAUUGACAUCCACACUACCUUAUUGCCUCCGCUCGGGUUACAAGCAAUCGCUACUUGCUCAGCGAGUGAGGGGGUUCAAGACUACCUAUUUGAGGUGGUGUUGUACUCUAUGAGCCGGCGGUGUGGUAUUUACCAACUACAAAUAGUGUCAUGCAUGUGACUUGCUAGUUGACAAUGUCUGUUGUCGAGCUAGAUGUGGGCUAUGGAUGAAGCACAUUAGGAUAUAGUAGGCCUAUUUUGUUUUUUGUUGUUUUUGGGCCACUAUGGACUUUAUGUUGAUGUUGUGAAAUUUUUUCUUGUGUUUCCUCUUCAUACGAUGUGGAAAGUGGGUGCCGUCAGAGAAGAAAGAAAGAGCGGCUAGCAUUGAUUUUACGUCAUACCAUUGAGAACACUAAUUAGAAGCAGAAGCAACAAUAUUUCAUACAUAUACAACACUUGUAAUCCAUAUAAACAACAUUCCUUUAAAAUAUAAUAUAAACCACAUGAUUUAUAUCCUGGGUCAGCUAUCUCCACAAAGGGCAAGAAAACGCUCCAAGUUUGUAGUAUAGAACUAAAAGUGUCGAUUCUCACGAUUUCUUCCCGACAUAUACAAACUAGACAGUAAUCACAUAAAAUAAAGAAAUAUGUGUUAACACGAACUUAUAACAUGUAUUUCAACAUAUAGAUUGUUGAUUAUUAUGGUAGAUUAUAUAAAAUAGGGGUUCCCGAAGAAAUACAUAAAAACAAGAGCAUUAAAAUUUCCUUUUCAGAUCUGGCUAUCUGGUAAAAGGAGUUGGAGUAACUGAGUUUCCAAAUUUGUGACGUAGCUCUAUAGAAGGAAUAUAAAUACGUUGGAAAAAUUCUACAAGGAAAGGUUUAAUACAAGUAGGGCUAAGAAAAACUCAAUGAGGCUUUGGUCGCAUGGUCACAAAACUUGAGACAAGAAACACGAAGACACCAAGGUAAUUAGUAUGAGAGUUUUCCAAAUUUGGUGUCUUGAUGUAGAAAAAAUAAAUAUAUGACAAACUUGUUUUUUCGCAAGGCAUGGAUAAAUAAGUGGGGGCGAGCAAUAAAUUUCAUCCUAGAUUUAGAAGGAAUAAAUAUAUCACUAAAUACGUUUUUUCAUAAUGCCAAGUUAAUCAGGUGGGAGCGAGAAACAAUUCUAGCGAGGUUAGGUUGUACUAGCCCAAAACUACAUACAACAGAGGAAAAAUGAAGAAAAUGAUGGUCUACCAAAUAUGGCGCAUGAGCCUUAAGGUGCACGUAGAGGGAAGUAUAAGAAAUAAAUAUAUAAUAGCAUAUGUUUUUCGCAAUGCAAGGUAAAGUGUAGAUGUGCUCUAACUGGGCUUAGAUUGCAGCGACACAUUAUGCAUCUACAAGGCUUGGUUGCACAUGGAAAAAGAUAGAGAGAGAAAUGUAGACACAGGACCGGGAGAAAAACAUUCAAUGAGACAUGAUUGCACGGACAUAGAACUAGAUAUAAGACAAGAGUUAAAGAAAAAUAAAGGAACUAAAUUUUCUUCUACACACUCAGCAUGAAUGGAGUUGUAGUAUCUGAGAUCAAAAUUUAAUUUAUUCCAAGAUGCAGAACAAAAACGUGAUACUCGUAAUGGUUACAUAGGAACAAAAGUAGAUAAGAAAAAUAGCAAAAAGAUAGUGGUCUACCAGAGAGGGCACAUGUGCCUCAAUUGGCCUAUAGCAUAGCGACUCAUUAUCCUUCCACCGCUGGUGGCGGGCGGUACUCGCUGCUCUGUGAAGCCAGCCUCACGCAAUGUCCGCCACUUUAGGUGUUGGGAUGCAAAGGCUUUCGCCAAGGCAUCCGAAACCCACUACACAACUUGGAAUGGGUGUUCCACAGUUUGUAGCACUAGACCAUGGCACAUGCACCACAAUUGACAUCCACACUACCUUAUUGCCCCCGCUCGGGUUACAAGCAAUCACUACUUGCUCAUCAAGUGAGGGGGUUCAAGACUACCUAUUUAAGGUGGUGUUGUACUCUAUGAGCCGACGGUGUGGUAUUUACCAACUACAAAUAGUGUCAUGCAUGUGACUUGCUAGUUGACAAUGUCUGUUGUCGAGCUAGAUGUGGGCUAUGGAUGAAGCACAUUAGGAUAUAGUAGGCCUAUUUUGUUUUUUGUUGUUUUUGGGCCACUAUGGACUUUAUGUUGACGUUGUGAAAUUUUUUCUUGUGUUUCCUCUUCCUACGAUGUGGAAAGUGGGUGCCGUCAGAGAAGAAAGAAAGAGUGGCUAGCAUUGAUUUUACGUCAUACCAUUGAGAACACUAAUCAGAAGCAGAAGCAACAAUAUUUCAUACAUAUACAACACUUGUAAUCCAUAUAAACAACUUUCCUUUAAAAUAUAAUAUAAACCACAUGAUUUAUAUCCUGGGUCGGCUAUCUCCACAAAGGGCAAGAAAACGCUCCAAGUUUGUAGUAUAGAACUAAAAGUGUCGAUUCUCACGAUUUCUUCCCGACAUAUACAAACUAGACAGUAAUCACAUAAAAUAAAGAAAUAUGUGUUAACACGAACAUAUAGCAUGUAUUUCAACAUAUAGAUUGUUGAUUAUUAUGGUAGAUUAUAUAAAAUAGGGGUUCCCGAAGAAAUACAUAAAAACAAGAGCAUUGAAAUUUCCUUUUCAGAUCUGGCUAUCUGGUAAAAGGAGUUGGAGUAACUGAGUUUCCAAAUUUGUGACGUAGCUCUAUAGAAGGAAUAUAAAUACGUUGGAAAAAUUCUACAAGGAAAGGUUUAAUACAAGUAGGGCUAAGAAAAACUCAAUGAGGCUUUGGUCGCAUGGUCACAAAACUUGAGACAAGAAACACGAAGACACCAAGGUAAUUAGUAUGAGAGUUUUCCAAAUUUGGUGUCUUGAUGUAGAAAAAAUAAAUAUAUGACAAACUUGUUUUUUCGCAAGGCAUGGAUAAAUAAGUGGGGGCGAGCAAUAAAUUUCAUCCUAGAUUUAGAAGGAAUAAAUAUAUCACUAAAUACGUUUUUUCAUAAUGCCAAGUUAAUCAGGUGGGAGCGAGAAACAAUUCUAGCGAGGCUAGGUUGUACUAGCCCAAAACUACAUACAACAGAGGAAAAAUGAAGAAAAUGAUGGUCUACCAAAUAUGGCGCAUGAGCCUUAAGGUGCACCUAGAGGGAAGUAGAAGAAAUAAAUAUAUAAUAGCAUAUGUUUUUCGCAAUGCAAGGUAAAGUGUAGAUGUGCUCUAACUGGGCUUAGAUUGCAGCGACACAUUAUGCAUCUACAAGGCUUGGUUGCACAUGGAAAAAGAUAGAGAGAGAAAUGUAGACACAGGACCGGGAGAAAAACAUUCAAUGAGACAUGAUUGCACGGACAUAGAACUAGAUAUAAGACAAGAGUUAAAGAAAAAUAAAGGAACUAAAUUUUCUUCUGCACACUCAGCAUGAAUGGAGUUGUAGUAUCUGAGAUCAAAAUUUAAUUUAUUCCAAGAUGCAGAACAAAAACGUGAUACUCGUAAUGGUUACAUAGGAACAAAAGUAGAUAAGAAAAAUAGCAAAAAGAUAGUGGUCUACCAGAGAGGGCACAUGUGCCUCAAUUGGCCUAUAGCAUAGCGACUCAUUAUCCUUCCACCGCUGGUGGCGGGCGGUACUCGCUGCUCUGUGAAGCCAGCCUCACGCAAUGUCCGCCACUUUAGGUGUUGGGAUGCAAAGGCUUUCGCCAAGGCAUCCGAAACCCACUACACAACUUGGAAUGGGUGGUCCAAAGUUUGUAGCACUAGACCCAGGCACAUGCACCACAAUUGACAUCCACACUACCUUAUUGCCCCCGCUCGGGUUACAAGCAAUCGCUACUUGCUCAGCGAGUGAGGGGGUUCAACACUACCUAUUUAAGGUGGUGUUGUACUCUAUAAGCCGGCGGUGUGGUAUUUACCAACUACAAAUAGUGUCAUGCAUGUGACUUGCUAGUUGACAAUGUCUGUUGUCGAGCUAGAUGUGGGCUAUGGAUGAAGCACAUUAUGAUAUAGUAGGCCUAUUUUGUUUUUUGUUGUUUUUGGGCCACUAUGGACUUUAUGUUGAUGUUGUGAAAUUUUUUCUUGUGUUUCCUCUUCCUACGAUGUGUAAAGUGGGUGUGUUAGAGAAGAAAGAAAGAGUGGCUAGCAUUGAUUUUACGUCAUACCAUUGAGAACACUAAUCAGAAGCAGAAGCAACAAUAUUUCAUACAUAUACAACACUUGUAAUCCAUAUAAACAACUUUCCUUUAAAAUAUAAUAUAAACCACAUGAUUUAUAUCCUGGGUCGGCUAUCUCCACAAAGGGCAAGAAAACGCUCCAAGUUUGUAGUAUAGAACUAAAAGUGUCGAUUCUCACGAUUUCUUCCCGACAUAUACAAACUAGACAGUAAUCACAUAAAAUAAAGAAAUAUGUGUUAACACGAACUUAUAGCAUGUAUUUCAACAUAUAGAUUGUUGAUUAUUAUGGUAGAUUAUAUAAAAUAGGGGUUCCCAAAGAAAUACAUAAAACAAGAGCAUUAAAAUUUCCUUUUCAGAUCUGGCUAUCUGGUAAAAGGAGUUGGAGUAACUGAGUUUCCAAAUUUGUGACGUAGCUCUAUAGAAGGAAUAUAAAUACGUUGGAAAAAUUCUACAAGGAAAGGUUUAAUACAAGUAGGGCUAAGAAAAACUCAAUGAGGCUUUGGUCGCAUGGUCACAAAACUUGAGACAAGAAACACGAAGACACAAAGGUAAUUAGUAUGAGAGUUUUCCAAAUUUGGUGUCUUGAUGUAGAAAAAAUAAAUAUAUGACAAACUUGUUUUUUCGCAAGGCAUGGAUAAAUAAGUGGGGGUGAGCAAUAAAUUUCAACCUAGAUUUAGAAGGAAUAAAUAUAUCACUAAAUACAUUUUUUACAAUGCCAAGUUAAUCAGGUAGGAGCGAGAAACAAUUCUAGCGAGGCUAGGUUGUACUAGCCCAAAACUACAUACAAAAGAGGAAAAAUGAAGAAAAUGAUGGUCUACCAAAUAUGGCACAUGAGCCUUAAGGUGCACCUAGAGGGAAGUAGAAGAAUAAAUAUAUAAUAGCAUAUGUUUUUCGCAAUGCAAGGUAAAGUGUAGAUGUGCUCUAACUGGGCUUAGAUUGCAGCGACACAUUAUGCAUCUACAAGGCUUGGUUGCACAUGGAAAAAGAUAGAGAGAGAAAUGUAGACGCAGGACCGGGAGAAAAACAUUCAAUGAGACGUGAUUGCACGGACAUAGAACUAGAUAUAAGACAAGAGUUAAAGAAAAAAGGAACUAAAUUUUCUUGUGCACACUAAGCAUGAAUGGAGUUGUAGUAUCUGAGAUCAAAAUUUAAUUUAUUCCAAGAUGCAGAACAAAAACGUGAUACUCGUAAUGGUUACAUAGGAACAAAAGUAGAUAAGAAAAAUAGCAAAAAGAUAUUGGUCUACCAGAGAGGGCACAUGUGCCUCAAUUGGCCUAUAGCAUAGUGGCUCAUUAUCCUUCAACCGCUGGUGGCGGGCGGUACUCGCUGCUCUGUGAAGCCAGCCUCACGCAAUGUCCGCCACUUUAGGUGUUGGGAUGCAAAGGCUUUCGCCAAGGCAUCCGAAACCCACUACACAACUUGGAAUGGGUGGUCCACAGUUUGUAGCACUAGACCCAGGCACAUGCACCACAAUUGACAUUCACACUACCUUAUUGCCCCCGCUCGGGUUACAAGCAAUCGCUACUUGCUCAGCGAGUGAGGGGGGUUCAAGACUACCUAUUUAAGGUGGUGUUGUACUGUAUGAGCCGGCGGUGUGGUAUUUACCAACUACAAAUAGUGUCAUGCAUGUGACUUGCUAGUUGACAAUGUCUGUUGUGGAGCUAGAUGUGGGCUAUGGAUGAAGCACAUUAGGAUAUAGUAGGCCUAUUUUGUUUUUUGUUAUUUUUGGGCCACUAUGGACUUUAUGUUGAUGUUGUGAAUUUUUUUCUUGUGUUUCCUCUUCCUACGAUGUGGAAAGUGGGUGCGUCAGAGAAGAAAGAAAGAGUGGCUAGCAUUGAUUUUACGUCAUACCAUUGAGAACACUAAUCAGAAGCAGAAGCAACAAUAUUUCAUACAUAUACAACACUUGUAAUCCAUAUAAACAACUUUCCUUUCAAAUAUAAUAUAAACCACAUGAUUUAUAUCCUGGGUCGGCUAUCUCCACAAAGGGCAAGAAAACGCUCCAAGUUUGUAGUAUAGAACUAAAAGUGUCGACUCUCACGAUUUCUUCCCGACAUAUGCAAACUAGACAGUAAUCACAUAAAAUAAAGAAAUAUGUGUUAACACAAACUUAUAACAUGUAUUUCAACAUAUAGAUUUUUGAUUAUUAUGGUAGAUUAUAUAAUAUAGGGGUUCCCGAAGAAAUACAUAAAAAACAAGAGCAUUAAAAUUUCCUUUUCAGAUCUGGCUAACUGGUAAAGGGAGUUGGAGUAUCUGUGUUUCCAAAUUUGGGACGUCGCUCUAUAGAAGGAAUAUAAAUACAUUGGAAAAAAAUUCUACAAGGAAAGGUUUAAUACAAGUAGGGCUAAGAAAAACUCAAUGAGGCUUUGGUCGCAUGGUCACAAAACUUGAGACAAGAAACACGAAGACACCAAGGUAAUUAGUAUGAGAGUUUUCCAAAUUUGGUGUCUUGAUGUAGAAAAAAUAAAUAUAUGACAAACUUGUUUUUUCGCAAGGCAUGGAUAAAUAAGUGGGGGUGAGCAAUAAAUUUCAUCCUAGAUUUAGAAGGAAUAAAUAUAUCACUAAAUACGUUUUUUCAUAAUGCCAAGUUAAUCAGGUGGGAGCGAGAAACAAUUCUAGCGAGGCUAGGUUGUACUAGCCCAAAACUACAUACAACAGAGGAAAAAUGAAGAAAAUGAUGGUCUACCAAAUAUGGCGCAUGAGCCUUAAGGUGCACCUAGAGGGAAGUAGAAGAAAUAAAUAUAUAAUAGCAUAUGUUUUUCUCAAUGCAAGGUAAAGUGUAGAUGUGCUCUAACUGGGCUUAGAUUGCAGCGACACAUUAUGCAUCUACAAGGCUUGGUUGCACAUGGAAAAAGAUAGAGAGAGAAAUGUAGACACAGGACGGGGAGAAAAACAUUCAAUGAGACAUGAUUGCACGGACAUAGAACUAGAUAUAAGACAAGAGUUAAAGAAAAAUAAAGGAACUAAAUUUUCUUCUGCACACUCAGCAUGAAUGGAGUUGUAGUAUCUGAGAUCAAAAUUUAAUUUAUUCCAAGAUGCAGAACAAAAACGUGAUACUCGUAAUGGUUACAUAGGAACAAAAGUAGAUAAGAAAAAUAGCAAAAAGAUAGUGGUCUACCAGAGAGGGCACAUGUGCCUCAAUUGGCCUAUAGCAUAGCGACUCAUUAUCCUUCCACCGCUGGUGGCGGGCGGUACUCGCUGCUCUGUGAAGCCAGCCUCACGCAAUGUCCGCCACUUUAGGUGUUGGGAUGCAAAGGCUUUCGCCAAGGCAUCCGAAACCCACUACACAACUUGGAAUGGGUGGUCCACAGUUUGUAGCACUAGACCCAGGCACAUGCACCACAAUUGACAUCCACACUACCUUAUUGCCCCCGCUCGGGUUACAAGCAAUCGCUACUUGCUCAGCGAGUGAGGGGGUUCAAGACUACCUAUUUAAGGUGGUGUUGUACUCUAUAAGCCGGCGGUGUGGUAUUUACCAACUACAAAUAGUGUCAUGCAUGUGACUUGCUAGUUGACAAUGUCUGUUGUCGAGCUAGAUGUGGGCUACGGAUGAAGCACAUUAUGAUAUAGUAGGCCUAUUUUGUUUUUUGUUGUUUUUGGGCCACUAUGGACUUUAUGUUGAUGUUGUGAAAUUUUUUCUUGUGUUUCCUCUUCCUACGAUGUGGAAAGUGGGUGUGUUAGAGAAGAAAGAAAGAGUGGCUAGCAUUGAUUUUACGUCAUACCAUUGAGAACACUAAUCAGAAGCAGAAGCAACAAUAUUUCAUACAUAUACAACACUUGUAAUCCAUAUAAACAACUUUCCUUUAAAAUAUAAUAUAAACCACAUGAUUUAUAUCCUGGGUCGGCUAUCUCCACAAAGGGCAAGAAAACGCUCCAAGUUUGUAGUAUAGAACUAAAAGUGUCGAUUCUCACGAUUUCUUCCCGACAUAUACAAACUAGACAGUAAUCACAUAAAAUAAAGAAAUAUGUGUUAACACAAACUUAUAGCAUGUAUUUCAACAUAUAGAUUGUUGAUUAUUAUGGUAGAUUAUAUAAAAUAGAGGUUCCCGAAGAAAUACAUAAAAACAAGAGCAUUAAAAUUUCCAUUUCAGAUCUGGCUAUCUGGUAAAAGGAGUUGGAGUAACUGAGUUUCCAAAUUUGUGACGUAGCUCUAUAGAAGGAAUAUAAAUACGUUGGAAAAAUUCUACAAGGAAAGGUUUAAUACAAGUAGGGCUAAGAAAAACUCAAUGAGGCUUUGGUCGCAUGGUCACAAAACUUGAGACAAGAAACACGAAGACACCAAGGUAAUUAGUAUGAGAGUUUUCCAAAUUUGGUGUCUUGAUGUAGAAAAAAUAAAUAUAUGACAAACUUGUUUUUUCGCAAGGCAUGGAUAAAUAAGUGGGGGCGAGCAAUAAAUUUCAUCCUAGAUUUAGAAGGAAUAAAUAUAUCACUAAAUACGUUUUUUCAUAAUGCCAAGUUCAUCAGGUGGGAGCGAGAAACAAUUCUAGCGAGGUUAGGUUGUACUAGCCCAAAACUACAUACAACAGAGGAAAAAUGAAGAAAAUGAUGGUCUACCAAAUAUGGCGCAUGGGCCUUAAGGUGCACCUAGAGGGAAGUAUAAGAAAUAAAUAUAUAAUAGCCUAUGUUUUUCGCAAUGCAAGGUAAAGUGUAGAUGUGCUCUAACUGGGCUUAGAUUGCAGCGACACAUUAUGCAUCUACAAGGCUUGGUUGCACAUGGAAAAAGAUAGAGAGAGAAAUGUAGACACAGGACGGGGAGAAAAACAUUCAAUGAGACAUGAUUGCACGGACAUAGAACUAGAUAUAAGACAAGAGUUAAAGAAAAAUAAAGGAACUAAAUUUUCUUCUGCACACUCAGCAUGAAUGGAGUUGUAGUAUCUGAGAUCAAAAUUUAAUUUAUUCCAAGAUGCAGAACAAAAACGUGAUACUCGUAAUGGUUACAUAGGAACAAAAGUAGAUAAGAAAAAUAGCAAAAAGAUAGUGGUCUACCAGAGAGGGCACAUGUGCCUCAAUUGGCCUAUAGCAUAGCGACUCAUUAUCCUUCCACCGCUGGUGGCAGGCGGUACUCGCUGCUCUGUGAAGCCAGCCUCACGCAAUGUCCGCCACUUUAGGUGUUGGGAUGCAAAGGCUUUCGCCAAGGCAUCCGAAACCCACUACGCAACUUGGAAUGGGUGGUCCACAGUUUGUAGCACUAGACCCAGGCACAUGCACCACAAUUGACAUCCACACUACCUUAUUGCCCCCGCUCGGGUUACAAGCAAUCGCUACUUGCUCAGCGAGUGAGGGGGUUCAAGACUACCUAUUUAAGGUGGUGUUGUACUCUAUAAGCCGGCGGUGUGGUAUUUACCAACUACAAAUAGUGUCAUGCAUGUGACUUGCUAGUUGACAAUGUCUGUUGUCGAGCUAGAUGUGGGCUAUGGAUGAAACACAUUACGAUAUAGUAGGCCUAUUUUGUUUUUUGUUGUUUUUGGGCCACUAUGGACUUUAUGUUGAUGUUGUGAAAUUUUUUCUUGUGUUUCCUCUUCCUAUGAUGUGGAAAGUGGGUGGGUUAGAGAAGAAAGAAAGAGUGGCUAGCAUUGAUUUUACGUCAUACAAUUGAGAACACUAAUCAGAAGCAGAAGCAACAAUAUUUCAUACAUAUACAACACUUGUAAUCCAUAUAAACAACUUUCCUUUAAAAUAUAAUAUAAACCACAUGAUUUAUAUCCUGGGUCGGCUAUCUCCACAAAGGGCAAGAAAACGCUCCAAGUUUGUAGUAUAGAACUAAAAGUGUCGAUUCUCACGAUUUCUUCCCGACAUAUACAAACUAGACAGUAAUCACAUAAAAUAAAGAAAUAUGUGUUAACACGAACUUAUAGCAUGUAUUUCAACAUAUAGAUUGCUGAUUAUUAUGGUUGAUUAUAUAAAAUAGGGGUUCCCGAAGAAAUACAUAAAAACAAGAGCAUUAAAAUUUCCUUUUCAGAUCUGGCUAUCUGGUAAAAGGAGUUGGAGUAACUGAGUUUCCAAAUUUGUGACGUAGCUCUAUAGAAGGAAUAUAAAUACGUUGGAAAAAUUCUACAAGGAAAGGUUUAAUACAAGUAGGGCUAAGAAAAACUCAAUGAGGCUUUGGUCGCAUGGUCACAAAACUUGAGACAAGAAACACGAAGACACCAAGGUAAUUAGUAUGAGAGUUUUCCAAAUUUGGUGUCUUGAUGUAGAAAAAAUAAAUAUAUGACAAACUUGUUUUUUCGCAAGGCAUGGAUAAAUAAGUGGGGGUGAGCAAUAAAUUUCAUCCUAGAUUUAGAAGGAAUAAAUAUAUCACUAAAUACGUUUUUUACAAUGCCAAGUUAAUUAGGUGGGAGCGAGAAACAAUUCUAGCGAGGCUAGGUUGUACUAGCCCAAAACUACAUACAACAGAGGAAGAAUGAAGAAAAUGAUGGUCUACCAAAUAUGGCACAUGAGCCUUAAGGUGCACCUAGAGGGAAGUAGAAGAAUAAAUAUAUAAUAGCAUAUGUUUUUCGCAAUGCAAGGUAAAGUGUAGAUGUGCUCUAACUGGGCUUAGAUUGCAGCGACACAUUAUGCAUCUACAAGGCUUCGUUGCACAUGGAAAAAGAUAGAGAGAGAAAUGUAGACGCAGGACCGGGAGAAAAACAUUCAAUGAGACGUGAUUGCACGGACAUAGAACUAAGUAUAAGACAAGAGUUAAAGAAAAAAGGAACUAAAUUUUCUUGUGCACACUAAGCAUGAAUGGAGUUGUAGUAUCUGAGAUCAAAAUUUAAUUUAUUCCAAGAUGCAGAACAAAAACGUGAUACUCGUAAUGGUUACAUAGGAACAAAAGUAGAUAAGAAAAAUAGCAAAAAGAUAUUGGUCUACCAGAGAGGGCACAUGUGCCUCAAUUGGCCUAUAGCAUAGUGGCUCAUUAUCCUUCCACCGCUGGUGGCGGGCGGUACUCGCUGCUCUGUGAAGCCAGCCUCACGCAAUGUCCGCCACUUUAGGUGUUGGGAUGCAAAGGCUUUCGCCAAGGCAUCCGAAACCCACUACACAACUUGGAAUGGGUGGUCCACAGUUUGUAGCAAUAGACCCAGGCACAUGCACCACAAUUGACAUUCACACUACCUU
rnacentral:lncRNA from 1 species